CACAACCACACCCAGUGCUGACACGUGACUAACAAACCUUCGCUCAUCUACCAAACCCAUGGCCUCAUGCCUUAUAUAUUUCCACAAACCUAGCUCAAUUUUCAUAGCCACCUUCACUAUCCUAUACUCACUAAGCCAUGCCCAUAGAUACAAGCCUCUUGCUUGAGUUUGCUGCAGCAACUCUACUCUUCUUCAUCACCCGCUUCUUCAUUCGUUCUCUCCUUCCCAAACCUUCCCGGAAGCUCCCCCCUGGCCCCAGAGGGUGGCCGCUCCUCGACGCUCUUCCUCUUCUAGGUAACUGAUUCGUCCCUAGCAGCGGAAGUGGCAAUGGCACCAUCUGAUUCGGGGUUCGAUCCCCGGCAACGGCGCCAUUUGACUCAUGCCCAAUUGGUGUCUCAGCUGAUUUAUGUUCAGCUGGUGCUCCUUGAUUGAGGAAGUGAUCAACAAAAUUUAUACCUAUAACACCAUACACUAGGGUAGCAAAUACAAAGCUACUAUAGUAUAGUGGCUCUAGGAUCGUUCACUGGGAAUGAUUUGCAAGCAAUCAAUGAUACCAAUUCCAAGUGAAUUGGUCUUGUUUCAUUUCACAGUUAGCUUAAGGAAUAAAACACAAACUUUGAUUUGUAAAGGUUGAGAUUUAAACUAACUAACUUAACAGAAGUUUGGAAUAAUUUAGGAAGAAAAGCAUUCCUUGGAGAUUUAGGUUCACUGGGGUGGUUCCUCAUGCAAAAGACAUAGCUCCGGUCAGAUGGUUCAUUUCCUCGCAUUAGAGAUUCAACCUAUAGUCAAUUCUCUAACCGGUGAUGUACAGAGACUCCUUCAAUUAGAUUUCACUUUAAUUCUCUCACUGAUACAACUUGCAAUGGUUCAUGCCUCUCACGAGCACUUACCAUUCAAGGUGAUCUUUAACCUUGGAUUCCCCUUCACAAACUCGCAAGAGAUAACUAAUGGAUGUCUCCUAGGAGUCCAAAAGCUUACCAAGUGUUGGUAAUUCCAGAAAAUCCUACCUUGAAGUCACCUACCAGAGGCUCGCAAGGGGUAAACUAGUGCAUUUCCACGGUUGGAAAUCACUUGCCUUACCAAGUGUUGGCCCAGGUGACUCUAAGGUGUUUUAAGUUAACUAAAAACAUUGAAAUCACUAAAGGAUUUCACUUCCUCUUCAUUACUAGCUAAAACCACAGAGCUUUGCAUUCUUGCACUUGGAACCUUCCCCGGCAACCUUAGCUCCAAGGAAUUGGAGGUUUAGUUACUCAUUCUCUGGGGAAAACUCCUCAGAGAAUUCAUAACUUAGAAAUAAAAUGAAAAUACAAAGUGAGAAGGUAAGGCAGUAGAAAGACAAGACUUUACUUGCUUACCAAACGUUUUCAGAAGGAACUCUUCCCUUAGAGAACAGGCUCCCGAGAGGUAUAUAUAUCAACAAAAUAUAAAACUAAUUGUUACAAAGAUAUUUGGUCUUUUUACUAACUUAAAAACUAAGGAAUCAUGUAAUUGGUGGUUUACAAGGAGUAUUUUGGGAUUUAGACAACAAAAAUCUAAUGGAAAAUAUCUCCCAAUGUCGGUAGCAAGCUUCGGGAGGCUUCAGGAGCCAUUUCGCAGGUGAAAAAUGAGGCCUGCGAAAUUUCGCAGACACCCAAGAGGGCUGCGAAAUUAUCUUGCAAGACCGAGCUAUCUUCACUAGGCUGCAAAGUUGGCUUCCAUCUUGAGGUUUCCAGCUCCCUUCUCGCGGCAUGGUUCGUGCAUCGUUAGAAGGAGAAAUACCUUACUGUACAAAAGUGCUGCGAAAUUCUCGCAACACAUGGCUGAUUCCGCAACACUUUAGAGUGUCUGGCUUGUAAUGGCUGCAACUUCUUCGUUUCAAUUCCGAAUCGCACACCGUUUGAAGCAUUGGAGUGUUGACUUCCUGAGCUUUGAAAUGGUAUAUAGCUUGCAUCAUUUGGACUUCAGAAAGUGCUCCAAAAGUGGCUGCUACGACUGUCAUCAAGAAUAUGCUCCAUGACUGAUCCUCUUUGCUUUUUCUCCUUGCAAUCCGGAUUCACUCUUGGCAAUUGAAUUCUAAGCUUUGCCCAAGAUUCCUCAUAGCUCUCCUCAUUCUUGACUUGCUUUGGUGAUCAAAAUACUAUCAAAAACACCAAAACUUACACAAAGUGAUCAAAAUUGCUUUAAAGGAUCCUUAACAUGCCAAUUGAGUUAAAAGGCCUAAACUACUACUCAAAAGUGUUAAAAAGGAUUAAUUAAAAGCUAUCAAAUAACACUUUUUGAGUAGUAAUCACUCCCCCCAACCGACAUAUUGCUAGUCCCUUAGCAAUAUAGGAGAGAAAAAUAAAAAUAAAUAGCAAACUAAUCUAAAAUUUACAACAUCAUGCUAAAGGAAAAUAAUUCUUAAGUGGCAUGAUGAUUUACUUCUCACAUGAAUCAUUAAAGAAAUACAAACCCAAAUCUCAACAAGAGUCAUAACACCUGUGCUAAACACUGUCAAUCAAGGGAGUGCAUUAUGCAAACUGAAGUUUUAAAAUCAUUUCACUUUCUAAGAACUAAACUUCAAUCUUCCACAAAAAUCUAUGUGUAUUGGUUCCUUAGAUUCCGAGAAUAAUAUGCUAAACUAGUCUCACCCCCCAACCUAUCUCUUUUCAACACUUUAGCAAACUGACCAAAAUCAAUAAGAAAAGAACACACUUUCAUCUUUUUUUUUUUUUUUUUUUUUUUUUUUUUUUUUUUUUUUUUUUUUUUUUUUUUCGGGGGACCUUUUGGGGGUACCCUUUCUGACUUGCCCAUGGAAGGGGGGCCCCCCGAUGACCCCCCACCAAUUAAGGUUUAGGGCCCCCCGUUUUAAGGAUUUUUCAACCCCAAACCCCCCGGAUUUUUCCCCAAAUUUUUAAAAAGGAAUUUUUAAACCCCAAGCAUCCACCAAAUGCUAUUUUUUCCUUUUCCCCCUUGGAACGGGGUUUGGGGGCGGGGACCCCCCACCAAUUAAGGGUUAGGGCCCCGGGCUUUAAGGGGUUUCCCCAAAAACCCCCCAAACCUUGCUCGGGUUNNNNNNNNNNNNNNNNNNNNNNNNNNNNNNNNNNNNNNNNNNNNNNNNNNNNNNNNNNNNNNNNNNNNNNNNNNNNNNNNNNNNNNNNNNNNNNNNNNNNUUUCAACCACUAACUCCUCGGAUUUUUCCCCAAACUUUUAAGAAUGAAUUUCUAAUACCCAAGCAUCUACCAUAUGCUAACUUUACCUAUUCACCCUUGUAACGAGCAUUGAGGUCGGUGACUCCCAACCAAUUAAGGCUUAGGGCACCAGGCUUUAAAGGCUUUCACCAUAUACCCCUCAGACCUUGCUCGGGUUUCAAGGCAAGCAAACAACUUUCUUUAUUUCAAAGGCUCAUUGGCCUUUUGCAGGGUGUUCCAAUUUUUAUCAAAUGAGGUCAAAUAUACCAAGUCUCAAAAUUAUCCUAAGUCAAGAGGGAAAUAGCUUUUCAUCUUAUAAUCGGAAACUAAUGUGCACAGUGUGUGGAUAGCUUAAAGUGGAAGAACUAACUUCAAUUACAGUAGAAGUUUCAACAAUUGAACCACUUUAGUAAGCAUAAUCCAUACUCUAAGUCAAGUGAAAAACAACAGUUCAAUUUCUCUUGGUUUAAUUUGAAAAUUUUUCCUCAAAAUUCAUGGAGAAUAGAGUAACAAGAGUAAAAAGUAAAAACUACAACUAAUUAACCAAUAUAAUUGCAAUACCAAAAAGGUUUAGACUACUUCCUUCCUCAUACCCCCCAACCGAACUGAGCAUUGUCCUUAAUGUGAUUUGAGUGACUGUAAUAAAAGGGAGGAAGUGGUACCUCCAUGCUGAUAUCAAAUUCGAAUAUUGAUUGGGGAAAACCACAUGUUUCAAAAAGAAUAGAAUAUGUGAGAAAAGGAAAUAAUAAUAACUUAAUGCUAACUUUUAACAAGAAAAAUUCAACUUGUAUUACUUUGAGUUCAUUUGAUUACAAUGCUAAAGACAAGUAACACAAGGAAUCCCAUAUAUAGUACCAAAAUACUGGGAUUUCUUUUCAACUAAAACAAAACAAGCAUAAAAACAUAAAUAGCAAAUAUAUAUAAUGUCUGAUGAGUGGGGUGAUGGUGCUAAGCAGAAGGAUCUGCCUCCUCUGUAGGUGGAUCAGCUGGGGCUUCUGGCUCUGGAGGAAGAGACUCUGAAGGCUGAGAGUGUGGCUCUGGUGGAGUAGCAGUGGAGGGCUCUACAGCUUGUGGUAGAUCGAAAUGGACUUGAAGCUGCCUUAGGAUGGCAGCUUGUUGAGCCUGAGAGGCUAACAUCUGCUCCUGGCAUGCUUUGAUGGCUGCCAACUCUUGAGCAAAAUUGCUCUGGGACGCUGUAAGAGUCUCCAAUGCUCGGCACAGCUCUCGAUAUUCGGAUAUAGGGAUGGCCAUCCUCGGCUCAGCUGAUGUGGAUGGCUGUGAUGCAGCAGGUGCAGCUGGUGAAGCUCGAGGGAUGGCAGGAGUAGCAAGUGUUAUACCUUCAGGUGCAUGUCUUGGGGAGGCUCUCCUUGCUGCUGGCUGAGGCUGCCCAGGAUGAUCAAUUUUGUAGGCCAUCAUAUUAUUCCAUUUAUCAAGGGUAAAUGGCUCACGACAUAUUCUCUUUCUUUCCUGCUGAGGCUCAGAGGGGUAUCCAAGAUGCUCCAAAACUUGGCAUAGCAGCCGUGGGAAGAGGAGGGGAAUGCAAUCUGCUCUUUAAAGCUUCUUCUUGUGAACCUUCUCCUCAAAGUAGAGAAGGGCUGCCAUGAUCAGAUGAUGAGGCCCAAAGAAGAAUCCUUCUGACAUCUUGUACAAGGCUUCCAGGAGAAUUCCCCUUCUUUGGGUCCAAUGCUGCAGGGGAUAGAUAUUAUGCCUCAAAAAGGCAUCAAUCAAAAACAUCACUAGAGGUAGCUCCCCCCUCAGCAAAUGUGAUCGAUUUGCAGCUCCUCUGGUUAGUGUGCGAACCAUCUCUAACUCAGUAGGAUUUACCCAAGCUUUAAAAUUGUCGAAUUGGGUUGGCUCAAAAGGAAUUUGCAGGGCUUCAGCAAUAUGUCUUGCUCCCAAAAUACCAUGUCUUCCAUCAAUUAUAAAAUGAAUCAAGGUUGGAUUUCUUACUUCUUUGGUUGUCAUGGUCUGGUAGAAGUCCGUGACUACCCGGGGAUAGAAAAAAUCCCUUGGAGCUAGCAGAUACUCCAUAUGAUAUCUCCUCAGCAGCUGGAAGGAUUGGGCAAGCUCUGGCCUCACUCUGAAUGCUGUUAAAUCGAAGCAAAGCUCAGAAUGGAAUGCCCGUGUUCGACAAUCCAAGUUUCCUUCGAUUGGGGGCUGGGGCAGCAUUGGCCUUCGGAUCACUUCUUCCAGAGGUGCUUCAGCUGCAAUUUGGGGCUCUGGAAUUGGCGCUUGAGGCUCCUGAGCUUUUUCUUGGGGUGCCGGAGAUGGUACCGGCGAUGGAAUUGGAGUUGCUUCAGGUGAGGGAAUUGGCGAGGGAACCGGUGACGGCACUGGAGUUUGAACCAGUGAAGGAUUUGGGGACUGCUCAGGGGAUUGCUCAGUCAAAUCAAUUGGUUCAGAGCUCUCAACCCUGGUUUUCUUCUUCAAUGGCUGACCGCCUGACCUUGUUAAAUAUCGCCUUGCCGGCGGCUUUGGUGGCGCCGGCUUCACUGGAGAAGGAUUUGGUCUCGACGGCGAAGGCUUUGGAGCAGGUUCUGGAACAGAACCUGGACUUGGCUCCUUUCGCAGACUCCUUUUGCGAUUCGAAGGGGAUGAAGACUUUGCCCCUUGUGUUCGUGCCAUUUUGGAAUACCGAAACUUUAGCCGGUGCUGCUGAACGGAGAAGACGACCGGAGGUUCGGACGGCGUGGCUUGGCGAAGAAGAUGAAGGGGCUGCGAGAAUGGUGCUCUGAUUUUUGAAACCCUUUUUGCAGCACUUUUGACCGGUAUAAAUAGGAAAAACGGAAGCCCAGGGGUCAGUUUAAGUUUCGCAACAAAACGCCAAUUUUGCAGCAACUUGCCAUUUUCGCAGCAACUUCGCAGUGAGUUUCGCAGCUGCGAAAUUGAUGUCACUGUGCUGCGGAGUGGCACUCGUGUGCCAAAACCACUUUCGCAAUUGCGAAAUGCCCUGCGGAAUGAGACUUUUGGUGCGAAAUCACGCUUUUCCAUUUCGCAAUGAGUUUCGCAGCUGCGAAAUGGGUUCUACUGUACUGCGAAGUGGCACUCGUGUGCCAAAUUCACUUUCGCAGCUGCAAAAUACACUCGCAGAGGCUUCUACAGUGCUGCGGAAUGGUUUGGCAGCAAAAUGCUCAGUUCGCAGAAGUUUCCUUCUCUCUGCGAAAUUUCGCAGAGCUCUGUUUUUCCCCUGUUUCUGCUCUGUUUCGGCUCCAAUUUCGACCCGAUUUUUUUUCUUUUCAAUCCCCUUGAAAUUUCUUCCACCUGGGAUCAUUUUAAACAAUUAAAACACACUUAAAAACAUGAUUUAAGAUCAAAAACUAAGAUCAAAAGUAUGGAAACAACUUAAAAAUUUUACAAAAUUUACAAAAAUUUUGGACUGUGGUUAAGACCACGUCCAGCAAACCCUUUUCACUUAGGCUUUUUGAGGUUCAAGGAGGUUGAUUGCCUCCUUUUCUGAUUUGAAUGACUCCAUGAACGGCUUAAGACGAUAUCCAUUGACUCUAAAGCUAUCCUUGCCAUUGGAAUUCAAUAAGUCCACCACUCCAUUGGAAUAUACUCGGUGAAUAACAAAUGGACCAAUCCACCUUGACUUGAGCUUCCCAGGAAAGAUAUGGAGUCUUGUGUCAUACAUCAAAACUUUUUGCCCUUCCUGAUUCAGUUUGCCCGGAUCCCAUUUGAAGCUUGCAUCCUUCACUUGAGACUUGGUUUGAGAUGAAGAUAUUACGACAGGACAUUGAUUAUUUUCUUCAAGAUAUGUAUAUUUCAGCUCCACAGGUAAAGGCUUCAGAUUGAAUUUUGGAAUUUCUUUUUCAGCGGCUGCCUCCUCUUCUUCAUUGAACAAAGGUAGAAUUUCUUCUAUCUUUCUCCAACUUUGUAGAGUAGCAAGCCCAAUAGGCGAUUCAGAAAAACCUUCCUCAAUAUCCUCAAGAUUUUCAUUCAACUUAUCUUGCAUAUGUUGAUUACAGUGCUCCUCCACCAAAGUAUCAAUUACACAUAACUCUUCUGGACCUUCUUCUUCUUCCGGAGUGAUUUGAUUUUUAGACAUAUAGAAAAUAUUUAGAUCCAGUGUCAUAUUACCAAAAGUGAGUUGCAUAAGCCCAUUUCUACAGUUGAUGAUUGCAUUUGAAGUUGCAAGAAAUGACCUUCCAAGGAUGAUAGGAACUAAAUUAGCUUCCUUUACAGUAGGAUCAGUAUCAAGAACAACAAAAUCUACAGGAUAGUAGAAAUUAUCUACUUGAACCAAUACAUCCUCAAUUACUCCUCUUGGAAUUUUCACUGAUCUAUCUGCCAAAGAUAAAGUGAUUGCUGUUGGCUUCAACUCUCCAAGUCCUAGUUGCUUGUAGACAGAGUAUGGAAGCAAAUUCACACUUGCUCCCAAGUCUAGCAAGGCUUUCUCCACUACCUUUCCUCCAAUCAUGACUGAAAUGGUAGGACUUCCAGGGUCUUUGUACUUCGAAGGAGACUUACACUGUAAGAUUGCACUUACUUGCUCAGUCAAGAAGGCUUUCUUGUUUACAGUCAACCCUCUUUUGAUCGUACACAAGUCCUUUAGGAAUUUUGCAUACGUUGGAACUUGUUUGAUCAUAUCCAGCAGUGGAAUAUUAACUUUCACUUGCCUCAAUACUUCUAGGAUUUCAGCUGCAUUUCUAACCCCCUUUUUCCCAUGUAAUGCUUGAGGAAAAGGUGGAAAAGUUGAUUUCUUCAGCAUUUUUUCCUUCAGAAGCUCUUUCUCUGGAAUUGCUUUCAUUGUUGAAUCAGAGUCCUUCUUCUCUUCGCUGAUCUCACUCUCUUUAUCUUCCAUUUCCUUCCCUUUCUUCAUCUCUUCUUCUUUUUCAACAUGUGGCUUGGGUGUUGGCUGCUCAAUUUUUUUACCACUCCUUAGAGUGAUCAAAGCUUUCACAUCUUUCACCUGUGAUGAUUCUCCCUCAUGGAUUUCCACUUCAUGGACACCUUUGGGAUUUUGGUUAGGUUGAGAAGGAAAUCUUCCUUUUUCUUGCAGUGUAUUCAAAUUUGUAAGCCUGGAAAUUGAAUAUUGGAUGUUAUCAAACUUUUGGUUCAUUUCAUUUUGCAUUCCAUCCAUUCUUUUGUUCAACACACUCUCCAUUCUAUCCAUUCUUUGAUCAACUCGAGCAUUGGUGGCUUCUUGCUUUCCCACAAAAUCUCCCACUACCUUGCUGAGAUUGGCUAUUAUUUGUUCAAUACUUGAAGAUUGCUGAGAUGGUGGAUCCGGCUGUUGGUAUUGAGUUGCUCUGGCCUUCCAUGAGAAAUUUGGAUGAUUCCUCCAACUUGAAUUGUAGGUAUUUCCAUAUGGAGCAUUGUUAUUGGGCCUGAAUUGUCUAACAACAUUUGCUUGAUCUCUAUACAUUUCCCUUUCAACUGAAAUUGCAGGGCACUCCUCUACCAAAUGUUCAAAUGAUUGACAAUUGGGACACAACUUCACUUGCACUGGUGCUUCAGCAACAGCUUGCACUUCAUGCAUUCUUUUCAGCUCCAGCUCCUCCAAUCUUCUUGUCAUAGCUGCCAACUUUGCUUUCAUGUCAUCAUCUUCUUUCAAAUUAUACAUCCCAGCCUUUGCAUUGUAAGCAUUCAACUGAGACUUCAUCUUUCCCACUUCUCCUUUGGUUGGUUCAUCCCAUCCCCUUGAAACAUCAGCUACAUAGUUCAAGAAAUCCAUAGCUUCCUCUGGAUUUUUGCUCAUGAAAUCUCCUCCACACAUUGUCUCGAGGAGUUGCUUCAUUGAGGAUGACAUACCAUCAUAGAAAUAGCUCACCAAUAGCCAUGUAUCAAAGCCAUGGUGAGGACAAGCAUUUAUAGCUUCCAUGUAUCUUUCCCAACACUCAUAGAAUUUCUCAUUCUCUUUAGCUGAGAAGUUUGAAAUUUGCCUUUUCAAGCCAUUUGUUCUAUGAGUAGGAAAAAAUUUCUUAAGGAAUUCAGCUUGUAAAUCAGUCCAAGAGCGGAUACUCCUUGGCCUUAAAGAAUUAAGCCAAAUUUUGGCCUUAUCCUUUAAAGUAAAAGGAAAUAACUUAAGCCUCAUCAAGUCAAUUGAAGCUCCUCCCUCUUGGAAUGUAUUACAAACAUCUUCAAAUUCCUUGAUGUGUGCAUACGGAUUCUCACUUUCCAUCCCAUGGAAAGUUGGUAGAAGUGGAACAAGAUACGGUCUGAUCACUAGCUGCUCUGUAGGGGCACUAUACAUGAUGGUGCACUCAUACGANNNNNNNNNNNNNNNNNNNNNNNNNNNNNNNNNNNNNNNNNNNNNNNNNNNNNNNNNNNNNNNNNNNNNNNNNNNNNNNNNNNNNNNNNNNNNNNNNNNNUAUAGUCAAUUCUUUAACCGGUGAUGUACAGAGACUCCUUCAAUUAGAUUUCACUUUAAUUCUCUCACUGAUACAACUUGCAAUGGUUCAUGCCUCUCACGAGCACUUACCAUUCAAGGUGAUCUUUAACCUUGGAUUCCCCUUCACAAACUCGCAAGAGAUAACUAAUGGAUGUCUCCUAGGAGUCCAAAAGCUUACCAAGUGUUGGUAAUUCCAGAAAAUCCUACCUUGAAGUCACCUACCAGAGGCUCGCAAGGGGUAAACUAGUGCAUUUCCACGGUUGGAAAUCACUUGCCUUACCAAGUGUUGGCCCAGGUGACUCUAAGGUGUUUUAAGUUAACUAAAAACAUUGAAAUCACUAAAGGAUUUCACUUCCUCUUCAUUACUAGCUAAAACCACAGAGCUUUGCAUUCUUGCACUUGGAACCUUCCCCGGCAACCUUAGCUCCAAGGAAUUGGAGGUUUAGUUACUCAUUCUCUGGGGAAAACUCCUCAGAGAAUUCAUAACUUAGAAAUAAAAUGAAAAUACAAAGUGAGAAGGUAAGGCAGUAGAAAGACAAGACUUUACUUGCUUACCAAACGUUUUCAGAAGGAACUCUUCCCUUAGAGAACAGGCUCCCGAGAGGUAUAUAUAUCAACAAAAUAUAAAACUAAUUGUUACAAAGAUAUUUGGUCUUUUUACUAACUUAAAAACUAAGGAAUCAUGUAAUUGGUGGUUUACAAGGAGUAUUUUGGGAUUUAGACAACAAAAAUCUAAUGGAAAAUAUCUCCCAAUGUCGGUAGCAAGCUUCGGGAGGCUUCAGGAGCCAUUUCGCAGGUGAAAAAUGAGGCCUGCGAAAUUUCGCAGACACCCAAGAGGGCUGCGAAAUUAUCUUGCAAGACCGAGCUAUCUUCACUAGGCUGCAAAGUUGGCUUCCAUCUUGAGGUUUCCAGCUCCCUUCUCGCGGCAUGGUUCGUGCAUCGUUAGAAGGAGAAACACCUUACUGUACAAAAGUGCUGCGAAAUUCUCGUAACACAUGGCUGAUUCCGCAACACUUUAGAGUGUCUGGCUUGUAAUGGCUGCAACUUCUUCGUUUCAAUUCCGAAUCGCACACCGUUUGAAGCAUUGGAGUGUUGACUUCCUGAGCUUUGAAAUGGUAUAUAGCUUGCAUCAUUUGGACUUCAGAAAGUACUCCAAAAGUGGCUGCUACGACUGUCAUCAAGAAUAUGCUCCAUGACUGAUCCUCUUUGCUUUUUCUCCUUGCAAUCCGGAUUCACUCUUGGCAAUUGAAUUCUAAGCUUUGCCCAAGAUUCCUCAUAGCUCUCCUCAUUCUUGACUUGCUUUGGCGAUCAAAAUACUAUCAAAAACACCAAAACUUGCACAAAGUGAUCAAAAUUGCUUUAAAGGAUCCUUAACAUGCCAAUUGAGUUAAAAGGCCUAAACUACUACUCAAAAGUGUUAAAAAGGAUUAAUUAAAAGCUAUCAAAUAGCACUUUUUGAGUCAAAUGAGUUCAAGGACAUGGUGGUGGAGCUCAUGACCACUGCUGGGUACUUCAAUAUUGGCGACUUUAUUCCGUCCAUCGCAUGGCUGGACAUCCAAGGGAUCCAGCGCGGGAUGAAGCAUUUACAUAGGAAGUUCGACCGGUUAUUAACAAAGAUGAUGGAGGAGCACACGGCGUCAGCCCAUGAGCGAAAGGGAAACCCAGAUUUUCUGGACGUAAUCAUGGCAAACCAAGAAAAUUCUACAGGGGAGAAGCUCACUAUUACCAACAUUAAAGCACUCCUCCUGGUAUGCAUAGUUAAAGCUCGUCUUCAAUUUUGUUUUCCGAUAUUUUCUUUCCGGAAACAGCACUUUUAUUGCUUUUAGAUAUGUACGUUUUUAUCAGGUAGCCAUUUUAGGGGCACAUCACUAUUCUUUAUUUUUGGACUAUUUUUUUCUUUUUCCACUUGCAUGGUUGUUUUCAUAUGCUCAGCUGCAUGGCACAAGAAAAUUGUGAAAAAUGAUUGGUUCUCUGAUCAGACCUUCUGCACCAAAACACGCUUUUCUCUAUGUUAUAAAAUCGGUUUACAUGAUUUUUCAACCAGCUUCCUUGAACUUGAACUUUUGCUAGGGCUAAUGCAAAAAAUGAUUGAUCUCAAUUUUCAAUAGCGUUUGAUUACAUAAAUUUCAAGUAUGUGAACAUAUUUUUGUUUCCUUGGCUAGAAUUUAUUUACUGCAGGAACAGACACUUCAUCGAGCGUAAUCGAGUGGUCUCUGGCUGAGAUGUUGAAAAACCCGAGCAUCCUCAAGCGUGCUCACGAAGAAAUGGAUCAAGUGAUUGGAAGGAGCCGGCGGCUCGUGGAGUCUGACUUGCCAAAACUUCCAUACCUACAAGCCAUAUGCAAGGAAAGCUUCCGGAAGCACCCAUCCACCCCGUUGAACCUUCCUCGUGUCUCAACCCAAGCAUGUGAAGUGAACGGCUACUACAUCCCAGAGAACACUAGACUUAGCGUGAACAUAUGGGCAAUUGGGCGAGACCCUAAUGUCUGGGAAAGCCCGGAAGAAUUCAGGCCAGAAAGGUUUUUAAGUGGAAGAAAUGAAAAAAUUGACCCUCGUGGAAAUGAUUUUGAGUUGAUCCCGUUUGGGGCUGGACGAAGGAUUUGCGCUGGCACUAGAAUGGGAAUAGUGCUGGUUGAGUACAUUUUAGGGACGUUGGUACAUUCAUUUGACUGGAAAAUGCCGGAUGGAGUUGAGAUCAACAUGGACGAAGCUUUCGGGCUUGCACUGCAGAAGGCAGUUUCUCUUUCGGCCAUGGUGACACCAAGGCUUCACCAGAGUGCGUAUGCAGUCUGAGCUCAAACCGCUCAGACCAAAACCCAGGCCUCGCUGCUAUAUGGCAUGGAUGCAGUUAAGUAGAAAAUAUUUUGGGAUGCCUGUGGCUUAGUAUAAGAUGUAUUAGCUCAAAGAUGGUCGUUUCAUUCUACCACCAAGCCAUAUGCAUCUAUGCAUAAUCUAUUGAUUUAGGCUCGAUUUGGUUAUAGUUUUUGUUUUUUUGUCUUCCAAAUCAGUAAAUAGUAGGGGUAUUUUUGUCCUAUGUAGUGAUUCUUUUUGUUUGAUUGAUUAUAUUUGGAUCCUUCAAAAAUAUAUGGUCAGAGCCAUCUCCAUCUUUUCACUUCUUGUGCUGCAGAAUGGGAUUGGCUUAGAUCGUUAGUCUAAUGUUAACCCCCUUCAAAUCUAAUUAUUCAUACCCAAUUUUGACACGAAAGAGCCAUUGUCAUGAAAGGGGGACCAGGGACCUCAGCACCCUUGGUUCAUCAUUUUGGUACGAUGCCAACUCUACCACAUAACCACCAUUUAGAUAUCUAUCCUUUUAUUUUUGGCAUGUGAACUUAUAGUGGGUGGCUGACCUUGAAUCCAGUAGUUAUCAUGAUAUAUAUGGCUGUGUUGAAACUAACCACCAUUUAGAUAUCUAUCCUUUUAUUUUUGGCAUGUGAACUUAUAGUAAGUCCGAUUUAUGUCCAAGGGUCAAAUUUAAAUCUCUCUUCAAUCUAAUGGCUAAGAACUUCCCAACUUUAUUUAAUACUUAAUGUAUCCAAUAAUUGUAAUCGAGUAAUCCAAUGACAAGUACCUUCAAUGAUUAUUUUGGCAAAAGAAAUAAUAUAAGUUUGUUAUUUUAUGAUAUAAUAAAUUUAUUAAUACUUUCCUUUUUCAAAAUAUGUAAUUAGUUGUAAUUUCAUUAUAUAAUAUAUAAAUUAAGUUAUUUGCAAUUUUAAAAUAUGCUCAUUUUGUAUUUUUUUAAGUGUUAUUUAAAAAUUACACAAUUUUGUUUUAUAAAAAGUAUUUAGUACUUUUAAUUUUAUAAUUUACAAACAUUAAUUUAUACUAUUUUCUUAAAAUAUUUAGUUUAGUAUGCAUAUUAUUAGUUGUUUUCUCAGAUCUCAAGUUCCAAUCAAAAAAAUAUUUAUGAUUUGUUUUUGUUAAUUUGUGUCUUGUUUUCAAUUUAAUUAAUGAAAUUUUAUUUGAUCAAAAAGUUCAUUAUAAACCAAUUUUAAAAAUCUAAUCCUUUAUUAUAUUUUGAUAUGGUUUUGAUAAAAAUGUCUUUAUUAUUAUUAUUUUUUAUAAAAAUAAUUAUUAUUUUUGAAAUAUAUUGUAAAUAUUUAAAAUAAUUAAAAAUAUUUAGAUCAAAAAUCGAUUAUUUUUCAAACAAAAAUAUGAAAGUGAUAAAUUUGCAAAUAUGGGGAAUAUUUAAUCCUUUUAAUCGAUUAUUUCAUUACUGAAGUGGGUAUAAUGAUGAACGCAGACUUGGUUUUGCUAGGGCAUGCAGAGGUUUUGCAAGAGAGAGAGAUCAUUUCUCGACUCUGAGAAAUCAAUCUCCUUUUGGCCCGGUGGUGGACUCCAAGUAAAGCCUUGAAGGAGCCUUGCUAACAUCCCUGCACACCCACGCCUUCCAGUACUGAAGGAAAUGAAGCGAAGGGUUGGCUCGUUCAACUCCACUGCUUGAACUGUACUAGCAUUCUGAUGCCGCUCUGGAUUGAAAUUUAGCGGUUCUUCCCAGAUUCUAGGGUUCCGGCCCAGCCCCAGACGGCUCAGAAGGACAUGACUGCCUUUGGGGAUAAAGUACCUAGCAACACUAGUCGGAUUCCUGAACUCGUCUAUCCUUUCCAACCACUCCAUCAAUUUCUUCACUGCUUUGCUCAAAAUCCCUGGUUGCUUGAUCAUUGCCUACCCAAUUGCAUUUGAUGGACUAUCGACGCCUGCAAGCAUCAACUCCUGCAAAUUAUGGAAGGAUCAUAAUCUGAUGAUUGAUCAAGUUAUUUGCUGGCUAGGAAAUGAUCAUCAUGCAAUGUAGAUCAAAAGGUAAGCACAACGCUACUACAAAAAUAAUUUAUGGUGUCAUUUUUUAAAUAAUGACACCAUAGGGUUUAUAAUUAAUAAAGGUGAUACAUCGUAUAAAAUUUUUUCAAUUGAGGUAGUUAGAUUAUGUUAGUUUUAUAUUUAUAGUGUCAUUUUUUGGGAAGUAACAUCAUAUAAAAUAAAUUUUUUUAAGUAUUAUAACUUAAUGAGCCCACUUGAGCCCACUUUUAUAAUUAAUAAUGGGGGAUAAUGUAUAAAAAGCCCAUUGUUUCCACAUGCCACCCACAAUCCAAAAAAUCUCAGCAUACAAACCUUAUAUAUAAAACCAUAAUCUUCUUCUACCUUUUCUCUUACCUAUAGUCAACACACUUACAACCAACAUUUUCUACUUUGUGGACUCCUGGGUAAUCCAAAUUCUCUUAGAUCUAUCAUAUUUUUUUUUUCCUUUUAUUAAUAUAAUUAUAUUGAUUGUUUCAGCAUCUUUGUAUUAUGGUUUUUGUAAACUGCGUUUUCUUGAGUUGUAGGGAAGAAAAACUUAGGUUUAAACUUCUAGCAUAGACGAAGAAACUUGUAGAUUAAUUGAUUUUUUAAUAUGAACCAAACACAUGACUGACUUCUUAAAAACAAGAAAAAAUGAAUGAUUUUUAAUAUGUAUUUAUGUGAGAAUGACAGGUACAAAAUUUUGUUGAGAUAUACUGCCACAUAAUCUUCAUCCCUUCCCUAAAACAAGAGAGAGAGAAAAAAAAAAAGGAAUGAUUUUUUUUGUGUGUAUCUAAGUGGGAAUGAGAUAUAUAGAAUUUCGUUGAGAUGCCACAUGAUCUUUAUCCUCCAUUAAACCCAACAUAUUAAAUCCACUAACUCUCCCCAAAAACGAGUAAAAAAAAAGGGAAAAAAGUAUGAGUUAAAAAACAAAAACGGAAAAUAUGAUUUUUUUUUUUUUUUAAUGUGUUUCUAAGGAAAAUGAGAGACAAAUUUUUGUUAAGAUGCAUUGCCACGUGUUCUUCAUCCUCUCCAUUAAGCCUAACAUAUUAAACCUAAUAGCUCUCUCUUUUAACUUUCCAGUGAAGUGCCUACAGUAUCCAACUCAAAAUAAGACAACUUAAGCCCCAUUAGCCAACAACCCAUAUUUUGUGUACAUCUUGAUGAGAUUAUUUUGUGAGAAAAUGUCAUGAAACAAUCCCAAUUUGAUAAUCUAGGCAUGUAUUUGAGUUAAAAAUAAAUUUCUAUUCUAUAGAUCAAAUAAUAAAAUCAUGUUUGAAAAUUAUUUUUAAAAACUUAUUUAGAGCAAAAAUAGUUUUCUAACAUAAAAAUAAUUUUUUAACUGAGAAAAUAUAUUUGAAAUUAUUUGAUAGAAAAUUGGGCAUGUAUUUGACUUAAAAACAAAUUUCUAUUCUAUAGCUCAAAUAAUAAAAUCAUGUUUGAAAAUUAUUCUUAAAAGCUUAUUUAGAGCAAAAAUGGUUUUCUAACAUUAAAAUAAUUUUUUAAUUUAGAAAAUAUAUUUGGAAACAUUUGAUAGAAAACUGGGCAUGUAUUUGACUUAAAAAUAAAUUAUUAUUCUAUAGAUCAAAGGAUAAAAUCAUGUUUGAAAAAUAUUCUUAAAAACUUAUUUAGAGUAAAAACAGUUUUCUAACAUAAAAAUAAAUUUUUAACUUAGAAAAUAUAUUUGAAAACAUUUGAUAGAAAACUUUUUUUUUUUUAAUGUCAAUAAGUUGUCUUUUGUUAAUUUAAUUGUAAUCAAUUUGCUUAUACGCAUUUAAAAGUAUAUAUUAUCAUAUUUAGUAAUAUUUUGAUUGUUAGGCAAAUUAUCAUUUUUGAGAGGAAUUUUUGUAGCUCUCAUAAUUAUAAUUGUAUUUUAAUAACCAUUUCCAAUAAAAAAAAAGAAAAAAAAAGUUAGACAAUUAUCAAAAUCUGAUUUUUAGGAUUUAAAAAAAAUCUACAAGCCAAAACUAUCUAUAAUUUUGAUCAUGUGAGAACACUUCUUUUUUAAUACUUUGAAUUAUUUUGUUUUUUUUUUCUUAGUAUCUGAAAGUAUAAAAGAAUUUCUCUUAUUAUAUUAUUAUAUUAUAUAUGUGCAUGUGUGUUCUCAUGGUUGUUUAUGUCAUGUGUUAUUAAAGAAUAAAGUGAAAUUUCCUUUGAGUGGAAGGUUUUAGUCCACGCUAGUGAGUGGACACAGUAUGAAUAGUUUGGGUGGGUUGUAUCUAUGGUAAAAAAAAUAAUAAAAGACACCUUUUGCAAGUCUCCAAGUUGGUUGAGAUACAUGGUAUCAUGUUGACUAAACCUUGACUUUUGCAAGUCUCCUAGUUUCCAACUUUUUUUUUCUUUUUUUUUUAAUAUUAAGGUGUGGGGCCAUGAACUCCUUUCUUUCCUUUUUAAAUAACAAAAAGGAAGACAAUUUUAUUGUGAGAAGGCUAUUGCUAUCAAUUGUGUUCACGUCGAGAUUUUUUUAAUUUAUGGAGGCCAUAUAUAUAUUUAUGUCUAAUUUAGGAUGGUAAUUUGGGUUUGUUUAAUCUAUUCCAUUUAAUCAUACUAUACAAUCAUUUUUUUAUUUGGAUUAUUUUUGUAUUAAAUUUCUUCAACCCAAAUUUUGUUGAAAAGUUACAAUGUAUUAUUAAAAAUAUGACUUGGUAGUUGAUUAUGGAUAUGUGUCAUUUUUAGUAAAAAAAAAAAUCUAUAACAUUUUAUAUUGAUAAUAUAUUAUUCUUGUAACAGGUUCGAAUAGUAAGCAAGUCAUUAUCAAAGAAGUUAUUGAAAGUGUAAGGGUAUGUUUAUUUAUUGCAUGCUCUUAUAUAGUAUCAAUUGUAAGGAAGAUAAAAUUACCUUGUAAAGGUAAUUAAAUCUUUCUAUAUUUUAAAAACUUUUUUCCUAUAUACUAUGCUUUUGAAGCUUGUUUAAUUAAACAUAUUAGUUAUUUGACAAACUUUUCACAAAUGUUUUGCAUGUAUACUUAUGUGUUCUAUUUUGUUCCAUAGUUUUAUUGCAUAAUACUAAUGUAUAUUUUUUCACAAACUUUUUACAACUAUUUUGUGUACUAAUGCAUAUUAAGUUUUGUUCUUGCCUAUAUAAGCUACAUUUAGUUAUUUAAAUAUAUCCAAUAUUAUGUUGAAGAAAGAUGUACUUACUUAACUUUUUUUAUUCUAAAUAUUAACAAGUUUUUCAGUUCUCUUGUCUCGAGAUUGAAUGUCAAAAGAUAGAAGGUCAGUUGAGUAUGAUGAAAGAGUUGAAAACUUUAUCAAUUUUGCAUUAGCACAUUCAAUCAACCAUUCCCCUAUAAAAUGCCCAUGCUUACGUUGUGCAAAUCUGUUAUGUCAAACUCUUCAAGUCAUUACAGAGCAUUUGUUCUUUAAUGGAAUAGAUCUCAGUUAUCGAGUAUGGUAUUGGCAUGGAGAAAAUGGACCCAGUGGAGGAUUUUCAAAUGUCUCACAACAACAUUAUGACAAAUGCAAGUAUAAUGAUGUUGUUGACACAAUAGAUAUGGUUAAUGCUGCACAAGUUAAUUGUAUGAAUGAUCCCUAAGUGUUUGGAAGGUUACUUGAAGACGCAGAAAAACCUUUAUAUCUUGGAUGCAUGAAAUACACAAAGUUGUCAGCAUUGGUAAAACUUUACGACUUAAAAGCACAUUAUGGUUGGUCUAACAAAGGAUUCUCAAAAUUGCUUCAGUUGCUUGGAGAUAUGUUGCCAUUGAAUAAUGAGAUGUCAUUGUCCAUGUAUGAAGCUAAAAAGACUUUCAGUGCACUUGGGGAUGAAUAUAAAAAAAUUCAUGCAUGUUCUAAUGAUUGUAUUUGGUAUAGAAACCAGUAUAAGGAUGCUAUUGCAUGCCUAACUUGUGGAAAGUCAAGGUGGAAGAUAAACAAUGAGGGGAAAAAGAUUAAGAAGGGGCUUCCUUCAAAGGUUUUGUGGUAUUUCCCACCAAUCCCUAGAUUCAAAAGGAUGUUCCAAUCCUCAAAAACCGCUAAACAUCUUAUGUGGCAUGCCAAGGAUAAAGAAUAUGAUGGUAAACUAUGCCACCCAUCAGACUCCUCAGCGUGGAAACUAGUUGACCAUAUGUGGCUUGAUUUUGCUUCUAAACCGAGAACCUUAGACUAGCACUCUCAACAGAUGGUACAAAUCUUCAUAAGUCUAUAAGCAAUAGACAUAGUUGUUGGACUGUUAUACUGAUCAUAUACAACCUUCCUCCUUGGUUGUGCAUGAAAAAGAAGUUUAUGAUGCUAUCAUUAGUGAUCUCAGGACCACGACAACCUAGUAAAAAUAUAGAUGUUUACUUGAGUCCAUUGGUAGAUGACCUUAAAACUUUGUGGGAAAAAAACGUUAAGACUUAUGAUGCACACUUGCUUGAGGUUUUUACUUUAAAGGUCAUCAUUUUAUGGACAAUCAAUUAUUUCCCUACAUAUGGAAACUUGGCCAAUUGCACCGUGAAAGGAUAUUAUGCAUGUCCAAUAUGUGGAGAAGGAACAUAUUCCCAAAGAUUAAAGUAUGGUAGGAAGAACUUGUAUAUGGGUCACCGAUGAUUUCUUCCACGUAACCAUCCCUAUUGGAGACAAAAAAAGGCAUUCAAUGGUGAACAAGAUUUUAGAAUUCCUCCUAAAAUUUUGAGUGGAGAAGAAAUACUUGAAAAAGUUGAUCUCAUUCCUAUUUCUUGGGGAAAAAUGAAGAUAAAAUCUCUUGAACUGAUGUGAACACAAAUUGUUGGAAAAAAAAGUCCAUAUUUUUUGAGUUAGAAUAUUGGAAAUAUCUUCAUAUCCUUCACAACUUGGCAGUUAUGCACAUUGAAAAGAAUGUUUGUGAGAGUAUUAUUGGUACUUUGUUUAACAUCCCAGGAAAAAAAAAAGAUGGACUUAAUGCUCAACUUGACCUAGUUGAAAUGGGUUUAAGGUCUGAACUUUUCCCAAGAGUUGACUUGAAGUGGACCUAUCUUCGUCCUGCAUGUUAUUCACUAUCCAAACAUAUAUGACAAAAAAUUAUUUUGUCAAACAUUGUCUAAUUUGAAGGUCCCUGAGGGGUAUUGCUCAAAUUUUAGAAAUCUUGUCUUCUUAGAGGAAUUGAAGUUAUUUGGUUUAAGAUCCCAUGACUACCAUGCACUUAUGCAACAACUAUUGCUAGUGGCAUUACGUUUUGUUUUGCUAAAGCAUGUGAAAUAUACUAUAUCAAGAUUGUGUAUCUUCUUCAAUCAAUUAUGUACAAAAAUGGUUGAUGUGCCAAAAUUGGAUGAAGUACACAAUGAGUUAGUGGUCACGUUGUGCUUACUUGAAAAGUAUUUUUCACCUUCAUUUUUUGAUAUUAUGCUUCAUCUAGUAGUGCAUUUGAUAAGGGAGGUGUGACUAUGUGGUUCAGUUUACUUUAGGUGGAUCUACCCAUUUGGGAGGUAUAUGAAAGUUCUUAAAGAAUUGUUCGCAAUCAUAAUUGGCCUGAAGGAUGCAUUACUAAGUGCUAUUUAGCAGAAAAAGCUAUCGUAUUUUGUACUGAAUAUUUAUUAGGGACUCAUGCAAUUGGAAUUCCAAAAGCAACAAUUAUGACAACAAAUUUGGUAGACCUAUAAUUGGUGGUCGUUCUACCAUCAUUGAUCGUAAAUCGUGGUUACAAGCACAUCAUUAUCUAUUAGAGAAUACAACUAUCGUCCAACCAUACACUGAGUAAGAAAAACAUACCUUUAUCUUUUUAUAAUUUCAUAACAUAAUGAUGAAAUCCUAAGUUUGCAUUCCUUGUCUUUAACGUCAUAGGGAACACAUGAAUUGGUUGAGGUCUCAAUACCCUCGAAAAUCUAAUAGACAAAUUUGGUUGCAAGAAGAACAUAUGAGUUGUUUUACAUAUUGGCUUAAAGAAAAGGUAAUCUCUUAGUUUUUAGAAAAUUUUUCAAUAUGUUGAAAACAUCACAAGUUUCCAAUAUGUUUUGAUUAUACAUAUGUUGAAGAGGCUAUCCAUAAUGGGCAAGAUAUUCCCGACACACUUAGGUGGUUAGCACAUGGCCCUACUCUCCAAGUAGUCAAAUAUCCUGGAUAUAUCGUUAAUAAGUGUCGUUACCAUAUUAAGAAACGCGAUAUGACAUGCAUCACCCAAAAUAGUGGUGUUAGCAUUUUAGCAAGGACUAUGCAAAUUGCCAGUUCUAAGGAUAAGAACCUAGUUUGUGGUGAACUUUGCUUUUAUGGGGUCAUUAAUGAGAUAUGAAAUCUUGAUUACAACAUGUUCACAAUUCUAAUUUUCAAGUGUGAUUAGGUUGACAACAAGAAUAGUAUAAAAGUUGAUGAACUCAGGUUCACAUUAGUUGACUUCUCCAAAAUAGGUCACAAAUUGGAUCCAUUUAUUUUAGCAUCACAAGCCAAGCAAAUCUUCUAUGUUGAAGAUCAACUUGAUCCUAAAUGGUCAAUAGUUCUCUCAAUUCCUCCAAAAGAUUUCAAGAACAUAGAAGGACUAGAUGACUUCACCGAUAAUUGCAUGGAACAUCACCCCUUUAUAAGUUCAAUGCCAGAAUUUGAAUCAUUUGAUGCUAUGGAUGAAUCAUAGGCAAUACACAUGAGAGAAAACUGUGAGGGCAUAUGGAUUGAAAAUAAUUAAAUAACAUAUUGUACCCUUGAAUGAGAUAUAAUAAGGCAUUUCACUUAUUAGUUUUCAUGAGUUGCACAUUAACUUAGCUUCUAUAUAUUGCUCAUGAUAUAUCUAUAUAUAUUAAUCAUCCUAAAUUUCUUUCAUGCAUCAUAAACAUAUGUUAUUCAAAGGUACCACUUCAAUCUUCAUUCAACUAUCUUUUUGUUGUCCAUAGAACUAGAUUUAUAUUAUUUUUUAUUAUCAUGUUUUGAUUUUAUGCUCACAUAACUUGAAACUCUCUUUCGUAAAUUUCUUUUUCAUUAAAACUAUAAAUCAUAAUUGAAACUAUGCACUAAUUUAUUUUAUUAUUAUCCUCACAAAUAAAUUCUUCAUUAUUGAUAAGAAAUCAAAAAACAAGACAAACUUUGAAAGAAAAUUUCAAAAAAUAUAUUUGUGAAUGACCAAUUUAAUUAUAGAAAAUAUAUGCAAGGCUAUACUAAUCUUGCUUUUGAGUCAUUUUACAGGUUUGUUGGUGAAGUACUAGUUUGCACAUUGACUUGAUAUCUUCCACACAAAUAUGGAUCUAGAAGAAGGGGAAAUGCCAAAAAUAAAGCAUAGAGGUAGUGCAUUGAAACCAAAGAUUGCAAAAAAUCGAAGUAAAGGGAUAAAACUCAAGAUUGAAUACAAUAGCCUUGGUAGUCACAUUGAGGAAAAUUCAGUUAAACUAAGUAGUUAUCUUAGUACAAUAACAAAAACCCAUGUGCCAAUAAUUAUUGAGAGUUGGAGGAAAGUCCCUAAAGAGACUAAGGAGAAGUUGUGGGAUUUGAUCACGGUAAGCCUAUCUAUAGCUUUAAUAUAUAAUUAUUGUAUACAUUCAUUAACAUGAGCUAACAUGGGUUGCUAUUUUGUAGACAAGCUUUAAUGUGAAUAAAAAAUCCAAGAGGAAUUGUUUCAUACUAAUGGGCAUCAGGUUUCGAACCUUUAAGUACAAGUUGACAAAGAAAUAUAUAUUGUCUUUCAAGAAUGACCAAAAAAGCUGAAAAAGUCACCUCCUAUUUGCCCAUUCAUACAAGAGGAUCAUUGGAGACAGUUUGUUAAAGAUAGACUUUUUGAACAUUUUAACGUUAAGCAUUAUUUUUAUUACAUCUUCAAUUUUCACAUUUACGUAGUUUCAUUAUGUACUAAUUUUGUGUCUAUAUUUUGUAGGAAUAUCGCAAAGUUCAGAAAUCAAGAAGAGAUAAACACAUUUACAAUCAUUAUCUUGGAAGAAAAUGAUAUGCACGUUUUGAGCAAGAUAUAGUAAGUUAUCAAUAUCCAUAAAAAAAAAUGGAGUAUAUAUUUUGUUUAUAGGAAAAUGAUUCUAGUUUUUAAAUAUCAUUUAUUAACUUGAUCAUGUUGAACUAAUGAGUUUUAUUGUUAAAAUUUUUAUAGCUACAAGCAGAAGGGGCUAUUGGUAGGGUUGAUAGAAGUGUUUAUGAAAGAAAACACGUGAGAAGAAAGGAAAGUUUAAUAAGAUUACAAAGCCAAUGAUUAACUAAGUUAGCAUAUUUAUGCCUUUUAGAGCCUAUAGUGUUAGUAUGUCUAUGUGAUUAUGGUUUGGGAUGAUAUCGUUAGGUGUUAAUAGGGAAGAGGCUUAAUGCUAUCAUUUUUAUGAGUAGUCAUGUUAUAUUAGUGCAAAUAUAGUAGCCUAAUUUGAAAAUUAAUUUUGAAACAAUAUACAUUAAUUUAUCUAUUAUCAUUUUUAUUAAAACAAUUCAUUUUCUAGCUACCUUGAAUUGGUCCUCUUGAAUUGGUUGUCUUUGAUUGAUAUGUUAAUCAUCAUCUUCAUCAAAUUAUUACUAAUAUAUGUUUUGUUGUAGGAUGAAUUACUAGAAAAGGCAAGGAGACUAGACUACCUCCACCUGGUCCAAAUGACAUAUUAUGUUAGGCAUUGGGUAAGCUUGAUCAUCUAGGACGUGUGGUAGGUCAAGACCGCUUGGUUAGGCCGAACUCAUACUUUCAUCAACCAUUUGAUGACAUGAAAAAAAAAAUCAAAGAAGAAAUAUGGGAAAUGGUGUGAAAGGGGAUGCAAGAUGCUGUAACAAGACAAACUAUGUCUCCUCCCACACCCCAUUCUGAUAUAGGUAGUAAUAACAUGAGACAACAACUUGUUUUACAACUAGUUGUAGCAAAAAAACCAAUGUUUAAAAUGAUGGAAGAGCCCCAACCACCAUAACCACCACUGAAACGUAAGGUAUACAUUUACUUACUAAUAAUACAAGAUUAAUAUAAGUGAUAUAUAGCCUAUGUAAAUGAUAUUAUUUGUUGUAUUAAAGGUGAUUAAAUAUAAAUUAGCAGUGGAAUGAAAAUGAAAUGUUGUUGCAACCGGUACAUUAAUAGAAGAAAAUUGAUCAAAUGGGUUGGUCGUAAUAAAUGUUGCACACAAGCUAGAUGCUAGACUCCCAUUUCCAAAUCCAUAUGAGAUUAUCAAUGUUGGGGAUGCUAUUGGCCUUAAGCUUGACUGGCCAACAAGCCUUGUCAUACUUGAAACUAAACAUCCUCGGGUAUGUCAUUUUAUACUUGUAGUAAAUUUGAUUGUAACUUGGUAUUUUAUUGUUAGGAGUAUAUAUUACUAACAUUCCUUCAUUUUUCAUAGGUGUUGGAUAAAGGAAAGAAGUAGAUAGUGAAUGCACCAAUUAUUCGAAAAUCUAAGCCUCAAAAUUAUUCGGUCAUUAAAAAUUUCCAGAAAUUUAUGGAUGGUUGUCUUAGUAAUGAGAAGACAUACCCAAUACAGCUCCCCAUUUCACUAUUUGGUGUCGAAUUCCGAACAUAUAUAUCUAGAGAGGAUUGUGAAUACAUUAUUUCAUCUUCAGAAGUGUCAUCAAAAUGCAUCUCCUUCCAUUUAUGGUGUGCACCUUUUAUUUUCAUUUGUUUUUAUUUUUUUUAAUAUGAGUUGCCCAUGUUGAACAAGAUUGGAUAUGACUAAUGAUAAUUUUCUUUUGGUGUUUUGAUAAUAUAAUAGGUACAUGCAUGAUCAACUACAUAUUGCCAAAAAGGAAUCACAAUUUAUAUUUGUUAAUCCUUUUACAAUAUCAUGAGCAGGCUUUAGUAAUCCUCAAACAGAGAAAAGAACACAAUUGUUGUCAAAACACUUAAUAGAGUGCCAAGAUGUCGGAUAUGUUUUCAUGCCCUACAACCUCGAGUAAGUGACGAAUAUUAUACUUUAAUUUGAGGUUUUAUGAUUGAUUUAUAUUUCUAAUUAGAUGCUACUUUUGUUUUUAAUGUUUUAGCUUUCAUUGGGUCUUGGUAGUGAUUGAGCCAAGGAAAAUGAUAGUCCACUAUCUUGACCCUGUGCAUCACAAACCAUGUGAGGACUUAAAGGAUAUCGUAAACAUGUAAGUUCUUCCUAUUAUUUUUCAUAGUAUUAUUUAAAAAAAAAUUACAUUCACCUCAAACACAUUUUUUAUUGUUAUUUCUAUAUAUUAAAGAGAUAAUUUUUUAUCCUACAAUGAUUGCUUCAAAGGUAUUACUUAUUUAAUGAAUUGUACAUAUUUUUAGGCUUUCAAAUGUUAUGCAUUUUAAUGUUAUUUUCUUAUUUGAUUUCAGUUUGGUGAUAAAAAAACAUAUUCUCAAGUAGAAUUCAAUGAAAUUAGAGGAGAAUUGACUACUUUUGUGCUACAACUAAUCAUGAAUCAUGUUGAUGCAUCAUGAUCACCAUGCAUGGUGAGUUCCUUAGCUACUACAUGAAUUUUUCCAUAGAUAUUGUAUAGUAUUGCUUUUCUUUGAACAAUGUUUUUAUUUGAAAAAAAGAAAAAAAAAAGUUCUUAGAUUUGUUCAUUUAUGAUAACAUCGAUCCAUAUUUAUUUUCUUCAAUGAAAUAUAUAAAACUCAUUAAACUAUGAAAUGCAGGUAUACACUCUUAGGAGGGUGGAAUAGAGAAUAAAAAGAACAAAGAAGGCAACAAGAUUUUAGGUUUUUAAAUACAGCUCGUAUGUCAUACGUUGUAGGACAUAAACAUUACUUUAAUUGGUAGUGAGAAUUUUAGAUUUUUAGAUGCUACUUUUAUGUCAUUUUAUAGUUAGUCGAUUUUAUGCUUAUGAAAUGAAGGUAUACAUGAAUCUUGGGAUGCUUCACAUUUCUAAAUCAUGUUUUGGUAUGUAUUCCCUCUUCUUUUUUAGUUUUGGUGGGUUUGAUAUGUUGGAUGUACUAUCUUUUUGUGAACAUUUGAUAUACAAAUAUUAUUAGAUGAUCAAUGUAUUACGAGUUAUUCCAUAAGCAUUACCGAAAAAUGAGUUAAAUGUAAUAUGAUUGUUAUAUUUAUGGAAAAAAUAUACACAGGUUAAUCCUAUUUGUUAAUUCAUAAGCAUUACAAAAAUCUACAACUAAAAGCAAUCAUAUCUUCCACGAUAAUUUACAAUGAUGUGACACCAUAACUCAAAGGUGAUGCAUUUAAUGUGACAUCAUAACUCAAAGAUCAUGCAUUUAAUGCGAUAUCCUAUCAUCACUAGAAAUAUAUGAUGUCACUUUCGAAUGCGUCACCAUUUAUCUACUUUGGUGUCACUUACAAAUACGUCACCAAUUGGUACCCUCUAUGGUGUCAGUGGAGAAGGUGACACUAUGUUGUAGUGACACCCUAUGUUUAUGGUGACUCGUUAUAAAUGUCACCAUAUAUUUUUUUUCUUGUAGUGCAAAUUACUUAUCUUACUAUGCAUUGGGCUUUGAUAUUAGCCAGAGACAGUAGUGGCUCCUAAUUUUUAUCCUUAACUGAAAUGAAAACGUCAAGCAGGUCCCCAACCUCUUUUUCUCCAUUCUUCCACUAUUAUACUAUUUGGUCCAUGAUUGGAUCAUGGUACUUGUUAAUGGUGUUCAUAGCCUCCCUUAUAGUCUUUUCAUGGCCAUCUAAAUUUAGCACUCUCUGCCAUGGGAAGUAAUCAGAUAAAGAGAAUACAUAUAGAUGAGCAAGUAUAGUAAAGAAGGAUUCAACAUGUUGCUCCACUUCAACUCCAGGGCCUCCAUCUUUCUUUCGUUGGCCAAAGUAUCUUGUGUUGAGGAUCAUCUUUCAGAUGACAUUCCCGUUGUAUUGACGGACUUUAUUUCUGUCACACCCCAAAUACUAGGCAACCCAGAACUUGACUCGUGGCCCUAGGUCAAAGGUUUGACCCUAAGAGUUACUCUUAUCCAUGUUGGCAAUCAAUCAAAACACCCUAGAUUUUUUUUCUUUUCAAUAAAGCGUUUAAUCCUAAAUAAAUUUAUUAAGCUAAGAUUUACUAUAACAUAUCAUUUUAUUUUUCCAAAACUAACCAUCACAUUAUCUCAUGUUCACAAGUAUUAAAAAAAUAAAAUUCCACCAAUCAUUUUCCUACCCAAAAGCUCAAAUAUUUACAAUAAACUCUAAGUCAAAAAGAAUAUUUCCAAAAUUUUUUUACAAACUAAUAAAAUAUAAUUUAACUUAAAAAAGUCCAUAUAACUCAAAUUAGUAGAUGUCAAAAAGGUAAUUAAAAAAAAACAACAACCAUUAUUAUAGUUUUUUUGCUUUUUAGAACACUUCAUGAUCUUCUUAUGGUCCCUUAGAAACUAUAUCUGCAUCUAAAAAUUUUAGAAAAAAAAGGGAUGCACAUUUCCACGUUACUCUUUAGACCUAAAUGGGUUAGAAAUUCUAGGUCAAUAAAACACAACCAUAUGCCAAAAUAUAAUAUUACAUUUACAUUAUACACACUAAAAGAAACCUCAACCAUACAAAUUUAAAUCAAUCAAAAUUAUCAUUCUCCUGAUUUAAUCAUAUGUUUAGCAUAUCAAUAAUUUUAAAUUUACAAAAUAAAUAAGUCACUUUAGUCUUGAAUAAUAUAUUCAAACAUACACUUGAUAAAUAAUACAAAUCAUUUUUCCAAAUGCAACCAUGAUACAAAUGCUUACACACAAUCACGCAAUGCAAUAUCGUUCUCGGGCUUUCACCGAAGGAUAUGCAUUUAUACCCAAAUAGACUCCCCAUUCGGAUUCUUCCUGGGAUAAAAUUUUGAGUCUUUCACCCUAAGGAUCUCACUCCCUUCUUAACUCACCAUCUCUAGGGUCUUUCAAUUUCUUAUUUUUCUUUUCUUUUCAUUUUUGCCAUUUUUUGGGUCUUUUCAUUCUCAUUUCCAUUUCACACAACCAUUUCUUUAAUUUUUCUUUUUCUUCACACAAUCAUGAUGCAUAUGAAAUGCAACUGAAUCAUAUUUUAACAUCCAUAAUUUUCCAAGACAUAAUUUUAUUUACUCCCAUUAUGUUUCAUAAUUUCCAAUAAUCCACACAACGAUUUUUCUUCACUUUAAUUGUCACAAACAUAAAAGAAAAUUCACAAUUAAUUUGUAUAGCAUCAAAACAUAGUUUUAAACAUUGACCACAUAAAUUCUAUUUAUUCCCGACAUGCUUAAUAAUUUCCAAAUCCAAUAUAACCAUUUUUUUUCAAUUAAAUAAUCACACAUAUCCAAGAAAAUUCUCGCUAAUACAAAUAUCAAUGAAAAUGUAAUUUAUGUCAUAAUUUAUUUGUCUCUAAUAAUUUCAAAAAUUUUGACACCCAUAUGAAAAAUUUCCACAAUUAAGCCACCCCAACAUUUGGGAAAAUUUUUCUAAUCAUUCAAAUAUCAACAAAAACCCAAUUUAUAUCAUCAUUUUUAUUUAUUUUUAAAAGCAUUAAUAAUUUUAAUAAUCAAUACAACACUUUUCCACAAUUAAGCCACCACAACAUUCUGGGAAAAUUUUCCAAUAAUUCAAAUAUUAACAAAACACAAUUAUACCUUAAUUUUUCUUAUCUCCAACAACAUCAAUAAUUCUUAGUACUCAAUACAACUAUUUUUAUUUUUUCAUAUUUAAUCUUCUCAAACAUUACCAAAAUUCCAAGAAAAAUCUAUAAAUCACGAAAUAAAAGUAUUCACAAUAAUAAUCACACUUCAAAUACUACAAAUAACAUCUAUUAUAUUUCAACAACACAAUAUAUAAAUUUUUUUGAAAGAAAAUAUUAAAUCAAAGUUUUAGGGUUAAAUCACCCUACCUUAAAUUUGAAAAAUUUAACCAUUAAAACUAAAACGGGACACCGUAGGAGUAUUCCUCGCAUUGAAUAGAAUAUCCUUCCAAAAUUUCAUGCGAAAUGGACGUCAUUUGGUAGGUCCAUCAACAUCCUAAAGCUAGCGACCCAUUUUUCCCACUCUUUGCCGACGACUCCCCUACAUCUCUCACUCGAUUUCCUUUCUUCAUUUUCUUUUCUUCUUCUUCUUUUAAACUCCCACGCCAAUUUCACUUUAUAUAUAUAUAUGUAUAUAUAUAUAUAUAUAUAUAUAUAUAUAUAUAUAUAUAUAUAUAUAUAUAUAUAUAUAUAUAUAUAUAUAUAUAUAUAUAUAUAUGUAUGUAUGUAUUAUUAAAACAAAUCCUAAAAUACCACGCACAUCCAUUUCUCAAUAAAUUAAAACCAUUAUUCUUAAAUUCACCUUCCAUAAUUAUGAAUUAUACCAAACUUAUGAUUUUCCAUUUCACGAAAAAUACCACUGUAUUCGUAAUUUAAUUUACUACAAGUCUACUCUUCAAAAAGUAUAAUUUGAUUAUAAUUACAUGAAACAUUGUUUUUUUACUCUAAAAUUCAUUCAAAACAUGAUAUAAUUAACUAUUAACAAAAUUCAAUUCCAUAAAAUAUGAAAAACAUAAAAUAAUUUUUUGGCAAUCAAGAAGUUGAAAUUUGUAAUAACCCUUAACCUGUUAAUUUUACCUAUAUUUAUUUACCAACAAAAAUUUAAAUAAUAUUCUAAAAUUUAAUUCCAUAAAUUAAUUAGUCAUUAAAUUUAUAAAAAUCAAAUUCUCUACCCUUUGGUAUAACUUUCAUUUAAUUUACUUCAUUUUUCAAAUUAUUCAAUCGCAUCAAAAUUUCAAAAGUUAAAUUCACUAAAUUCACAUUUAAUUAAUUUAUCCUUUUCUAUUUUUUUUUUCUAAAUUCGCAUAUCAUAAUUUAAUCUUAAUUUAAUUUUGAUUCAAUUUUGUUUUAUGUUUUCUAAUUUUAUGAGGUUUAAUUUCAAUUAUAAAAAUUAAAUUAAAUUUCUUUUUAAUUAUCCAUUAUCACAAUUUGAUAUAAUAUAAUUUUUUAUCAAGUUUUUCUUACUACGAUUUUUCUUAUAAUUAUCCAAUAAUAAUUAAAUUAAUUCUCGUAACAUAUUUAAUAUUCAAAUUUUAAAAACUUAAUCUCAAUUAUUGGAUGGUUAAUUUUUUUCUCAAAAUCUAAAUUUAAUUUAUGAAAUUCUCACUUCUUACAUCUGACGUGGCAAAAUUUUCAAACUAUUGACUUUUGACCAACUUUUCCUAAAUUUAUCCUAAUUAAAUACUAACACAUGGAUUUUCACCACUCUUUUUGACCUUUUGACCCACAAAUUUAUGAAAGACUUUAUGCUUGGAGAAUCUACAAAAACCUGGGUAUUACAAUUUCUCAGGUUGAUAACUGUCGUGGUUACGAAGCCACCACUUGAAUACUCAAUUGCCAUUGUAAUGGGCCUGGAUGCAAAUAGUACAUCAUGUUUCUUCAAAAGUUCUCUGCUAAUCUCUGGGAAAGUCGUAGGGACGAGAUGAAAUAUUUCCCAAUUGAAUACAUGCAAUUUCAGUGUUCAUUUCUUUCAUAAAGCCAAUGUAUCCACCAGAAAGUUGGCUUUUUGUUGAGUAAAUGAGGUAGAUAUUGCACUAGUGGCCCUGGAGCUAAUCCUGGAGGAAGUUGUAUCGGUUUGCUUUUGGUACUUGUUUUGGAUUUUAAUUUAGUGAAGAUGAGAAAGAUUAAUGUGAUAAAAAGCAGUAAGAGGAAGUUGAGAUGAGACAACACAUCGUCUGUGGUAGUAGAAGAAAACAAGGUUGAGUUACUGCUAUUACUCCCUGCAACAAAACCAUUUACAUGUCUUUUAUAGCAAAACCAUGUUUGUCCUAUCUUGGGUCUGGAUGCACAUUUUUAAUAUUGGGGAAAUCAUGCAACCAAAUGUCACACACAAAGAGAGAGAAAAAAAUACGUUUUUUAGAACUUGGAAAGGUAAAGUGGGACAAAAAAUAUUAUCCAUUCUUGAACUCUAAAAGUAAAGUUAUAAAAAGCUUAGUUUUUUUUUUUUUUUGUUAUGUAUGAUUGCAUGAUUUCCCCCUUUUAAGAUUUUAUCUCAUAAAAUUUUUUUCUAGAAAGUUCAAAUAAGUUUGAUGAAUAUUGUUUAUUUUAGUAAUUUUAAUUUUAUGGGGUACUUAAAACAUUAGAAGUUCACAAAAAGCAACAUUUAUCAGCUACCUAUCUAAAAAGCUUGGCCUAAUCAUUGAAAUCCAAAAUAUAAAGUGACAACACACUUUUUAAAGCAAUUUUCAAAAUAGUUUUUAAAAACACAUUUAUUUAUGAUAUUUUUAAAAUAAAAAUCUCAAAAAUAACUUGUUUAUAUAGCGUUUUAUUAGACAAAUACUUGAUCUUUAUAAGAUCACCCUAAUUAUAGAUUUAUGAACAUGUAACACAACAAUUAUCUAUAUAUAUACUUAGAAUUAUUAUAUUUUAAGUUUUUAACUACAUAGGACAUCAUGAGUUUUUCCACCAUUUAUCUUAUAAUAAGUUUAUUUAAAUAUGAUAAAGGAUAUAUUAUCUCAUUUCUUAUUAUAUCCGAUGCUAUAUAUAUAUAUAUAUAUGUAUGUAACAAAUCAAAUACAAUUUAAAGAUUUUAAUUAACCAUCUAUUAGCAACAAAGCAAUCUCUUAAUCUCAUUCAUAAUAUUAGGAUAAUUUAGUAUUUCCUUUUAUAAAACACUAGCAUAUAAAUCAACACAAAUCAUAUUAAGGGUGUAUUUGGUGUUGAUUUUAGGAAGCAUUUUUAGUAUUUCUAAUACUUGAAAGAUAAAAAUUUUCAAGUUUUAGAAAGAUCAAAAGCGCUUUUUAGAAUGACUAUCAAAUACAUGCUAAAUAUUACUUUUGGAUACUUAUAUUUUUAAAUAACUCUUAAAACUUUUAAGGCAAGUCUCUACUAUUUAUAUAAAUCCCCUAUUAUUUUUAAUUUUUAGAAACAAAAAAUAAAGAAUAGAAACUCCAUUUAAACAUCACCUUAUUAUUUCCUAUUAUAAAAUAACACAAAUCAAAUGAAUUAUUUAAAAAUAAAUAAAUAAAAAAUCAAAGUUGAAGAGAAAAAACUCUUGUGCAUUAAAAAAACAUCAAAAUAAAUAAAUAAAUAAAACAUCAUCAAAUAAAUGUAAAAAUAAAUUAAUGUUAUGGAAAAAUGAGAAUAGGCAACAAGAAAAUAAGAACACAGAUUUACAUGAAAAAUGCUAGACGGGAAAAACCAUGGAUAGAGGAGAAGAAAAUCCACUAUAUUAAAAAUUUGGUAUAAAAUGUGAGAGAAUCAAGCGAGUAUUGUAUAGGCAUAAUCACUAUGACCCUAAAUCCUAUACAUCAUUGCAUAUGUAUGGUGUAUGCGAUAAUAAAAAUAUUGUCACAUAAAAUAACUAUGGGAUGUAAUAUUUGUAAUAAUAUUUUUUACAAAAAAAUAUUUUUUCUUUGCUUUAUUCACUUUGAUCACAACUUGAAAUAAGACAAUAAAAAUAUUUUCUUAAUUUUUGAAAAUUAAUUGAGGACUUAGAGCUACUUGUUACUGAGUGAAUUUGCUGAAUGGUGAAGAAUGCGUGUAUAGUAGUUUUGCAAUUUUUCAAACUUAUAGACAUAUUUUGUGAAGUCUUUUUCUCUUUGUAAAGCCCCAUUUUCUAUGUGAAGUUAUUUUUUCAAUAUUCUCUUUGGAAGGAAUUUACCAUUAGUUAUAUAGGUAAGAUUAAGGAAUUAAAUUUGGAAUUCUUAACAUUUGAUUGCUUAAUUCAAAGAAUUUGGUUCAAGGGAAAUUUGCCAACAAAAUAAUAUUUAUUUUUAAUUCUAUGAUGACUUUAAUUAUUUGAUAUAAUUUUAUUUUGAAAGACUUGAUGUGGGGGACUCAUCACUUAUUGAGUCCAAAUUUUGUUGCACCCAAAUUUUUAUGAGCUAAGAAACCAUAAUUUUAAAGACCAAUUCAGUGGUAAGUGAAUCUGCUAAAAUCUUCUAUGUACAAAUGACCUCACUUCAAGGUGCAACACAUACAUGUAUUAUUAUGUGUAUGGGAUGAGUCUUGAAGUUAGUCUUCAUUCUUCUUUGAUUUUUUUCUUCAAAUAAAUAAAUAAAACAUCAUCAAAUAAAUGUAAAAAUAAAAUAUGUAUCGGUUAAUUGGAGAGGAGAGCUUUAAGGGCAUUUCUUCUAUGAAAUUCUAUGCUCCACGUACCAUAAAUUUGUACUCAACCAACAAAAUUACAGAAUGGGUCCAUGCACAAACAAAAUAACCCAAAUGUAAAUAUCUAAAAAUGUAUAAAGUUCACAAUAGAUAUUCAAGCCCAAAUUUAAAUUUCAAAUUAGUCCAACAGAUUUCAUCAAUCAAAAUGGGUCCAAAUUAGCAAAUAUAACCCAACAAAAAUAUCUCAUAUGUCAUAGGCCCUAAUUUAAAAUUUUCAAAUUAAUAGCCAAAAUAUAAGUUCAAUUAAUCAAACCCAAAACAUGAUAAAUUAAAAUAAAUCUCAUUAGGCCUAAACUUAAUAUCCUAUAAUUCAAGCCUAAUUUAAUAUAUAAACCUAAAUCCACAAUCAAAAUCAACCCAAUUUAUGCUAAUCCCGAUUUACAAUCAAAAUCAAACAUAAUUUAAUAAGUAAAUAACUAAAUAAAUUAAGCAAACUCAAAACACCCAAACCACUACAACAUAAAUCAAACAAUAAUAAAUAUAAUGACAAUAAUAAUAAUAAAAAAUAAAAUAAAAUAAAAUAAAAUAAAAAUAAAAAAUUUAACUCAUGUCGGAGCCAGUUUGAAUGUCUUGGGAAAGAAAGAAAAUGAGAGAAAAGUGAGAGAUGAUUGACAACUGACAGUGGCUCAUUGGCGGCGACUGGCUAGUGGUCCUACCGAUGGUAGUGAGGAUUGAUUGGUUUUUGGGAAAAAAAAUAAAAUGAAGAAAAGAAAAUGAGGAGUAAUAAAAAAAAUGGAGAAAUGAGAGGAAGGUGGGAGAAGAAUGGAGAGAGAGAACGUAGAAAAUGAGUGAAAAGAAAUGAGGCUAGUUGGAGGAGGAAGUGAUAGUGUGUGAGCUAAAGUGAAGAAGAAUAGAAGAAGAAAAUGGAGAAGAAUGGGGAAAAAAAAAUCCGCCUCCCUAAAUGAAGAGAGGUGGGUAGCCUAAAGAAGAAGAAAAAAUAAAAUAAAAUAAAAUGGGGAGAAAAUGAGAGGGGGUCAGUGGUCUUGCGAAUGAGGUGGUAUGCGUUAGAGAGAGAGAGUGGGUGGGGUUGUUGGGGAAGGUAUGAGAGAGAGAGGAGAGAGAAAAGAAAAAAGAUAAUAUAAAAUAAUAAUAAUAAUAAUAAUAAUAAUAAUAAUAAUAAUAAUAAUAAAAUAAUAUACAAAAUAAUAAAAACUAAUAAUUAAAUAGUGAGUGGGCAAAAAAUAUCAUAUGAAAUCGGGAUUUAAUUUUAAGAGUAAAAUUGGGUUAAAAAUUAAUGUAAAAUAAAAUUGGGACAAAUUUUGGGGUAUACAAUAAUGCGCGCCUCUUCGAUAGAGUCCACGACUAAAGCAAGUGUAUAUGUGAGCAAAACAAAGUGGGCUCUACUGAAAAACAAGAAAGACCACCAAAUUUGUCUUAAUAUGACAUGAACUCUCCCAAAAAAAAAAAAAAAAAAAAAAAUCUAAAACCCUACAAAAAUGGCUAAAACGGAAAUUCCUAAGGUGCCUCUAAAGUUAUACUAUGGAUCUAGACUCCCUUAGAAAAGCCUCCAAAAAUGGCCCAAAAAUCGGUGUCAAAAUCGAGUAGCAAUCAGACCACUAAGGAGCACAUGAACGAAUGCAUACAAAGGGAAAAAAAACCAUACGUGUACCAUACGAUGACAAAAGGCAUAAGGUAUCCAACAAUAUGACUGAUUCACGUGUUACGAGCUCAAAAAACUUUGUCAUGCACCAUGGAGGAAGGGAAACUCUAGAAUAAUGUGAUGAGGAAGUUAUUAGCACAAUGUAACAGAGUGAGGAAAAAAGUGAUGAGUGCAAAGCUGUGAGGACAAGGUGCACAAUGCUAAUGAAUAUGAAAUGAAUAGCACUAGGCUACAAUGCAAUCAAUAGCUCAGGGUUGUACCAUAAUGAACAAGUCAAGGAUGUGUAAAGAUGAGGAACAACUCAAGGUUGUAAUGCAAUGAACAACUUAGGGCUGUGAAUGCAAUGAACAACUCAGCGCAAUGAAUGAAAUGAAUAGCUCAGGGCUGUGAAUGCAAUGAACAACUCGAGGUUGUGGAUGUAAUGAACAACUCAGGGUUGUGGAUGUCAUGAACAACUCAAGAAUAGGGGCACUGUACACCCAAAAUGGGAGAUCACGGCCUACGAUUCCAAGUCAAACCACUAAAGGGUGACCAAAAUGAGGGUGAUCAACUCACUAAAAAAGAUGAUAAAAAUGUCUUAAGGGAGAGGAGAUGCCCCAUAUGAAACUUAAAGGAAAUGAGUAGUGCUAAUGAAACUAAAAAAAGAAAAAAUGUCACAACUGAAAUUGAAAAAAUAGCAAACUUAGAUUAAAGUGCAAUGAACAACUUUGGGCUGUGGAUGCGAUGAAUAGUACCGUGUUGUAAUGAAAUGAAUAACUCUAAGAUAUGGGCAUUGUACGCCUAAAGAGGGAGAUCGUGGUUUACGACUCCAAGUCAAACCACUAAAGGACAACUAAAAUAAGAUGAUCAACUUACUAUAAAUGAGAAUGCAACUAUCUCGAGAAAAAGGGUAUGCCCCAAAUGACACUCAACAGUAAAAGAAUGACACAAAUGAAACUAAAACAAGAGGAUGCCACAAAUGAAAUUGAAAUGAUAACAGACUCAGUACUAAUGUGUAAUGAACAACUUUGGACUAUGGAUGCAAUGAAUAGCACUGGGUUGUAAUGAAAUGAACAACUCUAAGAUGUGGGCACUAUACCCCUAAGAAAUGAGAUCAUAGUUUACGACUCUAAGUCAAACCGCUAAAGGGCGACUAGAAUAGGAUAAUCAACUCACUAAAAAUGAGGAUGCAACUAUCUCGAGAAAGGGGGUAUGCCCUAAAUGACACUCAACAGUAUAAGAAUGACAUAAAUGAAACUAAAAUAAGAGGAUGCCACAAAUAAAACUAAAAUGAUAACAAAUUCAAAACUAAUGUGCAAUGAAUAACUCUAGGUUGUGGAUGUAAUGAACAACACUGGGCUGUAAUGAAAUGAACAACUCUAAGAUGUGGGCACUAUACGCCUAAAGAGGGAAAUCACGGUCAACGACUCCAAGUCAAACCACUAAAGGGCGAUUAGAAUAGGAUGAUCAACUCACUAAAAAUGAGAAUGCAACUAUCUCGAGAAAAGCGGGAUGCCCUAAAUGACACUCAAUAGUUAAAGAAUGACACAAAUGAAACUAAAAUGAAAUGAUACUACAAAUGAAACUGAAAUGAUAACAAACUGAUAACUAAAGUGCAAUGAACAACUCUAGGCCGUGGAUGUAAUGGACAGCUCAAGAAUAGGGGAACUGUUCGCCCAAAAUGGGAGAUCGUGGUCUACGACUCUAAGUCAAACCACUAAAGGGUGGCUAAAAUCAAAAUGAUCAACUCACUAAAAAUAAGGAUCUGAACAUCUCAAGAAAGGGGUUAUGCCCCAAAUGAAACUGACAAUAGAGGGAUGCCCUAAACAGACUGAAGAAAGGAGGAUGCCCUAAACAAACUAACGAAAAAUGGAUGCCCUAAACAAACUGAAGGAAGUGAAAUGCCCUAAAUAAACUGACCAAAGAAGAAUGCACUAAACAAACUCCGAGAAAAAAAAAAAGAAGUAUGCGAUAUAGAAUAAAAAACACCUAAAGCAAAAACAAGAAACAAAGAAUGUGGUUUACAACUAGAAACACCCAAAAGAACCUUAAAGAAGUGACUGGGAUAAUGAACUUAAUGAAAAUAGGGUAUGCCACAAUAAAAGACUCGGAAGUAUCAGCAAAUGGGUCAAAUGACCAUGAAAUCAAUAGGAGAUAUGAUGAACCCAAAAAGGGCGUAUGCCCCAACAAAAGAACACUAAAAGGGGGGUAUGCCCCGAUAUGACGACUCACAAUAAUUAAGAAAUGGAUCGAGUAAUGAGAAAAUCUGCAAAAUAUCUUAUGAACUCAAAGAUGGGGGUAUGCCCCAGUGUAAAAUAGUGACCAACAUAAGACACAGAAUGUCACCAUACAAUACACUCUGGGAUAUGCUCAAUGACAAUGUAAUGAAAACAAUAGCCUCAAUCAACAAAUGUUCAAGCAAGACCAUGCAUCACAUAAACUAAAAUAAUAGGCUAAAGAAAUGCUAACCAAGUUUCUCAAUCUGAAAUGUAAGCAAGUCAAGACAUGACAUGUCAACCAUCGACAUGAAAACAUCAUCACAAAUACAUCAACAAACUAAUAGUCCCUACUAUCAUGGAAAAUGUAGAACCUAACGUCCAAAGGCAUGUGAAAACUCAACCAGAAAGCUCAAGACUAGUUUGCAUCCUCCUCUAAUAAAAAGAAUGAGAUAAGGUCAUGUAGGAUGAUGAAAUAGGCAAGCUCAAUAUUCGUUAGGCUCUACCAAGAUGGAUGUAGGUAUAAUAGUGUCAAAGGUAGGAUGUCUAGAUGUCCAACGAAGGAAACUGGGUAUCCAAGUCAAACCAAGUAUGUUGAGGAAACUGAACCCAUAGGAUAAUAACUUUAUGAUCCAUUGAAAAUAGCAAUCAUGAAUAGAAGGUCGAGUCUCGAUGUCAAAAUCAACAAGGUGGCAUUGCCCCAGUAUGAAUACAUCUUCUCAAAAUGGGUAAACCCUCAGUGCAAGAUAAUCUCUAGAAAGUAUGUGUCUAAUAUAAACUGUCAUCUCACAAAAUCUAUCACUGAUCAGUGGGCUAUACCCCAGUGUAAGCAUUUCCAAAUCAAACAUCGAUGAGAGGAGUACAACCAAUCAUACACAAUAUGAUCAAAACAAAUCUCCACUCCUCAAAGUCAUCAUGGUAAUGUGAAGAGAGUAUCUAACCUCAUUUAAAGAAAGAUCAUGUCCCAAUGUGAAAAAUAUCAAGCAAAGUGGUAUGUCUCAACAAAAAUGCACUCUAACAUGAUCAUGCCUAGAUGUAAGAUGGUAUCUUUAAGAUUAAUCACCAAUGAAAGGGUUAUGCCCCAGUAUAGGGCAAUCUCUUAAACGACUAAAAUCCACUACAAGCUCUCACAAGUGUCUAUGUCAUGAACCAAUCAUCUCAAAAAAUAAAUAAAUAAAUAAAUAAAUCUAUCAACAAUGAUGAGAAGGUUAUGCUCGUAUAAUCACAUCAAGAAAAUCACCCGGUCAUAUCUUGUAUUCCAAUGUGAAAGGAAAAUAUGAUCACCUCCAAAGAAUGGCUAUGCCCCAAAAUACAUCAUCGAUUGAGAAAUAUGCCCCUACGUAAAGUACAUCAACUGAAAUAUGCCAAUCAUGCCUCAUGCUCCAAUGUGAAAAAUGACGUAUAAUCUUCUUUGAGGGAUGGUCAUGACUCAAAAUCCAUCAUCAGUUGAGAGAAGUAUGCCCCGACAUAAUGGUCAUCUAAAAAAUCAAUCCCCGACUAAGAAAUGUGUGCCUUGAUGUGAUGUAUCAAGCAAAAUGGCUGCAUACCCCAUAAAAAACUCUCUAAGGUGGCUAUGCUCCAAUGUUGGAUCAUACCACAACUCCUGGUCGAUCACAAUCAAAAUGCUCUCCAACCAAUCCCAAGUAUCGCCCACAUGAGAGCUAUCAAACACAAUGUGUGAUGUCAUGGCCUCAAGGUGGUCUUAAGAUUCGGGACGUAACGUAGGCUAGGGUAAUAAGGUGAAGAAAUGAAGGAAAACUAGGCUUAAUAAUCCUAAUGAUAAAACCCCAUACCCUUAUGUAUAAAAUGCAAUAUGUGCAAAGAGUCUCAUAAACCAUGGAUCUAAGGACACCCAAUAUGAAUAUAUCAGUGAGGAAGAAAGAAUCUAAGAUGAAUAUAUCAAUGAUAAAAGAGAAGAAAUGAAGAAUAUCAAACUGUUGAUGGGAUGUAUAAGAAUGAUGUGUGGAAAAUAUUGAACAUGGAAUGUAAAUUGAUAUGAACAAAGAACAAUGUAGGCAAGGCAAAUGCGAUAUCAUGAUAAGAACAAAUAAAUCGAAGAAAAAUGAAUGAACACUAAUCCACUCAAAUCAAGUCAUGGAGAAUAGUCAAAUCACCAACGUAUGUAAUGAUGGAGAAGACAAUGAUUCGAAGUCCCUAGGAAAAUGUCACUUGUUUGUCACACAUAAAAUACAUAACAAGAUAGACACAAAAAUAUGAGAGUCUUUUGAAAGUUCACGUACGAACUUUCAUAAGCAACUAACUCAAUAAAGCAACCUCAAUGACCAAUAUAUACACUCAAUAAAGGAUGACACUGUAUACAUGUGUUUAUUACUUUUUCUUUUUCAUUUUUUUCAUUUUUUUUUUCAUUUUUUUUCUUUUACUCACGCAUACUCUGAAUAUCAAUAAAUGAACUUCUCUAAGAAUACAUAAUGAAAUGGAUAUACUCUCAAACAAUGAUGUAAGCGAACUCUCUCUGACAAGAUGACCCUCUAAAUUAAGGAUUUUCGAACUAACGUCCAUGAGAUAGGAGUGGAAGGGGAUAUGACCAUCCUCCUUGCAUCGAAAUGUGAAAAAUCAUCACUCAGGGCACAAAAAAAUGUGAUGAAAAAAAAUAAAAAAUGAAACAAAAGAUAUAAACAAUGGAGUAUGAUGAAGACUGAUGUUGGGAAGACAAAAAAAUAGUGAAGAAGGUGAGCCAAUAAGUCCACAACUCAUGAAACUCUCGAAUAAAAUAUAUAUACACCAAAAGACCCUUAUCCCAGUAUAAAAUGUGAGCAAGGAUAUAAGAAAGAAAAGACUAUGGUGCUCAUGUGAGGUUCAAAGGGCUAGCAACGGUCCAAAUGUCAAUAAAGGUAAUAGGGUGUGAGCUAACCAAAAUGAAGGCCACCUAUGAUGGUCUGAAACAUCAUGCUCUUAAGCUUUCAAUGAUCAAUACUGAAAAUCGAUGUCCAUUUGAUAUAAACACGUCAACCCUUUGGAAUUGUGCGCCAAACCAUACUCCAAAUGCUCCAUAAUAAUCUCAAAGAUAAUCCUCUCAAAGCACAAUAAAUAGCGAUCUCAUAAGGCACAACUACUCAUCACAAGCCAACUCUCAUCAUGCAAGAUCAAUCUCUAUUUUCAUGGAAAAAUAAGUGACAAUCUCAUCAGGCAAUUGACGAAUCCUCACAUCGUAAACCAACCAAAGAUCAUAAGUCAUUCAUUGCCAUGCAAGAUCAAUCCCAAGCUCAAACUCCUCAUACUCUACCUGGUUGGAUUAGAGAAGAAAUGGGCAAAGCUAGAAAAACUGAAGAUGGAAAGGUCAUAUAAUGGUGUCAAGGGUGAUGUUGUGCAAAACUCACAAUGGAUGGAUGUAGGUCAAAGCAAAGUCAAUGUGUGAGAGUGAGUAAGACACCACUCUGAUCAUAAGAAGAUGAGUCACAAUCUCAAACUCCUAAGGUCAAAUCUCCGAUCCUAGGCUAAUAAGCUCAACAUCCUCCAUGAUAGGUCAACCCCCAAGAUCACAAUGUGCAAAUGAAUAGAUGCCUCAAGUCAAAAGUACAACACAUCAUAUGAUAUAUGGUCCUACGAUGACAAUCUAAAACUGGAAAUAUGUUACAAACUCUAAGGUCAUAAAGGUGUCCACUGUGAGAUGACUACAAAUGUGACUAAGGAAUCUUUAUCAAUAAUCCAAAAAAUGAAUGAGGUGUGAAAAACAACACUAUCAUGAGAUCGAUACCCCAUCAAUAACAAAAUAUCUCUAAUUCACUUUCAAUCUAAGCUCUAUAAAGAAAAACGAUAAGGUUAUAAAGGCAAACCUCUCAAAAAUGGUGUGAAUGUGAAAACAUGUCUUCACCUUUCUAUAAUGAAAAUAUCAUGUUGAAAAUAGAAAUAGGCAAAUCGACCAAAGAAUGAAGUACGGAGCCCAUGACAAGUGAAGAAUGUAAAAAGGUGAACAUGAUCAAUGAACAUAUCCCAAAACAUCAAGCAUAAAGUGGCAACAAACCGAAAGAAUGUGUCAACUUAAGAAAAGAAGACUAUCUGAAGCCCUAGGGAGAAAGUGUGCUAGACUCAAGGAGCGACAAGAAGAAACUAAAACCAUAUAGCAAGGGGUGGUCCAACUGAUACUCAAACUCGUACCAAUAUCUAAGCACUCUCGACUGGAGACCAAAAGAUGGAGUAUUGGAUCCAUAUUGUGACUAAAGUGGCCUCGAAGGCUCUAAGAUGCACCCACGUGUAGGAAAGGAAAUCCUAAUAAAAAUAUCUAAGGCUUAACCUACAAGGUCAAGGCGGCUAUAAAAAGAAAAAUUGAGUGGACUUUAAAGGAUCCCUAGCAAAAGCGAUCAUACCCUCCAAUGGUACGCAACCUCCUACACGUCUUGAAAUAUAUGGGAGUAAUUCCAUGCAAGGUGGUCAUCACCUCCACACAUGCACUAGCUCAUAUCCUAGAGGGUUUCCUAAUGAUGAAGACUCUUACAUCUCUCAACACUUAGUGGUAAUCUAAGGUGCACAGUGAACGGUGUGGGUUCAUCCAAAAAUCAUAUCAAGCUAAACAAAGAGAAAACACAUUGGUCACACAAAUAUCCUGAAAUCUAGCUCUAACCUAUACAAGUCUUCAAAGAUUGGACUCCAAUUAGCAUUAAUGUUUCGACCUUCUCCAGAAUGCUCCCAAACAUAGAUAUAGUCCAUCACUAAACCCUACUCCGAAUCACUAGCUCGGUCGAAGAGCAAACAAAGUAAUAAGUCUCAUAUCAAAUACGAGAUCAAGGGGAACACGGUCACCCGAGACUAGGGAAUUGAAGGUAAGGAGAUAGGUGUGUGUCCCACAUAGAAAAUCAACAUGCAUUACACAGAAGAAGAAUAGUCAUGCAAUAGACAACCAAGCAAAGAACAGGUAUAUCAUUCAUAUCUACACACAAGCUAAACAAGAAAUAGGUAUUUAACAAGAAUAAACAAUAUGUUGAGAUAAACAAGAUAAUAUACAAUAAAGAGAAUCAAUCACACCAAUAUGAAUGAGAUAUACAAAAAUGAGAAUAUACAUGUCAAGGAGAGCAAGAUAAUCAUACAACAAGAAGAGUCUUAUGUUAAAGCAAGCAAGAGAAUCAAUCGAUGUAGUCAACAUGUCAAUAUCGCAAAUGAACAUAACAACCAAAUAUGCAUCAUAAAGAAAAAAUGGUAAUCAUGCAGCACGUAGUCAUACAAAACAAAUAUAGACAAACAUAAGCAAAUAAAUGUAAACACACAUGAUAACAAAAAUCAAUGUAUAGUAAGGCACAUGCAAUAUAUACAUAAAAUAAUCAUCAAGUCAACACUCAUAUACCUUAAAACAUGAAAAUAUACAAUAAAGACACAAUGAGAGGGUAUUCACUGAUCGAUUAAUCAAACGCUACAUUUCCUUUAACUCGAGUUCAAGUUUGAUCCUUUAAAUAUCCCUAGUGGAGUCGCUAUUUUGUGGACCCACAUUUUUCAAAUGCGUCCUUACACAACAGCGAGACUCAUUUUUUUUAUUUGGUGAAAAUUUGAUUUUUAGAAAAAAGACUUUGAGUCGUCACUUAUUUUUGUUUUUUUUUAAGGGAAAACAAAACAAGAAAGAAAACCUUGUGUAACUCCUUAUUUGGGAAAGACAUGUAUGCAAAAACCAAAUCUGGUUUCGGGGGUCAAGUUACCUAUUGGGAAUGUACGAUGGUGAGCUGUAGCACCUCUCUAAGCUCAUAUACGUACAGUCUCUACUAAACGAAUUAAGAGAGUUGUAGUAAUUAAUUAAUUAGUCAAGGAUACCAAGAAAAAGAAUCGCACAAAUGAGUACGUACAAAUCAUGAUAAAAAAAAUCAAAUUAUAAGAAUAGACAAAAUAAAUAACAAGAGAAUUGUGCAAAGUGAUUUAUUAAACUAAAUAAAAAAGAAGAUAUUAAAAAAAUUAGUUUUCAAGAAAUUUCAAAGGAUUUUAUUAAAAUGAUUUUGAAUUAAUGAUUUUAAUUUAUUUAUUUACAAAAAAAAAAGUCAAUUUAUUUUCUUCAAGUGAUUUGAUUCAAUUUUUUUUAAAAAAAAAAGUUAUUUACACUCAUGGUUGUUAAAAGAAUUAUUAACAAAAUUUCAAGUUGACAAUAAAAAUGAUUUUUACUUGCUUUUACUCGAAAACAAUGAAUUUUUACAAUUUUAUUAACAAAAGCAUUUCAAUUUAAGAAAAGUGACUUAAACAAAUUAUUAAAAAAAUAUAACUUUAUCUACAAAAGAAUUUUUAAUUAAAAAGAAAAAAUUUAAAUCAUCUAUUUCUAAAAAUGACUUUUAAUCCCAUUUUAAUUAAGGAAAAUUGAGUUAUUUAAAAAAACAUUUUUUGGACAAUUUGAAUAAAAAUUAAUUUUUGGGACAACUUAUUUACAAAACAAUUUUUGGACAAUUAUUAUUAAAAACAAAAUUUCAAAUUCGAUUAAAAACAAUUUUUUGGAUUUUUCCAAACACAUUUUUAUGAAUUUUUAUUAAUAAAAAACUUUUUUUUAUUAAGAAGAAUAUUUUUUGAGCUAUUAUUUUAUUAAAACAUGUUUAUUGAAUUAUUCUUCUUAUUCAAACAAAAUUUUUAAUUUGUUCGAUAUCCAAUUCUGUACACAACAAGUAAAUAUAUACAAACAAAUAUUUAUAGAAAGCAAUAAAAAUAAAACCAAAUAGAAGUGAGAAAUAAAACAUGUACUUAAACAUGCUUACAACAAGCUCAAUGUCUUCUUACGAUUUUUCGAGUCUCACUUUCUUUCAUUAAAUUUUAUGCUCCACGUACCAUAAAUCCGUACUCAACCAAAAAAAUUGCAGAAUUGGCCCAUGCAAAAACAAAAAUAACACAAAUGUAAAUAUCUAAAAAUGUAUAAAGUUCACAAUAGAUAUUCAAGCCCAAAUUCAAAUUUCAAAUUAGUCCAACAAAUUUCGUCAAUCAAAAUAGGUCUAAAUUAGCAAAUAUAGCCCAACAAAAACAUUUCACAUGUCAUAGGCCUUAAUAUAAAAUUUCCAAGUUAAUAACCAAAAUAUAAGUUCAAUUAAUCAGACCCAAAACAUGAUACAUUAAAAUAAAUCUCAUUAGGCAUAAACUUAAUAUCUCAUAAUUCAAGCCUAAUUUAAUAUAUAAACCUAAAUCCACAAUCAAAAUCAACUCACUUUAUGCUAAUCCCAAUUUACAAUCAAAAUCAAACAUAAUUUAAUAAGUAAAUAACUAAAUAAAUUAAGCAAAAUCAAAACUCUCAAACCACUAUUGCACAAUAUCAAACAAUAAUAAAUAUAAUGACAACAACAAUAAUAAUAAAAUAAAAUAAAAAAAUUUAACUCACGUUGGAGCCAGUUUGAGUGUCGUGGGAAAGAAAGAAAAUGAGAGAAAAGUGGGAGAUGAUCGUUAGCUGGUAGUAGCUCGCCCGCGGCGACUGGUCGAUAGUCCUGCUGGCGGUAGUGAGGAUUGAUGAAUUUUUGGGAAAGGAAAAAAAAAGAGGAGUAAUAAAAAAAUGGAGAAAUGAGAGGAAGGUGGGAUAAGAGGGGAGAGAGAGAAUGAAGAAAAUAGGGGAAAAGAAAUGAGGCCGGCCGGAGGAGGAAGUGGUAGUGUGUGUGAGCUAAAGUGAAGAAGAAUGAAAGAAGAAGAAGGAGAAAAAUGGGAAAGAAGGGGAAAAAAAAUUCGAGCCCUCUAAAUGAAGAAAGGUGAGUAGCUUAAAGAAGAAAAUAAAAUAAAAUAAAAAAAGAAAAAAUGAGGAGAAAAUGAGAGGGCCAGUAGUCUUGGGAAUGGGGUGGUAUAGGUGAGAGAGAGUGGGCGAGGUUGUUGGGGAAGGUAUGGGAGAGAGAGGAGAGAUGAAAGAAAGAGAAAAAAAAAACAUAAUAAUAAUAAUAAUAAUAAUAAUCAUAAAUAAUAUAUAAAAUAAUAAAAAUUAAUAUUUAAAUGAUGAGUGUGUCAAAAAUAUUAUAUGUAAUUGGGAUUUAAUUUUAAGAGUAAAAUUGGACUAAAAAUUAAUGUAAAAAUAAAAUUUGAACAAAUUUUAAAAUCUACAAAUACAUUCUUUAAUCUUUCCACAACAUCAAUCUGAUCUAAAUGAAAUGCAAUAAAUUCUAAAAAUGAUACAAUCUUUAAUCAAUCCACAAUAUCAACCCGAUCAAAACUCAAUGCAAUAUUGCUUAAUGGAGAGAAUCGUAAAAUCCUUUUAUGAGAGGAAAACAAAACCCUUAACAGACCUUUAUGAGAGGAAAAUAGGAAAACAUAGAACUAAAAACCCUUAACGUAUUCAUGAGAAUAAAAAAAAUCCUUAACACCUUAAUAAGAGGAAAACAAAGAAUUUGAACAAUCCUUAAUCCAUCAAAAGCUCUUAAUAUGAACGAGGGGAAAACAUAACCUUUAUUUUUCAUAUCGCUGAAUACAGAAUCUAAAGAGAUAGAAUUUUUAGUUAUUAAGGAUUUUUUAUAGAUGUCUAUUGAAAGUUUAAGAACUUUUAUGGAUAAUUGUUAAUUAAGAGACUGAAAGGGUACUUAGGAUUUUCAACUAAAAAAGUUAUAACAAUAUGAAUAGUAAGAACUUAAAAACAUCACCCAUCCAUCAUAGGAAUAUGGAAUGAGAGGUUAUUUUUUUACUUAUACAACAAUAAACUUUUUUGGAAGAGGUUUUUCUAAGUACAAAAAGUUAUGAAUAAAAAACCAUUGUUACGAUGAGUUAACUAAAAUAGAAUUAAUUUAGAAAAUAUCAAUAAAGUUGCAUGAAUUAUUAUCAUGAGUUAACUUAAUAAGAAUAAAUAGUAAUAAAGUUAAUGAAGUGAAUUUGGAUUGGCAGAUAUAUUUGAUGAUAAGAUUUUUUUAAUAAUAAAAAAUUAUUAUGGCAGGAAAAAUAGGACAAAAUUGACCUUAUGAUAAGAUUUUUUUAAUAAUAAAAACAUUAUUAUGGUAUGAAAAAAAGGGACAAAAUUGGCCUUUCCUUAAUUGUACCGGUUAAUGGAAUAAUGGGACAUGCGGUGGUUACAAGCCACCCCAAAAGGUAGGAAGAAUCUCCAACCCCCAUUCUCGGCUCCCUUAUCUUUUCCCUUACAACCAAAAAUCAACAACUAUCUUAGAAUGUCCUUCAGUCCAUCAAAAUUCAACAACAACAAUUAUACAUUACAAUAAUGAAAACAAAAUUGAUUGAUCACCAGCUAACAUUAGGAGAUUAUAAGAUAAGGAUGUAAUUGCAAUUAUUGAAAUCACUUAAAGAGUAAAAAUUAGGAACAUGCUCACAAUAAAUAAAAUCACCUUAGAAUUAAAAAUUAGGGACAUGAUUAUGAUGAUUAAAAUCACUCGAGAACUAAAAUGUUUUAGAGAUACAAUAAUUGAAAUCAACUGAAAAAUAAAUUCGGGAUGUGAUCGCAAUUAAUGUAUAUAUAAACAACCAAAUGUUGAAAGGAAAAACUAAUGAAAUUAAUAUGAUUUUCUUUUAGAUUUCUCUUGACACCAAACAAAUGUAAGGAAGUUUAUAAAGGAAAAUUAGGUUUUGAUUCACUAAAUUAAAAUAAUAUAGAAAAAAGAUCUUCAAAUUUUAUGUAUCAGUUUUAUUUUUAUUUAUUUAAAAAUAUUUUAAAAUACAUAUAUUUUUUCAUAACUCAAAUAGUCAUUCCUCAAAUGCUAGUUUUACUUGUUAUGUUAAUAACACUAGUUAAUAAUUUUGUAUUGUGAGAACGAUUUAAGAUUAAUAAAAUAAGAAAUUUUUAAAACUAAAAAGACAUUUAAAACUUUAAAAUUAAAAAUAUAAAAAUAAAACAAUAAUUUUUCAUUUAGUAAAACACGCAGUAGAAAAUAUAGAUAUAGAGAAAGAGUUGGAAAUAAAAUAAGAGUUAAUAUUUUAUUUUUAAAAUUUUAUGUUUUUUAUUUUAAUUGUAUUUAAUUUUAUGUAUUUUAGUUGUAAUUAUAUUUUUAAUUUUUAAAUUUUUUUAUUUUAUUGUUGAUGUAAAUUUUUGUUCAAUUAUAUAUAUAUAUAUAUAUUUUAAAUUAGUGAGUAAAAACCCACUUUUUCUAAUUUAUAAUAUAUUUAUGGGAUUUUAUAAUAUAAGCAAUUUUUUUUUUUGAGAAAGAGGAAAAAUCAACUUUUCAAUUUCCCUUAAUAAUUAUUAGUAUUAUUAUCCAAUUUGGCUGAUUAUGAGAUUAGUUGGUAUCAUUACUAUAUCCAUUUGUUCUUAACCCUUCAUUAGAAUAGUAUUAGGAGUUGAACGUCAGUUGGAAUACAGGCUUAUGGAAACAAAUCUAUCCGAUUAGUAGGUUCUUAUUAUUUUCAAUAUAGGCCCCAUAAAAUAAAUAGGAGAUGGGCAGCCCGUCCCUUUGUCUGGAGGCCAUCCUCCCAACUUAUUAAAGGUGAUAUGAGAUAAGAUAGUGACAAAAUUAUCGGUUACUUCCCGACACCUGGCUCUCCACAAGCAAACCCAGUGAUCCAGAAAUUAAUUGGUACCUGGACACGUGACUACCAAACGUUCGCUCACCUACCAUACCCAUGGCCUCAUGCCCCAUAUAUUUCCACAAACCUAGCUCAAUUUUCAUAGCCACCUUCACUAUCCUACACUCACUAAGCCAUGGCCAUAGAUACAAGCCUCUUGAUUGAGCUUGCUGCAGCAACUCUACUCUUCUUCAUCACCCGCUUCUUCAUUCGUUCUCUCCUUCCCAAAUCUUCCUGGAAGCUCCCUCCUGGCCCCAAAGGGUGGCCGCUCGUCGGCGCUCUUCCUCUUCUAGGUAACAUGCCUCAUGUUGCAUUAGCAAAGAUGGCCAAAAGAUACGGGCCUGUCAUGUUCUUGAAAAUGGGCACUAACAGCAUGAUGGUGGCCUCAUAUUAAGGAAAUUAUAUGUUAGUUAUUGUAUGAUUAUCUUGACAUAAUUAGCUGAUUGUAUAGGAGCAUAAUUAGCCUUAUAUUACUGAUUCUGUAGCUAUAAUUUAGGAGAAGAUUAGAUCAAACAUGUGUAUAUAUAUACUACAUUCUAUUAAUGAGAAAAGUAUCCAAUUUGAAGCCAAUCUCUUUAUUCUUGUUAUGGUAUCAGAGCAAGAACAAAAAACCACCAUGGCUGGCAGUCAGAAGGCUUCUGGAUCAGAAAACAAGACCAUCGAUCCUUCACAUCCUCUCUAUAUUCAUCAUUCAGAUCAACCAGGCCAUGUUUUGGUGCCCAUCAAAUUAAAUGGGGUCAACUAUCAAUCAUGGAGCAAAGCAGUUAUUCAUGCCCUUACUGCCAAGAAGAAGAUCGGCUUCGUCGACGGGACAGUUGAAGAACCAUCGCAGGAAGAUGAACCCUUUAUGUUUGAACAGUGGAAUCAAUGCAACAGCAUGAUACUUUCUUGGCUAACUCAUGCUGUUGAAUCGGACAUUGCUGAAGGAAUUAUCCAUGCUAAAAUAGCACGCGAAGUGUGGGUUGAUUUGCGCGACCAGUUUUCUCAAAAGAAUGCUCCAGCGGUUUUUCAAAUAUAGAAAUCAAUCGCCACCAUGUCGCAAGGAACGAUGACAGUAGCUGCAUAUUUUACAAAGAUCAAAGCCUUAUGGGACGAGCUUGAGACAUACCGUUCCCCGCUGACCUGCAACCAACGGCAAGCACAUCUCGAGCAAAGGGAGGAAGACCGUCUUAUGCAAUUUCUAAUGGGUUUGAAUGAGUCAUAUAAGGUAGUGAGAUCCAAUAUUUUGAUGAUGUCGCCAUUGCCCAAUGUCUGUCAAGCAUACUCUUUAAUUGUCCAGGAAGAGAUGCAACGACAAGUUUCUUCUGAGCCAACCGAGAAUUUCUCAAUAGCUGCCGCAGUCCCUGGAAAAGGAGGUAAUCCAAGACAAAAAUUGUGUGACCAUUGUAACAGAUCCGGACAUACCAUAGAUGAAUGUCGGACUCUUAAAUUUCACUGUAAGUUCUGUGAUAAAAGAGGUCACACGGAGGAUAGAUGCCGACUGAAAAAUGGGAGCAAUAACAAAACGGGACAAUUCCGAGGACAAUGUCCUUUUGGUCGUGGGAAUCAGCCCUUAGCAAACGCGACAGAAUCCCAGGAAAUGUCUGAUUCGACUUCUUCUAGUACAGUCCAGGGGUUCACUACAGAACAAAUACAACAGUUGGCUCAAGCAAUUUCAUGCAUUAAAUCACAGUAAUUCCGGUAAUAUUGACGCAUAUGCAAAUGCUGCAGGUUUGAUUCCAUCAACUCUUGUGUCUGUUAAUUCUAGUAGUACAAGUUCUUGGAUUUUGGAUACAGGUGCCACGGAUCACAUCGUUUCCCACAUGUCUCUUUUCACUGAUCUCAAACCUUCUAAUGUCACAACUGUUAAUUUACCAAAUGGUGCAGCAUCACCAAUAACACACACUGGCACCGUUAUUUUUGAUUCCCAAUUGACCCUUAAAGAUGUUUUAUGUGUCCCAUCCUUUAACUUGAAUUUAAUUUCGGCUAGCAAACUCGCAAAAGAUCAGAAUUGCUGCAUCAUAUUCUUUCCUGACUAUUGUAUUUUGCAGGACUUGGUUUCGGGGAAGAUGAUUGGCUCGGGUAAACAGCGUGGUGGUCUAUACUACAUGCAUCCAUCAACAAAUAAAUCGGUUGUCUUUCAUGUUUCUCAACCGUCUGACUUAUGGCAUUUACGCCUGGGUCAUCCCUCUUUUUCUCGUUUUAAAUUAUUAUCACAUUUGCUUCCAGAUAUUCAUAAAGAAUUAGGAAAUCAUUGUCCAAUUUGCCCACAGGCUAAGCAGACACGCUUGCCCUUUCCCAAAAGUUCAAUAACUACAAAAUUUCCUUUUUCUCUUUUACAUUNNNNNNNNNNNNNNNNNNNNNNNNNNNNNNNNNNNNNNNNNNNNNNNNNNNNNNNNNNNNNNNNNNNNNNNNNNNNNNNNNNNNNNNNNNNNNNNNNNNNNNNNNNNNNNNNNNNNNNNNNNNNNNNNNNNNNNNNNNNNNNNNNNNNNNNNNNNNNNNNNNNNNNNNNNNNNNNNNNNNNNNNNNNNNNNNNNNNNNNNNNNNNNNNNNNNNNNNNNNNNNNNNNNNNNNNNNNNNNNNNNNNNNNNNNNNNNNNNNNNNNNNNNNNNNNNNNNNNNNNNNNNNNNNNNNNNNNNNNNNNNNNNNNNNNNNNNNNNNNNNNNNNNNNNNNNNNNNNNNNNNNNNNNNNNNNNNNNNNNNNNNNNNNNNNNNNNNNNNNNNNNNNNNNNNNNNNNNNNNNNNNNNNNNNNNNNNNNNNNNNNNNNNNNNNNNNNNNNNNNNNNNNNNNNNNNNNNNNNNNNNNNNNNNNNNNNNNNNNNNNNNNNNNNNNNNNNNNNNNNNNNNNNNNNNNNNNNNNNNNNNNNNNNNNNNNNNNNNNNNNNNNNNNNNNNNNNNNNNNNNNNNNNNNNNNNNNNNNNNNNNNNNNNNNNNNNNNNNNNNNNNNNNNNNNNNNNNNNNNNNNNNNNNNNNNNNNNNNNNNNNNNNNNNNNNNNNNNNNNNNNNNNNNNNNNNNNNNNNNNNNNNNNNNNNNNNNNNNNNNNNNNNNNNNNNNNNNNNNNNNNNNNNNNNNNNNNNNNNNNNNNNNNNNNNNNNNNNNNNNNNNNNNNNNNNNNNNNNNNNNNNNNNNNNNNNNNNNNNNNNNNNNNNNNNNNNNNNNNNNNNNNNNNNNNNNNNNNNNNNNNNNNNNNNNNNNNNNNNNNNNNNNNNNNNNNNNNNNNNNNNNNNNNNNNNNNNNNNNNNNNNNNNNNNNNNNNNNNNNNNNNNNNNNNNNNNNNNNNNNNNNNNNNNNNNNNNNNNNNNNNNNNNNNNNNNNNNNNNNNNNNNNNNNNNNNNNNNNNNNNNNNNNNNNNNNNNNNNNNNNNNNNNNNNNNNNNNNNNNNNNNNNNNNNNNNNNNNNNNNNNNNNNNNNNNNNNNNNNNNNNNNNNNNNNNNNNNNNNNNNNNNNNNNNNNNNNNNNNNNNNNNNNNNNNNNNNNNNNNNNNNNNNNNNNNNNNNNNNNNNNNNNNNNNNNNNNNNNNNNNNNNNNNNNNNNNNNNNNNNNNNNNNNNNNNNNNNNNNNNNNNNNNNNNNNNNNNNNNNNNNNNNNNNNNNNNNNNNNNNNNNNNNNNNNNNNNNNNNNNNNNNNNNNNNNNNNNNNNNNNNNNNNNNNNNNNNNNNNNNNNNNNNNNNNNNNNNNNNNNNNNNNNNNNNNNNNNNNNNNNNNNNNNNNNNNNNNNNNNNNNNNNNNNNNNNNNNNNNNNNNNNNNNNNNNNNNNNNNNNNNNNNNNNNNNNNNNNNNNNNNNNNNNNNNNNNNNNNNNNNNNNNNNNNNNNNNNNNNNNNNNNNNNNNNNNNNNNNNNNNNNNNNNNNNNNNNNNNNNNNNNNNNNNNNNNNNNNNNNNNNNNNNNNNNNNNNNNNNNNNNNNNNNNNNNNNNNNNNNNNNNNNNNNNNNNNNNNNNNNNNNNNNNNNNNNNNNNNNNNNNNNNNNNNNNNNNNNNNNNNNNNNNNNNNNNNNNNNNNNNNNNNNNNNNNNNNNNNNNNNNNNNNNNNNNNNNNNNNNNNNNNNNNNNNNNNNNNNNNNNNNNNNNNNNNNNNNNNNNNNNNNNNNNNNNNNNNNNNNNNNNNNNNNNNNNNNNNNNNNNNNNNNNNNNNNNNNNNNNNNNNNNNNNNNNNNNNNNNNNNNNNNNNNNNNNNNNNNNNNNNNNNNNNNNNNNNNNNNNNNNNNNNNNNNNNNNNNNNNNNNNNNNNNNNNNNNNNNNNNNNNNNNNNNNNNNNNNNNNNNNNNNNNNNNNNNNNNNNNNNNNNNNNNNNNNNNNNNNNNNNNNNNNNNNNNNNNNNNNNNNNNNNNNNNNNNNNNNNNNNNNNNNNNNNNNNNNNNNNNNNNNNNNNNNNNNNNNNNNNNNNNNNNNNNNNNNNNNNNNNNNNNNNNNNNNNNNNNNNNNNNNNNNNNNNNNNNNNNNNNNNNNNNNNNNNNNNNNNNNNNNNNNNNNNNNNNNNNNNNNNNNNNNNNNNNNNNNNNNNNNNNNNNNNNNNNNNNNNNNNNNNNNNNNNNNNNNNNNNNNNNNNNNNNNNNNNNNNNNNNNNNNNNNNNNNNNNNNNNNNNNNNNNNNNNNNNNNNNNNNNNNNNUUUUCGUUUUUCACCCCAUCACCGUGCUUUUUUAGCUCUUUUGACAGCCCAAACCGAACCUUCAUCCUUUGAACAAGCUGACUGUGAUCCACGUUGGCGCCAAGCCAUGUCCACCGAACUUCAGGCUCUAGAACGAAACAACACUUGGGAGAUGGUCCCUCUUCCUCCGGGACACAAACCCAUUGGCUGCCGCUGGGUGUACAAGAUCAAAUACCAUUCUGACGGAACCAUUGAACGCUAUAAAGCCCGUUUGGUUGCCAAGGGCUACACACAGGUCGCCGGUAUCGACUAUCAGGAAACCUUUUCUCCAACUGCCAAACUCACCACUCUUCGCUGUUUGCUGACUGUCGCAGCUUCCAGAAAUUGGUACAUCCAUCAGCUUGAUGUGCACAACGCAUUCCUUCAUGGCAAUUUACAAGAAGAGGUUUAUAUGACUCCACCUCCUGGUCUUCGCCGAUAGGGGGAGAAUCUGGUAAGUCGGCUUCGCAAAUCUAUUUACGGUUUGAAACAGGCAUCACGCAAUUGGUUCUCAACUUUUACAGCUACUGUUAAGUCUGCGGGUUACAUACAGUCCAAAGCAGAUUAUUCACUUUUUACUAAAUCCCAAGGUAACAAGUUCAUUGCUAUUCUCAUUUAUGUUGAUGAUAUCCUGUUGACUGGUAAUGAUUUGCAUGAAAUCAAGAUGCUCAAGACUCAUCUGCUCAAGCAUUUUUUUAUUAAAGACCUCGGUGAAUUGAAAUAUUUUUUGGGUAUAGAAUUCUCUCGCUCUAAAAAGGGAAUCUUUAUGUCUUAAAGAAAAUAUGCAUUAGAUAUUUUGCAAGACACAGGAUUGACAGGAGUGAAGCCCGAAAAAUUUCCGAUGGAGCAAAACUUGAAAUUGACUGAUGAAGAUGGCGAGUUACUUCAUGAUCCAAGUAGGUAUCGGAGACUGGUUGGCAGAUUAAUAUACUUGACUGUAACCAGGCCUGACAUAGUGUAUUCAGUACGUACACUAAGUCAAUUCAUGAACACACCUCGGAAGCCGCACUGGGAAGCAGCAUUACGAGUCCUCCGAUAUAUUAAAGGGUCACCAGGUCAAGGUCUUUUUCUUCCAUCUGAAAAUAAUUUAACACUCAGCGCAUUUUGCGAUUCAGAUUGGGGAGGAUGUCGUAUGUCAAGACGUUCCGUUUCUGGUUAUUGUGUUUUCCUCGGAUCAUCACUCAUCUCUUGGAAAUAAAAAAAACAAACGAAUGUUUCACGUUCGUCAGCAGAAGCAGAGUACAGAGCAAUGGCGAAUACUUGCCUGGAAUUGACUUGGUUGAGGUACAUACUUAAAGAUUUGAAGGUUGAAUUGGACAAACCAGCACCAUUGUUUUGUGAUAAUCAAGCAGCUGUAUAUAUUGCAGCUAACCCAGUUUUUCACGAAUGUACUAAACACAUUGAGAUUGAUUGUCAUAUAGUUCGAGAAAAACUUCAAGCUGGGGUAAUUCGUCCGUGUUAUGUUUCUACAAAGAUGCAGUUGGCGGACGUUUUUACAAAGGCACUUGGCAGGGAGCAGUUCGAAUUUUUGUGCACCAAGUUGGGAGUUCUUGAUUUGCACUCUCCAACUUGAGGGGGAGUAUUAAGGAAAUUAUAUGUUAGUUAUUGUAUGAUUAUCUUGACAUAAUUAGCUGAUUGUAUAGGAGCAUAAUUAGCCUUAUAUUACUGAUUCUGUAGCUAUAAUUUAGGAGAAGAUUAGAUCAAACAUGUGUAUAUAUAUACUACAUUCUGUUAAUGAGAAAAGUAUCCAAUUUGAAGCCAAUCUCUUUAUUCUUGUUACCUCAACUCCCGGGGCGGCUCGGGCUUUCCUUAAAACGCUAGACAUUAAUUUCUCUAACCGCCCGCCUAAUGCCGGUGCCUCACUCUUGGCCUAUCAUGCCCAAGACAUGGUUUUUGCGGAUUAUGGGGCAAGGUGGAAGCUACUGAGAAAGCUAAGCAACUUACACAUGCUUGGUGGGAAGGCUCUUGAGGACUGGUCUCAGGUCCGAGCUGUUGAGCUAGGCCACAUGCUUCGAGCCAUGCUUGAGUUGAGCCAGCGAGCGGAGCCGGUGGUGGUGCCGGAGAUGUUAACUUUUUCCAUGGCCAACAUGAUAGGUCAAGUGAUUCUAAGCCGCCGGGUGUUUGAAACAAAAGGGUCGGAGUCAAAUGAGUUCAAGGACAUGGUGGUGGAGCUCAUGACCACUGCUGGGUACUUCAAUAUUGGCGAUUUUAUUCCGUCCAUCGCAUGGCUGGACAUCCAAGGGAUCCAGCACGGGAUGAAGCAUUUACAUAGGAAGUUCGAUCGGUUAUUAACAAAGAUGAUGGAGGAGCACACGGCGUCAGCCCAUGAGCGGAAGGGAAACCCAGAUUUUCUGGACGUGAUCAUGGCAAACCAAGAAAAUUCUACAGGGGAGAAGCUCACUAUUACCAACAUUAAAGCACUCCUCCUGGUAUGCAUAGUUAAAGCUCGUCUUUAAUUUUGUUUUCCGAUAUUUUCUUUCCUGAAACAGCACUUUUAUUGCUUUUAGAUAUGUACGUUUUUAUCAGGUAGCCAUUUUAGGGGCACAUCACUGUUCUUUAUUUGGAUUUUUUUUGUCUUUUUCCACUUGCAUGGUUGUUUUCAUAUGCUCAGCUGCAUGGCACAGGAAAAUUGUGAAAAAUGAUUGGUUCUCUGAUCAGACCUUCUGCACCAAAACAUAAUUCUCUCUAUUUUAUAAAAUCAAGAACAUUUAUGGUUUACAUGAUUUUUCGAACUUGAACUUUUGCUAGUGCUAAUGCAUGGAUCUCAAUUUUUCAAUUGCGUUUGAUUAUAUAAAUUUCAAGUAUGUGAACAUAUUUUUGUUUCCUUGGCUAGAAUUUAUUUACUGCAGGAACAGACACUUCAUCGAGCGUAAUCGAGUGGUCUCUGGCUGAGAUGUUGAAAAACCCGAGCAUCCUCAAGCGUGCUCACGAAGAAAUGGAUCAAGUGAUUGGAAGGAGCCGGCGGCUCGUGGAGUCUGACUUGCCAAAACUUCCAUACCUACAAGCCAUAUGCAAGGAAAGCUUCCGGAAGCACCCAUCCACCCCAUUGAACCUUCCUCGUGUCUCAACCCAAGCAUGCGAAGUGAACGGCUACUACAUCCCAGAGAACACUAGACUUAGCGUGAACAUAUGGGCAAUUGGGCGAGACCCUGAUGUCUGGGAAAGCCCGGAAGAAUUCAGGCCAGAAAGGUUUUUAAGUGGAAGAAAUGAAAAAAUUGAUCCUCGUGGAAAUGAUUUUGAGUUGAUCCCGUUUGGGGCUGGACGAAGGAUUUGCGCUGGCACUAGAAUGGGAAUAGUGCUGGUUGAGUACAUUUUAGGGACGUUGGUACAUUCAUUUGACUGGAAAAUGCCGGAUGGAGUUGAGAUCAACAUGGACGAAGCUUUCGGGCUUGCACUGCAGAAGGCAGUUUCUCUUUCGGCCAUGGUGACACCAAGGCUUCACCAGAGUGCGUAUGCAGUCUGAGCUCAAACCGCUCAGACCAAAACCCAGGCCUCGCUGCUAUAUGGCAUGGAUGCAGUUAAGUAGAAAAUAUUUUGGGAUGCCUGUGGCUUAGUAUAAGAUGUAUUAGCUCAAAGAUGGUCGUUUCAUUCUACCACCAAGCCAUAUGCAUCUAUGCAUAAUCUAUUGAUUUAGGCUCGAUUUGGUUAUAGUUUUUGUUUUUUUGUCUUCCAAAUCAGUAAAUAGUAGGGGUAUUUUUGUCCUAUGUAGUGAUUCUUUUUGUUUGAUUGAUUAUAUUUGGAUCCUUCAAAUAUUCCUACACAACUAUUAACCUCCUUCAAAAAUAUAUAGUUAAGGGCCUUGGUCAGAGCCAUCUCCAUCUUUUCACUUCUUGUGCUGCAGUAUGGGAUUGGCUUAGAUGAUCGUUAGUCUAAUGUUUCCUUUUCAACAUCAUAAUUCAGCGCAAACUAAGUUGAAUAUUCAACAACAAAUAAGUACAGAAAAUAAUGGAAGAAAAAUUCCCACUUUAUCUCCGUAAAGUAAUGCCAUAUUUUUCUUCAUACUUACCUUCUAGAUUUUUGUUGGAGCUCUGAGCCCGUGAUCCAUUAGAUGAUUGCGUGUGUGCAUAUGCAUGUGGGUGAUUGCGUGUAAUACGUACGUACGUUCCAUGAUUCAUGUUCGAAGUACCCUCUCUUAUUUAUCGUUGAAGAGGCUAUCGUCACAAACUCUAUUGAUUAAUUAGUCUAGGCAAAUUAAGGCGCGAUAACGACCGAUGUAUAUCUUAAAAGUAACGAUUAAGAGAAUAUUAUAUGUACAAGGGAAAAAUCUACAUAUAAUUAUUGAUGCAACUUGCAAGUGGGAUAAAAUUUGGGAUGGGGAUUAUUAUAAAUUAAUCUCAAUCCAUAAUUGUGAUUGUGGAGUAUAAAUUAAAUGAUUCAUAAUCCAUCUACAUGAAGAUUAAAACCCAUAUUGAAAAUAGCUUUAAAAAACUAAUUUAUAAGAAUAAUUUUUGCAUCAUAUUUUGUGUGCUUGAACUCGUUUCCUAUAUUUUUAAAUAUAUAUUAAAUAUAAUUUUCUUUUAUUUAUAGUGUUUUAUUUUUAAUUAUUCUUCAUAUUUAUAUAAUUAUUUUUUAAAACAAUCAUGAUAAAAAGCAAAAAGAAGUGAAAAUAGCUUAAUAUAAUUAAAGACAAAUAUCUUAUUUUUUGUUAUCUGUUGUUAUUGUUUUUUCUUUUUGUUAACCCCCUUCAAAUCUAAUUAUUCAUACUCAAUUUUGACACGAAAGAGCCAUUGUCAUGAAAGGGGGAGGUCCAUCAUUUUGGUACGAUGCCAACUCUACCACAUAACCACCAUUUAGAUAUCUAUCCUUUUAUUUUUGGCAUGUGAACUUAUAGUGGGUGGCUGACCUUGAAUCCACUAGUUAUCAUGUUGAAAUUAACCACCAUUUAGAUAUCUAUCCUUUUAUUUUUGGCAUGUGAACUUACAGUAAGUCCGAUUUAUGUCCAAGGGUCAAAUUUAAAUCUCUCUUCAAUCUAAUGGCUAAGAACUUCCCAACUUUAUUUAAUACUUAAUGUAUCCAAUAAUUGUAAUCGAGUAAUCCAAUGACAAGUACCUUCAAUGACUAUUUUGGCAAAAGAAAAAAGAAAAAAAGAAAUAAUAUAAGUUUGUUAUUUUAUGAUAUAAUAAAUUUAUUAAUACUUUCCUUUUUCAAAAUAUGUAAUUAGUUGUAAUUUCAUUAUAUAAUAUAUAAAUUAAGUUAUUUGCAAUUUUAAAAUAUGUUCAUUUUGUUUUUUUUUAAGUGUUAAUUAAAAAUUAUACAAUUUUGUUUUAUAAAAAGUAUUUAGUACUUUUAAUUUUAUAAAUUACAAACAUUAAUUAUACUAUUUUCUUAAAAUAUUUAGUUUAGUAUGCAUAUUAUUAGUUGUUUUCUCAUAUCUCAAGUUUCAAUCAAAAAAAUAUUUAUGAUUUGUUUUUGUUAAUUUGUGUCUUGUUUUCAAUUUAAUUAAUGAAAAGUUAUUUGAUCAAAAGGUUCAUUACAAACCAAUUUUAAAAAUUUAAUCCUUUAUUAUAUUUUGAUAUUGUUUUGAUAAAAAUGUCUUUAUUAUUUUUUAAAUAUAUUGUAAAUAUUUAAAAUAAUUAAAAAUAUUUAGAUCAAAAAUCGAUUAUUUUUCAAACAAAAAUAUGAAAGUGAUAAAUUUGCAAAUGUGGGGAAUAUUUAAUCCUUUUAAUCGAUUAUUUCAUUAAUGAAGUGGGUAUAAUGAUGAACGCAGACUUGGUUUUACUAGGGCAUGCAGAGGUUUUGCAAGAGAGAGAGAUCAUUUCUCGACUCUGAGAAAUCAAUCUCCUUUUGGCCCGGUGGCGGACUCCAAGUAAAGCCUUGAAGGAGCCUUGCUAACAUCCCUGCACACCCACGCCUUCCAGUACUGAAGGAAAUGAAGCGAAGGUUUGGCUCGUUCAACUCCACUGCUUGAACUGUACUAGCAUUCAGAUGCCGCUCUGGAUUGAAAUUUAGCGGUUCUUCCCAGAUUCUAGGGUUCCGGCCCAGCCCCAGACGGCUCAGAAGGACAUGACUGCCUUUGGGGAUAGAGUACCCAGCAACACUAGUCGGAUUCCUGAACUCGUCUAUCCUUUCCAACCACUCCAUCAAUUUCUUCACUGCUUUGCUCAAAAUCCCUGGUUGCUUGAUCAUUGCCUACUCAAUUGCAUUUGAUGGACUAUCGAAGCCUGCAAGCAUCAACUCCUGCAAAUUAUGGAAGGAUCAUAAUCUCAUGAUUGAUCAAGUUAUUUGCUGGCUAGGAAAUGAUCAUCAUGCAAUGUAGAUCAAAAGGUAAGCACAACACUACUACAAAAAUAAUUUAUGGUGUCAUUUUUAAAAUAAUGACACCAUAGGGUUUAUAAUUAAUAAAGGUGAUACAUCAUAUGAAAAUUCUUCAAUUGAGGUAGUUAGAUUAUGUUAGUUUUAUAUUUAUAGUGUCAUUUUUUGGGAAGUAACAUCAUAUAAAAUAAUUUUUUUUUAAGUAUUAUAACUUAAUGAGCCCACUUUUAUAAUUAAUAAUGAGGGAUAAUGUAUAAAAAGCCCAUUGUUUCCACAUGCCACCCACAAUCCAAAAAAUCUCAGUAUACAAACCUUAUAUAUAAAACCAUAAUCUUCUUCUACCUUUUCUCUUACCUAUAGUCAACACACUUAUAACCGACAUUUUCCACUUUGUGGACUCCCAAGUUAUCCAAAUUCUCUUAGAUCUAUCCUAUUUUUUUUCUUUUAUUAAUAUCAUUAUAUUGAUUGUUUCAGCAUCUUUGUAUUAUGGUUUUUGUGAACUGCAUUUUCUUGAGUUGUAGGGAAGAAAAACUUAGGUUUAAACUUCUAGCAUAGACAAAGAAACUUGUAGAUUAAUUGAUUUUUUAAUAUGAACCAAACACAUGACCGACUUUUUCUGUGUGUAAUAAGGACAGCUAGUAUUCAUGCAUAAAAUCAGCAUCAGAAUUCGUAACUGCAUUUGAUCAGCUAGUUUAGUAAAUCUGUACAACUCAUUCUUUCCUUUAUUUUCACAUAUGUUGUUAUACGUUAGCACAAGUUUAGGAGUAAUUUUAGUUUCUCAAAUCUGUAUUUAUACCUCUUCUUCUAAUAAGAAUUGUGUGAAUCAUUUUGUCUAAACCUCUUUAUGGUAUCAGAGCACACCUCAAAACUCCAACAAGUAUUUCCUGUCUUUCUCGCUUCUGCUAUGGCCACUUCUUCCUCUGAUAGUUUUCCAAUAGCCAUCAAUGCCACCCAGCAAAUUACUGCACGUCUUACACCAACCAACUUCCCUUCAUGGCAUGCUCAAUUUGAGUCUCUCCUCCUCGGCUAUAACCUCUUUGGCUAUGUCGAUGGCACUCAUACCUGCCCACCCCUACCGAUGUCAACUAAUGCAGCUGCCACUACAGCUCAUCACCUUUGGUUCCAUCAGGACAAACUUAUUCUAAGUGCAAUUUUGACUUCAGUGUCCCUAGCUGUGAUACCACUCAUAGCAACCUCCCAAACGUCAUAUCAAACCUGGACAAAACUGACAAAACUGUAUGCUAGUCGAUCCAGGACUCGUGUCAUGCAGCUCAAAGAGGAUCUCACCCUCAUGCAAUGUGGCAAUCGCAGCAUUACAAAGUACCUACACUCUGUAAAAACCAUUGUCGAUGAGCUUGCUCUCAUCGAUGCCCCAUUAUCUCAAGAUGACAUCACCCUAUAUGUUCUUCAUGGCUUAGGAUCAAAUUUUCGUGACAUUGUUGCCCCGAUUCGAGCCCGAGAGUCUUCACUCUCAUUGUUGCAAAAUACUGUCCGAAAUUGAAACCCUCUGAAGCCACUGUGAACUGCACAACUACUACUUCCAGUCCCGACAAACGUUGGCUCAUUGAUUCUAUGGCUUCCCAUAAUAUCACUUCUCAGGUUUCAAAUUUACAAUUUCACUCUGAAUAUGAUGGUACUGAUGAAGUUAUUAUUGGAGAUGGAUCAGGUUUGCCCAUUACUCAUUCUGGUUCUCUUACUCUUUCAUUUCCAAACAGAAAAUUUCAAGUUGAAGAUACUCUAUGUGUUCCUACCAUUAACAAAAACUUGAUAUCUGUUCACCACUACACAAAGCAAAACAAUGUUAUCCUGGAAUUUCACCCAACUUAUUUUCUUGCGAAGGAUUGGAGAACGGGGGAGAUUCUUCUUCAAGGACCGUGUGAAAAUGGAGUCUACCCUCUGGCCUCAUCGCCUGCUGCUACUCCAAUUGCUUUUGUCCAUGAACGCACAUCAGCAGCUGGUUGGCAUCAUCGCCUUGGUCAUCGAUCAUUCAAAGUUGUCACUCGCCUCAUUAGUUCUUUCUCCCUUCCCACCACUUCAUGUCUUUCUGGUUCUAAUAAUUGUCAUUCGUGUUCUAUCAAUAAAGCUCAUCAGUUACCCUUUCAUAAACACGGUCUAACUAGCACAACACCAUUUGAUUUACUUUACACUGAUGUAUGGGGACCUUCUCCCACUCCUAGUCUCAAUGGCCACAGAUAUUAUGUUAUUUUUGUUGAUCACUUUACCAAAUAUGGUUGGUUCUUUCCAUUGCAUCAAAAAUCAGAUGUUAAAACCAUAUUUCCUCAUUUCUACAAAAUGAUUGAAACUCGUUUUAACAUAAAAAUUAAAGGAGUUUAUUCCGAUAAUGGGGGCGAGUUCACUGUUCUUCGACCCUUUUUCACAACCCAUGGCAUUAGUCAUUAUACGACAGCCCCUUAUACACCCCAACAAAAUGGAGUGUCUGAGCGUCGUCAUCUCCAUAUUGUGGAGACAGGUCAAACCCUUCUAAGUCAUGCCUCUCUUCCAUCAGAAUAUUAGGCUUAUGCUUUUGCAACAGCCACAUAUCUAAUCAAUCGACUUCCAUCACCUGUUCUUCAUCAUAUAUCACCUCUUCAAGCAACAACCUCGGUAUGAAAAAUUACGUUCCUUUGGAUGUCUUUGCUUUCCCUUGAUGAAGCCGUAUAACACAAACAAAUUUCAAAAGAAAUCCGUUCCUUGUAUCUUUGUUGGCUACUCUACUAGCCAAAGUGCAUAUCUAUGUCUUCAUCUACAAAGUCAGCGCAUAUACACCUCCAAACACGUAACCUUUGAUGAAUCUGUUUACCCCUUCAAACAGGUUUCCAUGCAAUCACCCACUGACUCAUCCCCAUCAGAAACCUCUUCUUUUUCAGGACCAAUUUUGCAGCUUGCUUCCAGGGAGCUUCCAACAAUCACACGGGCUCAAGGAGAUAUCCCCUCUGCUUCUUCGACUCCAAGUGAAGAUCCAGCUCUUGUGCAACCUCAAGAGGCACCACUUUCCACUUUAGAUCAGGUAACUCUUAGACCUUCUACUUCUGUUUCUCAACCAGAAAAUUCAAUGCCAUCCUCUCCACCACCAUGUCCACGAACCAUCAUCACUCGCUCCAUGAACAAUAUCUUUCGGCCAAAACAACUCCACACCACCACCAAGCACCCCUUACCUGAACCACCCGAACCAAGUUGUGUAAGUCAAGCUCUUAAAGACCCUCACUGGUGCAAGGCUAUGUCAGAAGAAGUGACAACCCUCCUUUAACAUGGGACGUGAGAACUGGUUCCUCCCACUCCUGGCCAGAAUCUUGUUGGGUGUAAAUUUGUGUUUCGGAAGAAACGAAAUCCAGAUGGAACAAUCAGUCGAUAUAAAGCUCGACUUGUCGCUAAAGGAUUUCAUCAACGGCCAGGUAUUGACUACUCUCAAACCUUCAGCCCUGUCGUAAAGCCAGUAACAAUUAGGCUUCUUUUAACCAUUGCUGUCAUGCAUGGCUAGCCCCUUCGUCAGUUAGACAUCAAUAAUGCAUUCUUGCAUGGUAAUCUUGAAGAAACAGUCUUCAUGCAUCAACCUACAGGAUUUGAAGAUCCAUCUCAACCUCAGUAUGUUUGCAAGCUAAAAUAGAGUAUCUAUGGUCUUAAACAAGCCCCAUGACAGUGGUACAAGGCCCUUCGGGAUGCACUUCUCAGCUUUGGUUUUAUUCACUCGGCCACUGACAACUCUUUGUUUAUCUAUAAGUCUCAUGAUAUCUUGUGCUACUGCCUUGUUUAUGUUGAUGACAUAAUUGUCACAAGCAACACACUCAGCUUUGUGAAUAACAUUAUAAACAAGCUUGGCUCUACAUUCUUAGUCAAAGAUAUGGGCUCCUUGCAUUAUUUCUUGGGAAUAGAAGUGAUUCCAAUGCCACAGGGGCUCUUUCUAUCUCAACAUCAGUAUAUAUGGGAUCUCCUUUCACGAACCUCCAUGGAAAAUGCUAAAGAAACACUCACUCCAAUGUCCACUACAGCCAAGCUUACGGUUCAAGAUAAUUUUGAAUGUGUUGACAGCACUGAGUAUCGCAAGAUCAUUGGAGCACUUCAGUAUUUGGGACUCACUCGUCCCGAUAUUGCCUUUGCAGUCAACAGAUUAUCUCAGUUCAUGUAGAAGCCGACAACAAACCAUUGGGCCGCAGCAAAAAGACUACUCAGCUAUCUUAAACAGACCAUGUUUCAUGGUAUCCUUCUCCAAAAUCAUGAUCAAUUCCAACUCAAGACCUAUAGUGAUGUGAAGUGGGCAUUAAAUACGGACACUCGUGUUUCAACCACUACUUUCAUCACAUUCAUUGGUCCUAAUCCAAUCUCAUGGUCUGCACGCAAGCAAAUGGCAGUCUCAAGAUCAUCUAUAGAAGCAGAGUUUCGGGCACUAGCUACUGCCACACAGAAACAGUUUGGCUUCAUUCUCUUAUCAAGGAACUUGGUCUCACUCUCAGAGAAGCACCUCAAAUGUUUUGUGAUAAUAUUGGUGCCAACCAUUUCAGUUUAAAUCCAGUCCAGCACAGACGGAUGAAACACAUUGAAAUUGAUCUCCUCUUUGUACGAGAUCUUGUCAAAAAGGGAACUAUUCGUGUUCAGCACAUCCAUACCAUUGAUCAACUAGCUAAUCUCCUUACAAAAUCACUCUCACAUCAACGCUUUCAACUAUUAAGAUCCAAGAUUGGUGUUGCAGAUGGCACCUCCAUCUUGAGGGGGCAUAUAAGGACAGCUAGUAUUCAUGCAGAAAAUCAGCAUCAGAAUUCGUAACUGCAUUUGAUCAGCUAGUUUAGGAAAUCUGUACAACUCAUUCUUUCCUUUAUUUUCACAUAUGUUGUUAUACGUUAGCACAAGUUUAGGAGUAAUUUUAGUUUCUCAAAUCUGUAUUUAUACCUCUUCUUCUAAUAAGAAUUGCGUGAAUCAUUUUGUCUAAACCUCUUUAUAUUUAUGUGAGAAUGACAGGUACAAAAUUUUGUUGAGAUAUACUGCCCCAUAAUCUUCAUCCUUUCCCUAAAAUGAGAGAGGGAAAAAAAAAAAGGAAUGAUUUUUUUUGUGUGUAUCUAAGUGGGAACAAGAGAUAUAGAAUUUCGUUGAGAUGCAGUGCUGCCACAUGAUCUUUAUCCUCCAUUAAACCCAACAUAUUAAAUCCACUAACUCUCUCCCCAAAAAUGAGUAAAAAAAAAAAAAAGGAAAAAAGUAUGAGUUAAAAAACAAAAACGGAAAAUAUGAUUUUUUUAAUGUGUUUCUAAGGAGAAUGAGAGAUACAUAUUUUUGUUAAGAUGCAUUGCCACGUGUUCUUCAUCCUCUCCAUUAAGCCUAAUAUAUUAAACCUAAUAGCUCUCUCUUUUAAGCUUUCCAAUGAAGUGCCUAUAGUAUCCAACUCAAAAUAAGACAACUUAAGCCCCAUUAGCCAACAACCCAUAUUUUGUGUACAUCUUGAUGAGAUUAUUUUGUGAGAAAAUGUCAUGAAACAAUCCCAAUUUGAUAAUCUAGGCAUGUAUUUGAGUUAAAAAUAAAUUUCUAUUCUAUAGAUCAAAGAAUAAAAUCAUGUUUGAAAAUUAUUUUUAAAAACUUAUUUAGAGCAAAAAUAGUUUUCUAACAUAAAAAUAAUUUUUUAACUGAGAAAAUAUAUUUGAAAUUAUUUGAUAGAAAAUUGGGCAUGUAUUUGACUUAAAAACAAAUUUCUAUUCUAUAGCUCCAAUAAUAAAAUCAUGUUUGAAAAUUAUUCUUAAAAACUUAUUUAGAGCAAAAAUGGUUUUCUAACAUUAAAAUAAUUUUUUAAUUUAGAAAAUAUAUUUGGAAACAGUUGAUAGAAAACUGGGCAUGUAUUUGACUUAAAAAUAAAUUAUUAUUCUAUAGAUCAAAGGAUAAAAUCAUGUUUGAAAAAUAUUCUUAAAAACUUAUUUAGAGUAAAAACAGUUUUCUAACAUAAAAAUAAAUUUUUAACUUAGAAAAUAUAUUUGAAAACAUUUGAUAGAAAACUUUUUUUUUUAAUGUCAAUAAGUUGUCUUUUUGUUAAUUUAAUUGUAAUCAAUUUUCUUAUACGCAUUUAAAAGUAUAUAUUAUCAUAUUUAGUAAUAUUUUGAUUAUUAGGCAAAUUAUCAUUUUUGAGAGGAAUUUUUGUAGCUCUCAUAAUUAUAAUUGUAUUUUAAUAACCACUUCCAAUAAAUAAAAAAAAGAAAAAAAAAGUUAGACAAUUAUCAAAAUCUGAUUUUUAGGAUUUUAAAAAAAUCUACAAGCCAAAACUAUUUAUAAUUUUGAUCAUGUGAGAACACUUCUUUUUUAAUACUUUGAGUUAUUUUGUUUUUUUUUUUUCUUAGUAUCUGAAAGUAUAAAAGAAUUUCUCAUAUAUGUGCAUGUGUGUUCUCAUGGUUGUUUAUGUCAUGUCUUAUUAAAGAAUGAAGUGAAGUUUCCUUUGAGUGGAAGGUUUUAGUCCACGCUAGUCAGUGGACACGGUAUGAAUAGUUUGGGUGGGUUGUAUCUAUGGUAAAAAAAUAAUAAAAGACAACUUUUGCAAGUCUCCAAGUUGGUUGAGAUACAUGAUGUCAUGUUGACUAGACCUUGACUUUUGCAAGUCUCCUAGUUUCCAACUUUUUUUUCUUUUUUUUUUUUAAUAUUAAGGUGUGGGGCCAUGAACUCCUUUCUUUCCUUUUUAAAUAACAAAAAGGAAGAUAAUUUUAUUGUGAGAAGGCUAUUGCUACCAAUUGUGUUCACGUCGAGAAUUUUUUAAUUUACGGAGGCCAUAUAUAUAUAUAUUUAUGUCUAAUUUAGGAGGGUAAUUUGGGUUUGUCUAAUCUAUUCCAUUUAAUCAUACUAUACAAUCAUUUUUUUUUAUUUGGAUUAUUCUUGUAUUAAAUUUCUUCAACCCAAAUUUUGUUGAAAAGUUACAAUGUAUUAUUGAAAAUAUGACUUGGUAGUUGAUUAUGGAUAUGUGUCAUUUUUAGUAUAAAAAAAAAAUAAAUCUAUAACAUUUUAUAUUGAUAAUAUAUUAUUCUUGUAACAGGUUUGAAUAAUAAGCAAGUCAUUGUCAAAGAAGUUAUUGAAAGUGUAAGUGUACAUUUAUUUAUUGCAUGCUCUUAUAUUGUAUCAAUUGUAAGGAAGAUAAAAUUACCUUGUAAAGGUAAUUAAAUCUUUCUAUAUUUUAAAAACUUUUUUCCUAUAUACUAUGCUUUUGAAGCUUGUUUAAUUAAACAUAUUAGUUAUUUGACAAACUUUUCACAAAUGUUUUGUAUACUUAUGUGUUCUAUUUUGUUCCAUAGUUUUAUUGCAUAAUACUAAUGUAUAUUUUUUCACAAACUUUUUACAACUAUUUUGUGUACUAAUGCAUAUUAAGUUUUGUUCUUGCCUAUAUAAGCUACAUUUAGUUAUUUAAAUAUAUCUAAUAUUAUGUUGAAGAAAGAUGUACUUACUUAACUUUUUUUAUUCUAAAUAUUAACAAGUUUUUCAGUUCUCUUGUCUCGAGAUUGAAUGUCAAAAGAUAGAAGGUCAGUUGAGUAUGAUGAAAGAGUUGAAAACUUUAUCAAUUUUGCAUUAGCACAUUCAAUCAACCAUUCCCCUAUAAAAUGCCCAUGCUUACGUUGUGCAAAUCUGUUAUGUCAAACUCUUCAAGUCAUUACAGAACAUUUGUUCUUUAAUGGAAUCGAUCUUAGUUAUCGAGUAUGGUAUUGGCAUGGAGAAAAUGGACCCAGUGGAGGAUUUUCAAAUGUCUCACAACAACAUUAUGACAAAUGCAAGUAUAAUGAUGUUGUUGACACAAUAGAUAUGGUUAAUGCUGCACAAGUUAAUUGUAUGAAUGAUCCCUAAGUGUUUGGAAGGUUACUUGAAGACGCAGAAAAACCUUUAUAUCUUGGAUGCAUGAAAUACACAAAGUUGUCAGCAUUGGUAAAACUUUACGACUUGAAAGCAUGUUAUGGUUGGUUUGACAAAGGAUUCUCAAAAUUGCUUCAGUUGCUUGGAGAUAUGUUGCCAUUGAAUAAUGAGAUGUCAUUGUCCAUGUAAGAAGCUAAAAAUACUUUUAGUGCACUUGGGAUGAAUAUAACAAAAUUCAUGCAUGUUCUAAUGAUUGUAUUUGGUAUAGAAACCAGUAUAAGGAUGCUAUUGCAUGCCUAACUUGUGGAAAGUCAAGGUGGAAGAUAAACAAUGAGGGGAAAAAGAUUAAGAAGGGGCUUCCUUCAAAGGUUUUAUGGUAUUUCCCACCAAUCCCUAGAUUCAAAAGGAUGUUCCAAUCCUCAAAAACCGCUAAACAUCUUAUGUGGCAUGCCAAGGAUAAAGAAUAUGACGGUAAACUAUGCCACCCAUCAGACUCCUUAGCGUGGAAACUAGUUGACCAUAUGUGGCUUGAUUUUGCUUCUGAACCGAGGACCUUAGACUAGCACUCUCAACAGAUGGUACAAAUCUUCAUAAGUCUAUAAGCAAUAGACAUAGUUGUUGGCCUGUUAUACUGAUCAUAUACAACCUUCCUCCUUGGUUGUGCAUGAAAAAGAAGUUUAUGAUGCUAUCAUUAUUGAUCUCAGGACCACGACAACCUGGUAAAAAUAUAGAUGUUUACUUGAGUCCAUUGGUAGAUGACCUUAAAACUUUGUGGGAAAAAAAAGUUAAGACUUAUGAUGCACACUUGCUUGAGGUUUUUACUUUAAAGGUCAUCAUUUUAUGGACAAUCAGUUAUUUCCCUACAUAUGAAAACUUGGCCAAUUGCACCGUGAAAGGAUAUUAUGCAUGUCCAAUAUGUGGAGAAGGAACAUAUUCCCAAAGAUUAAAGUAUGGUAGGAAGAACUUGUAUAUGGGUCACCGACGAUUUCUUCCACGUAACCAUCCCUAUUGGAGACAAAAGAAGGCACUCAAUGGUGAACAAGAUUUUAGAAUUCCUCCUAAAAUUUUGAGUGGAGAAGAAAUACUUGAAAAAGUUGAUCUCAUUCCUAUUUCUUGGGGAAAAAUGAAGAUAAAAUCUCUUGAACUGAUGUGAACACAAAUUGUUGGAAAAAAAAGUCCAUAUUUUUUUAGUUAGAAUAUUGGAAAUAUCUUCAUAUCUUUCACAACUUGGAUGUUAUGCACAUCGAAAAGAAUGUCUGUGAGAGUAUUAUUGGUCCUUUGUUUAACAUCCUAGGAAAAAAAAAAUGGACUUAAUGCUCAACUUGACCUAGUUGAAAUGGGUUUAAAGUCUGAACUUUUCCCAAGAGUUGACUUGAAGCGGACCUAUCUUCCCCCUGCAUGUUAUUCACUAUCCAAACAUAUAUGACAAAAAAUUAGUUUGUCAAACAUUGUCUAAUUUGAAGGUCCCUGAGGGGUAUUGCUCAAAUUUGAGAAAUCUUGUCUCCUUAGAGGAAUUGAAGUUAUUUGGUUUAAGAUCCCAUGACUACCAUGCACUUAUGCAACAACUAUUGCUAGUGGCAUUACGUUUUGUUUUGCUAAAGCAUGUGAGAUAUACUAUAUCAAGAUUGUGUAUCUUCUUCAAUCAAUUAUGUACAAAAAUGGUUGAUGUGCCAAAAUUGGAUGAAGUACACAAUGAGUUAGUGGUCACGCUGUGCUUACUUGAAAAGUAUUUUUCACCUUCAUUUUUUGAUAUUAUGCUUCAUCUAGUAGUGCAUUUGAUAAGGGAGGUGUGACUAUGUGGUUCAGCUUACUUUAGGUCGAUCUACCCAUUUGGGAGGUAUAUGAAAGUUCUUAAAGAAUUGUUCGCAAUCAUAAUUGGCCUGAAGGAUGCAUUACUAAGUGCUAUUUAGUAGAAAAAGCUAUCGAAUUUUGUACUGAAUAUUUAUUAGGGACUUAUGCAAUUGGAAUUCCAAAAGCAACAAUUAUGACAACAAAUUUCGUAGACCUAUUGAUUACUACUCAAAAAGUGCUAUUUGAUAGCUUGUAAUUAAUCCUUUUAAACACUUUUGAGUAGUAGUUAUUGCCUUUUAACCCAAUUAACAUGUUAAGGACCCUUGCAAUCAUUUCUUAUCAAAUUGUGUAAGUUUUGGUGUUUUUGUUAGUAAUUUGAUCACCAAAACAAUCCAAGAUUGAGGAGAGUUAUUUGGAAUCCAUGGCAAAGCAAUGAAGAGCUCAAAUUCAUGAAGAACCAAGCUUUGGAGCUCCAUAGCCCUUUGCCAAAGUCGUUCAAAGUAUGCAAGGAAAGAGCACUGGAGAGAGGAAAAACAGAGUGAAGAAAACAGAGGAAAGCUAGAUGUAGUCUUCUUUCACACUUUUGGAGCAAUUUCCGAAGUCCAUUUUCUACAUUCGAUAUACCAUUUCAAAGCUCAGGAAGUCAAGAAUCCAAUGCUUCAAACGGUGCAUGAUUCGGAGUUGAAACGAAGGAGUUACAGCCAUUGCAAGCAGAUCACUCCAAAGUGUUGCGAAAUCAGCCUUUUGUUGCGAGAAUUUCGCAGCCUUUUUGUACAGUGCUAUGGAAUUCCUCCUAAAGUUGCCCGAUAUAUGCCGCAAGCUGGAAGCUGAGAACAUCAAGGUGGAAGCCAACUUCGCAGCCCUACGAGAAUAACUUGUUGAUGCGAAAAUAUUUCGCAGCCCUCUUGAGUGUCUGCGAAAUCUCGCAGACACCAUUUUCACCUGCGAAAUGUUCCUGGAGCUUCCCGAUAUUUUUGCACCGACUCUUUUGGAUAUUUUUCUUCAGAUAUUUUUGUAUAAAUUUCCAUUCUUCUCCUUGUAAGCCACGAACCAUAAGAUUUCUUAGUUAGGAAGGUUGGAAAAACAUCUCUAUAUAUAUUCCUUUGCAUCCACUGUAAUCAUAUAUCAUAUAUAGAAUAUACAGAGCCUUGCUCUGUUUUUCCUUCUCUUUCAUUUUUCAUUUAUUUUUAUUUCUAGCCAACCAAACUUUGAGGAUUUUUCCACAGAGGAUGAGAGGCUAAGCUUUUUGUCUCUUGGAGUGAGGAAAGCCGGGUAAGUUUCCACAUGCAUAAUUUGGAAGUUUUGUUGUUUUAGUUUUUAAUGAAGAGAAAGUGUGACCCGUUAGUGAUUUCUAUGUUUUUAGUUAACUUAAAACGCCUUUAAAUCACCUGGGCCAACACUUGGUAAGGCAAGUGAUUUCCAACCAUGGAAAUGCACUAGUUUACCCCUUGCGAGCCUUUGGGAGGUGACUUGAAGGUAGGAUUUUCUAGAAUAGCCAACACUUGGUAAGCUUUUGGACUCCAAGGAGACAUCCAUUAGUUAUCUCUUGCGAGCUUUUGACGGGUAAUCCAAGGUUAAAGAUCACCUUGAAUGGCAAGUGCUAGGUGAGAGGUAUGAGUCAUUGUAAGAUGCAUCAGUGAGAGGGAUUUAGUGAUUGAACCCAUUAAUGGGAAGCAUCUGUACAACACCGGUUAGAGAAUUAACUAUAUGUUAAUUCUCUAAUGCGAGGAAAAUAAACAAGUGACCGGAACUCUCCAUUUUGUAUGAGGAACAAGCCUAGUGAUCUGAACUCCAAGAAACACUUUUCUUUGUAGUUAAAACCAGUUACUAUUUUUUGUUAGCUUAAAACCAAACCUUUUUCAUUUAAACAUCUUUAUGUUUCUUUUAAAGCUAACCUUGAAAUGAAAAGGCACCAAUUCAGCUUUGAAUUGAUAUCAUUUGUGAAGUGAAAACCCAUCCCAGUGAACGAUCCUAGAGCCACUAUGCUAUAGUAGCUUUGUCUUUGCUACCCUAGUUCAUGGUGUAAUAGGUUAUAAAUUUUGUUGAUUACUCCCUCAAUCAAGGAGCACCAGCUGGACACGAAUCAGCUGAGACACCAAGUGGGCNNNNNNNGUUCAUGGUGUAUUAGGUUAUAAAUUUAGUUGUUUACUCCCUCAAUCAAGGAGCACCAGCUUGACACGAAUCAGCUGAGACACCAAGUGGGCACGAAUCAAAUGGCGCCAUUUGCUUCGUCCGUAGCAGUGGCAGUGGCAAUGGCACCAUUUGAUUCGAGGUUCAAUCCCAGGCAACGGCGCCAUUUGAUUCGUCCCUAGCAGUGGCAGUGGCAAUGGCACCAUUUGAUUCGAGGUUCAAUCCCCGGCAGCGGCGCCAUUUGAUUCGUGUCCACUUGGUGUCUCAGCUGAUUCGUGUCCAGCUGGUGCUCCUUGAUUGAGGGAGUAAUCAACAAAAUUUAUAACCUAUUACACCAUGAACUAGGGUAGCAAAGACAAAGCUACUAUAGCAUAGUGGCUCUAGGAUCGUUCACUGGGAUGGGUUUUCACUUCACAAAUGAUAUCAAUUCAAAGCUGAAUUGGUGCCUUUUCAUUUCAAGGUUAGCUUUAAAAGAAAACAUAAAGAUGUUUAAAUGAAAAAGGUUUGGUUUUAAGCUAACAAAAAAUAGUAACUAAUUUUAACUACAAAGAAAAGUGUUUCUUGGAGUUCAGAUCACUAGGCUCGUUCCUCAUACAAAAUGGAGAGUUCCGGUCACUUGUUUAUUUUCCUCGCAUUAGAGAAUUAACAUAUAGUUAAUUCUCUAACCGGUGUUGUACAGAUGCUUCCCAUUAAUGGGUUCAAUCACUAAAUCCCUCUCACUGAUGCAUCUUACAAUGACUCAUACCUCUCACCUAGCACUUGCCAUUCAAGGUGAUCUUUAACCUUGGAUUACCCGUCAAAAGCUUGCAAGAGAUAACUAAUGGAUGUCUCCUUGGAGUCCAAAAGCUUACCAAGUGUUGGCUAUUCUAGAAAAUCCUACCUUCAAGUCACCUCCCAAAGGCUCGCAAGGGGUAAACUAGUGCAUUUCCAUGGUUGGAAAUCACUUGCCUUACCAAGUGUUGGCCCAGGUGAUUUAAAGGCGUUUUAAGUUAACUAAAAACAUAGAAAUCACUAACGGGUCACACUUUCUCUUCAUUAAAAACUAAAACAACAAAACUUCCAAAUUAUGCAUGUGGAAACUUACCCGGCUUUCCUCACUCCAAGAGACAAAAAGCUUAGCCUCUCAUCCUCUGUGGAAAAAUCCUCAAAGUUUGGUUGGCUAGAAAUAAAAAUAAAUGAAAAAUGAAAGAGAAGGAAAAACAGAGCAAGGCUCUGUAUAUUCUAUAUAUGAUAUAUGAUUACAGUGGAUGCAAAGGAAUAUAUAUAGAGAUGUUUUUCCAACCUUCCUAACUAAGAAAUCUUAUGGUUCGUGGCUUACAAGGAGAAGAAUGGAAAUUUAUACAAAAAUAUCUGAAGAAAAAUAUCCAAAAGAGUCGGUGCAAAAAUAUCGGGAAGCUCCAGGAACAUUUCGCAGGUGAAAAUGGUGUCUGCGAGAUUUCGCAGACACUCAAGAGGGCUGCGAAAUAUUUUUGCAUCAACAAGUUAUUCUCGUAGGGCUGCGAAGUUGGCUUCCACCUUGAUGUUCUCAGCUUCCAGCUUGUGGCAUAUAUCGGGCAACUUCAGGAGGAAUUCCAUAGCACUGUACAAAAAGGCUGCGAAAUUCUCGCAACAAAAGGCUGAUUUCGCAACACUUUGGAGUGAUCUGCUUGCAAUGGCUGUAACUCCUUCGUUUCAACUCCGAAUCAUGCACCGUUUGAAGCAUUGGAUUCUUGACUUCCUGAGCUUUGAAAUGGUAUAUCGAAUGUAGAAAAUGGACUUCGGGAAGUGCUCCAAAAGUGUGAAAGAAGACUGCAGCUAGCUUUCCUCUGUUUUCUUCACUCUGUUUUUCCUCUCUCCAGUGCUCUUUCCUUGCAUACUUUGAACGACUUUGGCAAAGGGCUAUGGAGCUCCAAAGCUUGGUUCUUCAUGAAUUUGAGCUCUUCAUUGCUUUGCCAUGGAUUCCAAAUAACUCUCCUCAAUCUUGGAUUGUUUUGGUGAUCAAAUUACUAACAAAAACACCAAAACUUACACAAUUUGAUAAGAAAUGAUUGCAAGGGUCCUUAACAUGUUAAUUGGGUUAAAAGGCAAUAACUACUACUCAAAAGUGUUUAAAAGGAUUAAUUACAAGCUAUCAAAUAGCACUUUUUGAGUAGUAAUCACUCCCCCCAACCGACAUAUUGCUAGUCCCUUAGCAAUGAAGGAGAGAAAAAUAAAAAUAAACAAUACUAUAAUUUACAACAUCAUGCUGAUCAAAAAACAAUUUUCAAGUGGCAUGAUGAUCUAACUCUCACAUGGAACAUUAAAGAAAUAAAACUCAAACUUCAACAAGAGUUAUCAAAUAACUUGUCUAAUCACAAUUCUUAAAGAGAAGGCAUUAUGCAAAUUUAAGCUUUAAAAUCAUUUCCACUUCCAAAGGAUCAAACCUUACUCUUCCACAAAAAUCUAAGUGUUAUUUAUUAGCUUCCGAAUAUAGUAUGUUGAACUAAUCUCUCCCCCUCAACCUAGUUCUUUUUCAAAGCUUAGCAAACUAAUCAACCUCCAAUAGGCUAAGAACGCACCUCUUUUUUCAUAAUUUUUUUCAUUGUAGGAGUACAAGGCUUAAAGGUAUUCUUUUCUAAAUUGUCCAUGUAACGGGGGUCCAUCGAUGACUCCCAACCAAUUAAGGUUUAGGGCAUCAAGCUUUAAGGAUCUUUCAACCACUAACUCCUCGGAUUUUACCCCGGACUUUUGAGAAUGAAUUUUUAAUACCCAAGCACCUACAGUAUGUUAAACUCCACCUAUUCACCCUUGUAACGAGCAUUGAGGUCGGUGACUCCCAACCAAUGAAGGCUUAGGGCACCAGGUUUUAAAGAUUUUCACCAUAUACCCCUCAGACCUUGCUCGGGUUUCAAGGCAAGCAAACAUUUUUUUUUUUUUUUUUUCAAAGACUCAUUGGCCUUUUAUAAGGUGUCCCAACACUAUUAAAUGAGGUCAAAGGUACCAAGUCUAAAAUUUUCCUAAGUCAAGAGGGAAAUAGUUUUUCAUCUUAUACUCGGAACCUAUUGUGCACAGUGUGUGGAUAGCUUAAAGUGGAAGAACUAAGGUUGACUUCAAUAGAAGUUUCAACAAUUCAUCAACUUUAAUAAGCAUAAUACAAAAUCUAAGUCAAGUAAAAAGACAAAAAUUCAAUUUCUCCAAUUUUAGUUUGAAAAUUUUUCCUUAAUAACCAUGGAGAGUAGAAUAAAAACUUUAAAAUUUUUUUAAAUUAAGCAAAAAACAACUAAAUUACCAAAAUAACUUAGCAUUAUUAACAAUACUUACUUCCUCAACUCUCCCCCCAACCAAGCUGAACAUUGUCCUCAAUGUGACAAAAGCGAUUGAAAAAUAGGGAGGAAGUGGUACCUCUUGAGUGACAUGGAGUCUGAGUUGUAUAGGAGAAACCACAUGUUUCAAAGAAAACAUAAGAGUUAGUGAGUAGAAGAAAUAGAAAAAUGCCAAGUUUAAACAAAAAUGAUGUCUAUGUAUGAUGUAUCAUCAGUAACACAUCCAAUUCCAAAAUAUAAGACAUCAAAACAUGGAAUUAUCUAUACUAAUAUAAUAUGUAAAGACAAAAAUAAAGAGAUGAUCAAGCAAUGGUAAGGUCCUGUGGAGCUGAUGCAUCUAUGGUGGCCUCUUGAGUGGGUUGGAUAAGGACUUUGACCUCUGUUCUGGUAGUCUCCUUAGGUGGCAUAGUCUCCUCAACUGGAGCUCUCAGUUGGUAGCUAUGGGAUUUGAUGGUUUAAGGAGGUAAGAAAUGGAGUGAGAGGCUUGGUGUGUGUGAUCCCAGGGUAUGCAGGGCUCUCCUUUUCAGAUGCAUGUUUGCAGGGCUCUAUUGGCAUUUUAGUAACUUCCCUUGGCUUUGCAAAGUGUUUUUGCAAAUCACCCUCCAUUUCACAAGUCAAUUUUGCAAUUUAAAGUCCAUUUUGAAGCUUGGAGGUGAUUUCACAGCCCUUUCGAAGCUUGGAGAUCAUUUCGCAGAAAAGUGGCAUGUUCACUGACCAUUUUUGAAGCUUGGAGCAUUUUCGCAGCCAUUCUGAAGCUUGGAGAUCAUUUUGCAGAAAAGUGGCAUUUUCGCAGACCAUUUUUGAAGCUUGGAGCAUUUUCGCAGCCAUUUCGAAGUUUGGAGAUCAUUUCACAGGCAAUGGGCAAUUCCGCAGCCCAUUUCUGAAGCUUGGAGCAUUUUCGCAGCGGGGGGUGGAUUUCACAGAGGAGGGGAAUUCUCGCAGCCCAUUUCGUAGCUUAAAAGUAAUUUCAUAGCUCAAAGGUGAUUUCGCAGCCAUAUCGCAGCUUCAAAAUGAGGGGAACUGUGCUGCAAAUGGCACUCGUGUGCCAAAAAGUGGUUUCGUAGCUGCGAAACACCCUUCCAAAUGGCGUCUCGGCUGCGAAAUUCCCGUUCAGCUUUGCGCGCUUGUCUUCAAAUGACCAUAACUUCUUUAUUUCAAAUCCAAAUCGAGUACCGUUUGAAGCUAUGGACUCCUGACUUCCCAAGAUUUGAAACGAGAUAUCAUAUGCAUAAUUUGAGCUCCAGGAAGUGCUUCAAAAAUGUGUCCAACAGUAGCAAAAUUGAGGUGCGACAUUUCCGCUCAUGGUUUGCACAGUCAUCUUCAAACAGCCAUAACUUUUCUGUUUCAAAUCCAAAUCGAGCACCAUUUGAAGAUAUGGACUCCUGACUUCCCAAGCUUUCCAACGAGAUAUUGCAUGCAUAAUUUGAACUUCGGGAAGUGAUCGAGAUGUGCCCAACAAUUGCCAAAAUGAGGGUGCGGCUGUGAAAUUGGGAUUUUUCAAUUUUGGGUUUCGCAGCCAUUUUCGCAGCUGCGAAAUGGCACUCGUGUGCCAAAACCAGCUUCGCAAUUGCGAAAUACCCUGCGGAAUGGGGCUUUGGCUGCCAAAAAAAAUGAAUUUUUUUUUUUUUUUUUUUUUUGGUUUCGCAGCCAUUUUCGCAGCUGCGAAAUGAGGGUUACUGUGCUGCGAAAUGGCACUCGUGUGCCAAAAGUUGGCUUCGCAGCUGCCAAACACCCUUCCAAAUGGAGCUUUCCCUACGAAAUGGAGGAUUUCAUGCUUUGGUGGUUCGCAGCCGCUUUCGCAGCUGCGAAAUGGGGGCUCCUGUGCUGCGAAGUGGCACUCAUAUGCCAAAAUUGGUUUUGCAGCUGCCAAAAUUUUCGCAAAGAGGGCUAUUGGGUUGCGAACUGGUUUCGCAGCAAAAUUUCGAUUUCGUAGAGGCUGCGAUAUCUCGCAGACCCCUGUUUUUCCCCUAUUUCUCCCCUGUUUUCGCUCCGUUUGACUCCGAUUUUGCUCCGAUUUUUUUCCUUCAAUUUCUUUGCAAUUCCUCUUGAUUUUGAUCAUCCAAAAACCUAUAUUACAUCAAAACAAACUAGAAUUAAAACAUUUAAAUCAAAAUUAAAGCAUUGAAAUCAAAAUUAAAACAAGUAAAAAAAAAACAAAACAAAAAGAUAUGGACUAGCUAGUCUUUAAAAAGACUAAGUCCAUCAAAAAAUUUGCUCCUGAUUUAGCUUGCCCGGAUCCCAUAUGAAGCUUGCAUCUCUCACUUGGGGCUUUCUCUGUAUGAUUUUCUCAUACAAAGCUUGGAGAAAAGUUAGAGGCACGUGUUUCAUCAUCAAUUCUUCCUUGAUGACUAUCCUCUGUGGUUCUUCAUCUAUAUAGUCAUCUUUCUCUGUACUUUUCCCCUUUUUCUUUCCUUUGAUUUCCUCCCUCUUUUCUUUCUCUGUUUCACUAUCUACCUUAUGCUCUAGCUUGCAUGUGGGCAGAUCAACCUCUUUACCACUCCUCAGAGUGAUCACUUCUUCAAUUUCCUUCACCAUUGAAGAUUCUCCCUCUUUAGUCUCCAUUUCAUGGAUACUCAUGGAAUUUUGAUAAGGUUGAGAAGGAGAGUUUUCUUUCUCUUGCAUUGUUUUGAGGUUGGCAAACCUUGAGAUUGAAUCUUGGAGAAUAUCUAACUUCUGAGCCAUAUCAUUUUGCAUUACAUCCAUCCUUUAUUCAAAGUACUCUCCAUUCUGUCAAUUCUUUGAUUGAUUUGAGCAUUGAUGGCUUCUUGCUUUCCAAUAAAAUCUCCCACGACCUUGCAAAGAUUCACCAUAGCUUGUUCAAGGAUUGAGGCUUGCUGUGGUGCUUGAGCAGGUUGCUGAUACUGAGGUGGCUGUGGUUUCCAAGAGAAAUUUGGAUGGUCCCUCCAAUUGGAAUUGUGGGUGUUGCAAUCACCAAACAUUUCCCUCUCGGAUGGAAUGGUAGGACACUCAUCCACCAAGUGCUCAUAUGAUCGACAAAUGGCACAAGGCAUAGCUUGCAAUGGUGUUUAAAAGAUGGUUUGCACUUCUUGCAUCUGGUUCAUUUCUAGCUCAUCCAAUCUCCUUUCCAUAGCUGCAAUCUCUGCCUUCAUGUCCAUGCCGUCAUUCAAAAUAUACAUCUCACCCUUAGCUUUAGGUUGAGACGUCAUUCUUCCCAUAUCUCUAGCAUUUGGUUCAUCCCAUCCUCUUGAAAAUUCAGCCACAUAACUCAUGAAGUUCAUGGCUUCCUCUGCUAUGUGGUUCAAUAUGGCAUGCACAACUAGCAAUUUGUGAUUUAAAAACAGAGAACACAAAAGAAAACAAAAGAAAAACAAUUCAAAGAAAGAAAAUUAAGGUAAACUAAAGACUAAAUAAAAGGUAUACUAAAAUAUGAACAACAAAGAAAUAAAAAGGGUUAGUGAAAGGAAAAGAAAAGUCACCAAACUUGUGAUGAAGAUCACAAGUACUCUAGAAAGGUGCAUUGUAAAGUGGCACCAUCCCCGGCAACAGCGCCAUUUGAUUCGUGCCCACUUGGUGUCUCAGCUGAUUCGUGUCCAGCUGGUGCUCCUUGAUUGAGGGAGUAAUCAACAAAAUUUAUAACCUAUUACACCAUGAACUAGGGUAGCAAAGACAAAGCUACUAUAGCAUAGUGGCUCUAGGAUCGUUCACUGGGAUGGGUUUUCACUUCACAAAUGAUAUCAAUUCAAAGCUGAAUUGGUGCCUUUUCAUUUCAAGGUUAGCUUUAAAAGAAAACAUAAAGAUGUUUAAAUGAAAAAGGUUUGGUUUUAAGCUAACAAAAAAUAGUAACUAAUUUUAACUACAAAGAAAAGUGUUUCUUGGAGUUCAGAUCACUAGGCUCGUUCCUCAUACAAAAUGGAGAGUUCCGGUCACUUGUUUAUUUUCCUCGCAUUAGAGAAUUAACAUAUAGUUAAUUCUCUAACCGGUGUUGUACAGAUGCUUCCCAUUAAUGGGUUCAAUCACUAAAUCCCUCUCACUGAUGCAUCUUACAAUGACUCAUACCUCUCACCUAGCACUUGCCAUUCAAGGUGAUCUUUAACCUUGGAUUACCCGUCAAAAGCUUGCAAGAGAUAACUAAUGGAUGUCUCCUUGGAGUCCAAAAGCUUACCAAGUGUUGGCUAUUCUAGAAAAUCCUACCUUCAAGUCACCUCCCAAAGGCUCGCAAGGGGUAAACUAGUGCAUUUCCAUGGUUGGAAAUCACUUGCCUUACCAAGUGUUGGCCCAGGUGAUUUAAAGGCGUUUUAAGUUAACUAAAAACAUAGAAAUCACUAACGGGUCACACUUUCUCUUCAUUAAAAACUAAAACAACAAAACUUCCAAAUUAUGCAUGUGGAAACUUACCCGGCUUUCCUCACUCCAAGAGACAAAAAGCUUAGCCUCUCAUCCUCUGUGGAAAAAUCCUCAAAGUUUGGUUGGCUAGAAAUAAAAAUAAAUGAAAAAUGAAAGAGAAGGAAAAACAGAGCAAGACUCUGUAUAUUCUAUAUAUGAUAUAUGAUUACAGUGGAUGCAAAGGAAUUUAUAUAGAGAUGUUUUUCCAACCUUCCUAACUAAGAAAUCUUAUGGUUCGUGGCUUACAAGGAGAAGAAUGGAAAUUUAUACAAAAAUAUCUGAAGAAAAAUAUCCAAAAGAGUCGGUGCAAAAAUAUCGGGAAGCUCCAGGAACAUUUCGCAGGUGAAAAUGGUGUCUGCGAGAUUUCGCAGACACUCAAGAGGGCUGCGAAAUAUUUUCGCAUCAACAAGUUAUUCUCGUAGGGCUGUGAAGUUGGCUUCCACCUUGAUGUUCUCAGCUUCCAGCUUGCGGCAUAUAUCGGGCAACUUCAGGAGGAAUUCCAUAGCACUGUACAAAAAGGCUGUGAAAUUCUCGCAACAAAAGGCUGAUUUCGCAACACUUUGGAGUGAUCUGCUUGCAAUGGCUGUAACUCCUUCGUUUCAACUCCGAAUCACGCACCGUUUGAAGCAUUGGAUUCUUGACUUCCUGAUCUUUGAAAUGGUAUAUAGAAUGUAGAAAAUGGACUUCGGUAAGUUCUCCAAAAGUGUGAAAGAAGACUGCAGCUAGCUUUCCUCUGUUUUCUUCACUCUGUUUUUCCUCUCUCCAGUGCUCUUUCCUUGCAUACUUUGAACGACUUUGGCAAAGGGCUAUGGAGCUCCAAAGCUUGGUUCUUCAUGAAUUUGAGCUCUUCAUUGCUUUGCCAUGGAUUCCAAAUAACUCUCCUCAAUCUUGGAUUGUUUUGGUGAUCAAAUUACUAACAAAAACACCAAAACUUACACAAUUUGAUUAGAAAUGAUUGCAAGGGUCCUUAACAAGUUAAUUGGGUUAAAAGGCAAUAACUACUACUCAAAAGUGUUUAAAAGGAUUAAUUACAAGCUAUCAAAUAGCACUUUUUGAGUAGUAAUCACCUAUAAUUAGUGGUCGUUCUACCAUCAUUGUUCAUAAAUCGUGGUUACAAGCACAUCAUUAUCUAUUAGAGAAUACAACUAUCGUCCAACCAUACACUGAGUAAGAAAAACAUACCUUUAUCUUUUUAUAAUUUCAUAACAUAAUGAUGAAAUCCUAAGUUUGCAUUCCUUGUCUUUAACGUCAUAGGGAACACAUGAAUUGGUUGAGGUCUCAAUACCCUCGACAAUCUAAUAGACAAAUUUGGUUGCAAGAAGAACAUAUGAGUUGUUUUACAUAUUGGCUUAAAGAAACGGUAAUCUCUUAGUUUUUAGAAAAAUUUUCAAUAUGUUGAAAACAUCACAAGUUUUCAAUAUGUUUUGAUUAUACAUAGGUUGAAGAGGCUAUCCAUAAUGGGCAAGAUAUUCCCGACACACUUAGGUGGUUAGCACAUGGCCCUACUCUCCAGGUAGUCAAAUAUCCUAGAUAUAUCGUUAAUGAGUGUCGUUACCAUAUUAAGAAACGCGAUAUGACAUGCAUCACCCAAAAUAGUGGUGUUAGCAUUUUAGCAAGGACUAUGCAAAUUGCCAAUUCUAAGGAUAAGAACCUAGUUUGUGGUGAACUUUGCUUUUAUGGGGUCAUUAAUGAGAUAUGAAAUCUUGAUUACAACAUGUUCACAAUUCUAAUUUUCAAGUGUGAUUAGGUUGACAACAAGAAUGGUAUAAAAGUUGAUGAACUUAGGUUCACAUUAGUUGACUUCUCCAAAAUAGGUCACAAAUUGGAUCCAUUUAUUUUAGCAUCACAAGCCAAGCAAAUCUUCUAUGUUGAAGAUCAACUUGAUCCUAAAUGGUCAAUAGUUCUCUCAAUUCCUCCAAAAGAUUUCAAGAACAUAGAAGGACUAGAUGACUUCACCAAUAAUUGCAUGGAACAUCACCCCUUUAUAAGUUCAAUGCCAGAAUUUGAAUCAUUUGAUGCUAUGGAUGAAUCAUAGGCAAUACACAUGAGAGAAAACUGUGAGGGCAUAUGGAUUGAAAAUAAUUAAAUAACAUAUUGUACCCUUGAAUGAGAUAUAAUAAGGCAUUUCACUUAUUAGUUUUCAUGAGUUGCACAUUAACUUAGCUUCUAUAUAUUGCUCAUGAUAUAUCUAUAUAUAUUAAUCAUCCUAAAUUUCUUUCAUGCAUCAUAAACAUAUGUUAUUCAAAGGUACCACUUCAAUCUUCAUUCAACUAUCUUUUUGUUGUCCAUAGAACUAGAUUUAUAUUAUUUUUUAUUAUCAUGUUUUGAUUUUAUGCUCACAUAACUUGAAACUCUCAUUCCUAAAUUUCUUUUUCAUUAAAACUAUAAAUCAUAAUUGAAACUAUGCACUAAUUUAUUUUAUUAUUAUCCUCACAAAUAAAUUCUUCAUUAUUGAUAAGAAAUCAAAAAACAAGACAAACUUUGAAAGAAAAUUUCAAAAAAUAUAUUUGUGAAUGACCAAUUUAAUUAUAGAAAAUAUAUGCAAGGCUAUACUAAUCUUGCUUUUGAGUCAUUUUACAGGUUUGUUGGUGAAGUACUAGUUUGCACAUUUACUUGAUAUCUUCCACACAAAUAUGGAUCUAGAAGAAGGGGAAAUGCCAAAAAUAAAGCAUAGAGGUAGUGCAUUGAAACCAAAGAUUGCAAAAAAUCGAAGUAAAGGGAUAAAGCUCAAGAUUGAAUACAAUAGCCUUGGUAGUCACAUUGAGGAAAAUUCAGUUAAACUAAGUAGUUAUCUUAGUACAAUAACUAGUACCCAUGUGCCAAUAAUUAUUGAGAGUUGGAGGAAAGUCCCUAAAGAGACUAAGGAGAAGUUGUGGGAUUUGAUCACGGUAAGCCUAUCUAUAGCUUUAAUAUAUAAUUAUUGUAUACAUUCAUUAACAUGAGCUAACAUGGGUUGCUAUUUUGUAGACAAGCUUUAAUGUGAAUAAAAAAUCCAAGAGGAAUUGUUUCAUACUAAUGGGCAUCAGGUUUCGAACCUUUAAGUAUAAGUUGACAAAGAAAUAUAUAUUGUCUUUCAAGAAUGACCAAAAAAGCUGAAAAAGUCACCUCCUAUUUGCCCAUUCAUACAAGAGGAUCAUUGGAGACAGUUUGUUAAAGAUAGACUUUUUGAACAUUUUAACGUUAAGCAUUAUUUUUAUUACAUCUUCAAUUUUCACAUUUACAUAGUUUCAUUAUGUACUAAUUUUGUGUCUAUAUUUUGUAGGAAUAUCGCAAAGUUCAAAAAUCAAGAAGAGAUAAACACAUUUACAAUCAUUAUCUUGGAAGAAAAUGAUAUGCACGUUUUGAGCAAGAUAUAGUAAGUUAUCAAUAUCCAUAAAAAAAAUGGAGUAUAUAUUUUGUUUAUAGGAAAAUGAUUCUAGUUUUUAAAUAUCAUUUAUUAACUUGAUCAUGUUGAACUAAUGAGUUUUAUUGUUAAAAAUUUUAUAGCUACAAGCAGAAGGGGCUAUUGGUAGGGUUGAUAGAAGUGUUUAUGAAAGAAAACACGUGAGAAGAAAGGAAAGUUUAAUAAGAUUACAAAGCUAAUGAUUAACUAAGUUAGCAUAUUUAUCUCUUUUAGAGCCUAUAAUGUUAGUAUGUCUAUGUGAUUAUGGUUUAGGAUGAUAUCGUUAGGUGUUAAUAGGGAAGAGGCUUAAUGCUAUCAUUUUUAUGAGUAGUCAUGUUCUAUUAGUGCAAAUAUAGUAGCCUAAUUUGAAAAUUAAUUUUGAAACAAUAUACAUUAAUUUAUCUAUUAUCAUUUUUAUUAAAACAAUUCAUUUUCUAGCUACCUUGAAUUGGUCCUCUUGAAUUGGUUGUCUUUGAUUGAUAUGUUAAUCAUCUUCAUCAAAUUAUUACUAAUAUAUGUUUUGUUGUAGGAUGAAUUACUAGAAAAGGCAAGGAGACUGGACUACCUCCACCUGGUCCAAAUGACAUAUUAUGUCAGGCAUUGGGUAAGCUUGAUCAUCUAGGACGUGUGGUAGGUCAAGACCACUUGGUUAGGCCGAACUCAUACUUUCAUCAACCAUUUGAUGACAUGAAAAAAAAUAAUCAAAGAAGAAAUAUGGGAAAUGGUGUGAAAGGGGAUGCAAAAUGCUGUAACAAGACAAACUAUGUCUCCUCCCACACCCCAUUCUGAUAUAGGUAGUAAUAACAUGAGACAACAACUUGUUUUACAACUAGUUGUAGCAAAAAAACCAAUGUUUAAAAUGAUGGAAGAGCCCUAACCACCAGAACCACCACUGAAACGUAAGGUAUACAUUUACUUACUAAUAAUACAAGAUUAAUAUAAGUGAUAUAUAGCCUAUGUAAAUGAUAUUAUUUGUUGUAUUAAAGGUGAUUAAAUAUAAAUUAGCAGUGGAAUGAAAAUGAAAUGUUGUUGCAACCAGUACAUUAAUAGAAGAAAAUUGAUCAAAUGGGUUGGUCGUAAUAAAUGUUGCACACAAGCUAGAUGCUAGACUCCCAUUUCCAAAUCCAUAUGAGAUUAUCAAUGUUGGGGAUUCUAUUGGCCUUAAGCUUGACUGGCCAACAAGCCUUGUCAUACUUGAAACUAAACAUCCUCGGGUAUGUCAUUUUAUACUUGUAGUAAAUUUGAUUGUAACUUGGUAUUUUAUUGUUUAGGAGUAUAUAUUACUAACAUUCCUUCAUUUUUCAUAAGUGUUGGAUAAAGGAAAGAAGUAGAUAGUGAAUGCACCAAUUAUUCGAAAAUCUAAGCCUCAAAAUUAUUCGGUCAUUAAAAAUUUUCAGAAAUUUAUGGAUGGUUGUCUUAGUAAUGAGAAGACAUACCCAAUACAACUCCCCAUUUCACUAUUUGGUGUCGAAUUCCGAACAUAUAUAUCUAGAGAGGAUUGUGAAUACAUUAUUUCAUCUUCAGAGGUGUCAUCAAAAUGCAUCUCCUUCCACUUAUGGUGUGCACCUUUUAUUUUCAUUUGUUUUUAUUUUUUUAAUAUGAGUUGCCCAUGUUGAACAAGAUUGGAUAUGACUAAUGAUAAUUUUCUUUUGGUGUUUUGAUAAUAUAAUAGGUACAUGCAUGAUCAACUACAUAUUGCCAAAAAGGAAUCACAAUUUAUAUUUGUUAAUCCUUUUACAAUAUCAUGAGCAGGCUUUAGUAAUCCUCAAACAGAGAAAAGAACACAAUUGUUGUCAAAACACUUAAUAGAGUGCCAAGAUGUCGGAUAUGUUUUCAUGCCCUACAACCCCGAGUAAGUGACGAAUAUUAUACUUUAAUUUGAGGUUUUAUGAUUGAUUUAUAUUUAUAAUUAGAUGCUACUUUUGUUUUUAAUGUUUUAGCUUUCAUUGGGUCUUGGUAGUGAUUGAGCCAAGGAAAAUGAUAGUCCACUAUCUUGACCCUAUGCAUCACAAACCAUGUGAGGACUUAAAGGAUAUCGUAAACAUGUAAGUUCUUCCUAUUAUUUUUCAUAGUAUUAUUUUAAAAAAAAUUACAUUCACCUCAAACACAUUUUUUAUUGUUAUUUCUAUAUAUUAAAACAUAUAAUAUUUACCUAUUUUAAAAUUGUACCCAUUGAACUUAUUUACAUAGGGCUCUUUAAAUAUAUGCAAAGAAAAUAUCUAAGAGAGAGCCAUCUUGGCAACUAGUGCAAGUAACAUCCAAAAAUUUUCUUUACACAUUUAGCUUAUGCAUUUGCACCAUUUAUAUAUAUGAGUACUAAUGUUAUUUUAUAACUGAUCGAUUAGUGUCCAAGACAAGAAGGAGGGUUCAAAUGUGACUACUUUGUUAUGAGAUUCAUUAAAGAGAUAAUUUUUUAUCCUACAAUGAUUGCUUCAAAGGUAUUACUUAUUUAAUGACUUGUACAUAUUUUUAGGCUUCCAAAUGUUAUGCAUUUUAAUGUUAUUUUCUUAUUUGAUUUCAGUUUGGUGAUAAAAAAAACAUAUUAUCAAGUAGAAUUCAAUGAAAUUAGAGGAGAAUUGACUACUUUUGUGCUACAACUAAUCAUGAAUCAUGUUGAUGCAUCAUGAUCACCAUGCAUGGUGAGUCCCUUAGCUACUACAUGAAUUUUUCCAUAGAUUAUAGUAUUGCUUUUCUUUGAACAAUGUUUUUAUUUGAAAAAAAGAAAAAAAAAAGUUCUUAGAUUUGUUCAUUUAUGAUAACAUCGAUCCAUAUUUAUUUUCUUCAAUNNNNNNNNNNNNNNNNNNNNNNNNNNNNNNNNNNNNNNNNNNNNNNNNNNNNNNNNNNNNNNNNNNNNNNNNNNNNNNNNNNNNNNNNNNNNNNNNNNNNGGUAUACACUCUUAGGAGGGUGGAAUAGAGAAUAAAAAGAACAAAGAAGGCAACAAGAUUUUGGGUUUUUAAAUGCAGCUCGUAUGUCAUACAUUGUAGGACAUAAACGUUACUUUAAUUGGUAGUGAGAAUUUUAGAUUUUUAGAUGCUACUUUUAUGUCAUUUUAUAGUUAGUCGGUUUUAUGCUUAUGAAAUGAAGGUAUACAUGAAUCUUGGGAUGCUUAACAUUACUAGAUCAUGUUUUGGUAUGUAUUCACUCUUCUUUUUUAGUUUUGGUGGGUUUGAUAUAUUGGAUGUACUAUCUUUUUGUGAACAUUUGAUAUACAAAUAUUAUUAGAUGAUCAAUGUAUUACGAGUUAUUCCAUAAACAUUACUGAAAAAUGAGUUAAAUGUAAUAUGAUUGUUAUAUUUAUGGACAAAAUAUACACAGGUUAAUCCUAUUUGUUAAUUCAUAAGCAUUACAAAAAUCUACAACUAAAAGCAAUCAUAUCUUCCAUGAUAAUUUACAAUGAUGUGACACCAUAACUCAAAGGUGAUGCAUUUAAUGUGACAUCAUAACUCAAAGAUCAUGCAUUUAAUGCGACAUCCUAUCAUCACUAGAAAUAUAUGAUGUCACUUUCGAAUGCGUUACCAUUUAUCUACUUUGGUGUCACUUACAAAUACGUCACCAAUUGGUACCCUCUAUGGUGUCAGUGGAGAAGGUGACACUAUGUUGUAGUGACACCCUAUGUUUAUGGUGACUCGUUAUAAAUGUCACCAUAUAUCUUUUUUCUUGUAGUGCAAAUUACUUAUCUUACUAUGCAUUGGGCUUUGAUAUUAGCCAGAGACAGUAGUGGCUCCUAAUUUUUAUCCUUAACUGAAAUGAAAACGUUAAGCAGGUCCCCAGCCUCUUUUUCGCCAUUCUUCCACUAUUCUACUAUUUGGUCCAUGAUUGGAUCAUGGUACUUGUUAAUGGUGUUCAUAGCCUCCCAUAUAGUCUUUUCAUGGCCAUCUAAAUUCAGCACUCUCUGCCAUGGGAAGUAAUCAGAUAAAGAGAAUACAUAUAGAUGAGCAAGUAUAGUAAAGAAGGAUUCAACAUGUUGCUCCACUUCAACUCUAGGGCCUCCAUCUUUCUUUCGUUCGCCAAAGUAUCUUGUGUUGAGGAUCAUCUUUCAGAUGACAUUCCCGUUGUAUUGACGGACUUUAUUUCUGUCACACCCCAAAUACUAGGCAACCCAGAACUUGACUCGUGGCCCUAGGUCAAAGGUUUGACCCUAAGAGUUACUCUUAUCCAUGUUGGCAAUCAAUCAAAACACCCUAGAUUUUUUUUCUUUUCAAUAAAGCGUUUAAUCCUAAAUAAAUUUAUUAAGCUAAGAUUUACUAUAACAUAUCAUUUUAUUUUUCCAAAACUAACCAUCACAUUAUCUCCUGUUCACAAGUAUUAAAAAAAUAAAAUUCCACCAAUCAUCUUCCUACCCAAAAGCUCAAAUAUUUACAAUAAUCUCUAAGUCAAAAAGAAUAUUUCCAAAAAUGUUUUACAAACUAAUAAAAUAUAAUUUAACUUAAAAAGGUCCAUAUAACUCAAAUUAGUAGAUGUCAAAAAGGUAAUUAAAAAAAAACAACAACCAUUAUUAUGGUUUUUUUGCUUUUUAGAACACUUCAUGAUCUUCUUAUGGUCCCUUAGAAACUAUAUCUGCAUCUAAAAAUUUUAGAAAAUAAAGGGAUGCACAUUUCCACGUUACUCUUUAGACCUAGACGAGUUAGAAAUUCUAGGUCAAUAAAACACAACCAUAUGCCAAAAUAUAAUAUUACAUUUACAUUAUACACACUAAAAGAAACCUCAACCAUACAAAUUUAAAUCAAUCAAAAUUAUCAUUUUCCUUAUUUAAUCAUAUGUUUAGCAUAUCAAUAAUUUUAAAUUUACAAAAUAAAUAAGUCACUUUAGUCUUGAAUAAUAUAUUCAAACAUACACUUGAUAAAUAAUACAAAUCAUUUUUCCAAAUGCAACCAUGAUACAAAUGCUUACACACAAUCGCGCAAUGCAAUAUCGUUCUCGGGCUUUCACCGAAGGAUAUGCAUUUAUACCCAAAUACACUCCCCAUUCGGAGUCUUCCUGGGAUAAACUUUUGAGUAUUUCACCCUAAGGAUCUCACUCCCUUCUUAACUCACCAUCUCUAGGGUCAUUCAAUUUCUUAUUUUUCUUUUCUUUUCAUUUUUGCCAUUUUUGGGGUCUUUUCAUUCUCAUUUCCAUUUCACACAACCAUUUCUUUAAUUUUUCUUUUUCUUCACACAAUCAUGAUGCAUAUGAAAUGCAAUUGAAUCAUAUUUUAACAUACAUAAUUUUCCAAGACAUAAUUUUAUUUACUCCCAUUAUGUUUCAUAAUUUCCAAUAAUCCACACAACGAUUUUUCUUCACUUUAAUCGUCACAAACAUAAAAGAAAAUUCACAAUUAAUUUGUAUAGCAUCAAAACAUAGUUUUAAACAUUGACCACAUAAAUUCUAUUUAUUCCCGACAUGCUUAAUAAUUUCCAAAUCCAAUAUAACCAUUUUUUUUCAAUUAAAUAAUCACACAUAUCCAAGAAAAUUCUCGCUAAUACAAAUAUCAACGAAAAUGUAAUUUAUGUCAUAAUUUAUUUGUCUCCAAUAAUUUCAAAAAUUUUGACACCCAUAUGACAAAUUUCCACAAUUAAGCCACCCCAACAUUUGGGAAAAAUUUUCCAAUAAUUCAAAUAUCAACAAAAACCCAAUUUAUAUCAUCAUUUUAUUUAUUUUUAAAAGCAUUAAUAAUUUUAAUAAUCAAUACAACACUUUUCCACAAUUAAGCCACCACAACAUUCUGGGAAAAUUUUCCAAUAAUUCAAAUAUUAACAAAACACAAUUAUACCUUAGUUUUUCUUAUCUCCAACAACAUCAAUAAUUCUUAGUACUCAAUACAACUAUUUUUAUUUUUUCAUAUUUAAUCUUCUCAAACAUUACCAAAAUUCCAAGAAAAAUCUAUAAAUCACGAAAUAAAAUUAUUCACAAUAAUAAUCACACUUCAAAUACUACAAAUAACAUCUAUUAUAUUUCAACAACACAAUAUAUAAAUUUUUUUGAAAGAAAAUAUUAAAUCAAAGUUUUAGGGUUAAAUCACCCUACCUUAAAUUUGAAAAUUUUAACCAUUAAAACUAAAACGGGACACCGUAGGAGUGUUCCUUGCAUUGAAUAGAAUAUCCUUCCAAAAUUUCAUGCGAAAUGGACGUCAUUUGGUAGGUCCACCAGCAUCCUAAAGCUGGCGACCCAUUUUUCCCACUCUUUGCUGAUGACUCCCCUACAUCUCUCACUCGAUUUCCUUUCUUCAUUUUCUUUUCUUCUUCUUCUUUUAAACUCCCACGCCAAUUUCACUUUAUAUAUAUAUAUAUAUAUAUAUAUAUAUUAUUAAAACAAAUCCUAAAAUACCACGCACAUCCAUUUCUCAAUAAAUUAAAACCAUUAUUCUUAAAUUCAUCUUCCGUAAUUAUGAAUUAUACCAAACUUAUGAUUUUCCAUUUCACGAAAAAUACCACCGUAUUCGUAAUUUAAUUUACUACAAGUCUACUCUUCAAAAAGUAUAAUUUGAUUAUAAUUACAUGAAACAUUGUUUUUUUACUCUAAAAUUCAUUUAAAACAUGAUAUAAUUAACUAUUAAAAAAAUUUAAUUCCAUAAAAUAUUAAAAACAUAAAAUAAUUUUUUGGCAAUCAAGAAGUUGAAAUUUGUAAUAACCUUUAACCUGUUAAUUUUACCUAUAUUUAUUUACCAACAAAAAUUUAAAUAAUAUUCUAAAAUUUAAUUCCAUAAAUUAAUUAGUCAUUCAAUUUAUAAAAAUCAAAUUCUCUACCCUUUGGUAUAACUUUUAUUUAAUUUACUUCAUUUUUCAAAUUAUUCAAUCGCAUCAAAAUUUCAAAAGUUAAAUUCACUAAAUUCACAUUUAAUUAAUUUAUCCUUUUGUAUUUUUUUUUUCUAAAUUCGCAUAUCAUAAUUUAAUCUUAAUUUAAUUUUGAUUCAAUUUUGUUUUAUGUUUUCUAAUUUUAUGAGGUUUAAUUUCAAUUAUAAAAAUUAAAUUCAAUUUCUUUUUAAUUAUCCAUUAUCACAAUUUGAUAUAAUAUAAUUUUUUAUCAAGUUUUUCUUACUACGAUUUUUCUUAUAAUUAUCCAAUGAUAAUUAAAUUAAUUCUCAUAACAUAUUUAAUAUUCAAAUUUUAAAAACUUAAUCUCAAUUAUUUGAUGGUUAAUUUUUUUCUCAAAAUCUAAAUUUAAUUUAUGAAAUUCUCACUUCUUACAUCUGACGUGGCAAAAUUUUCAAACUAUUGACUUUUGACCAACUUUUCCUAAAUUUAUCCUAAUUAAAUACUAACACAUGGAUUUUCACCACUCUUUUUGACCUUUUGACCCACAAAUUUAUGAAAGACUUUAUGCUUGGAGAAUCUACAAAAACCUGGGUAUUACAAUUUCUCAGGUUGAUAACUGUCGUGGUUACGAAGCCACCACUUGAAUCCUCAGUCGCCAUUGUAAUGGGCCUGGAUGCAAAUAGUACAUCAUGUUUCUUCAAAAGUUCUCUGCUAAUCUCUGGGAAAGUCGUAGGGACGAAAUGAAAUAUUUCCCAAUUGAAUACAUGCAAUUUUAGUGUUCAUUUCUUUCAUAAAGCCAAUGUAUCCACCAGAAAGUUGGCUUUUUGUUGAGUAAAUGAGGUAGAUAUUGCACUAGUGGCCAUGGAGCUAAUCCUGGAGGAAGUUGUAUCGGCUUGCUUUUGGUACUUGUUUUGGAAUUUAAUUUAGUGAAGAUGAGAAAGAUUGAUGUGAUGAAAAGCAAUAAGAGGAAGUUGAGAUGAGACAACACAUCGUCUGUGGUAGUAGAAGAAAACAAGGUUGAGUUACUGCUACUACUCUCUGCAACAAAACCAUUUACACGUCUUUUAUAGCAAAACCAUGUUUGUCCUAUCUUGGGUCUGGAUGCACAUUUUUAAUAUUGGGGAUCAUGCAACCAAAUGUCACACACAAAGAGAGAGAAAAAAAUACGUUUUUUAGAACUUGAAAAGGUAAAAUGGGACAAAAAAUAUUAUCCAUUCUUGAACUCUAAAAGUAAAGUUAUAAAAAGCUUAGGUGGUGUUUGUUUUUUUACUUAAUUCUAAAUAGAACCUUAAUGCUUAAUAGUGUUAAAUAUUAGGUUGUUUGUUUUUGUAGUAUUUUAUUUCUAUUAAGUAUUAAAAAGUAAAAAAACCAAUAUGUUAUUUUUUCUAUUAAGAAAAAGUUACAUAUUUUGACUUUUUCUAUUUAGUAAAAAGUUUAUAAUAAGUCAUGAAAAAGUAGAAAAACAAACAACUUAAAUUUUAAAACUAAAUUGCUUUCAGCAAAAAGCCAAAAAAACAAACACCACCUUAGUUUUUUUUUUUUUUUUUUUUUGUUAUGUAUGAUUACAUGAUUUCCCCCUUUUAAGAUUUUAUCUCAUAAAAUUUUUUUUCUAGAAGGUUCAAAUAAGUUUGAUGAAUAUUGUUUAUUUUAGUAAUUUUAAUUUUGUGGGGUACUUAAAACAUUAGAAGUUCACAAAAAGCAACAUUUAUCAGCUACCUAUCUAAAAAGCUUGGCCUAAUCAUUGAAAUCCAAAAUAUAAAGUGACAACACACUUUUUAAAGCAAUUUUCAAAAUAGUUUUCAAAAACACAUUUAUUUAUGAUAUUUUUAAAAUAAAAAUCUCAAAAAUAACUUGUUUAUAUAGCGUUUUAUUAGACAAAUACUUGAUCUUUAUAAGAUCACCCUAAUUAUAGAUUUAUGAACAUGUAACACAACAAUUAUCUAUAUAUAUACUUAGAAUUAUUAUAUUUUAAGUUUUUAACUACAUAGGACAUCGUGAGUUUUUCCACCAUUUAUCUUAUAAAAAGUUUAUUUAAAUAUGAUAAAGGAUAUAUUAUCUCAUUUCUUAUUAUAUCUGAUGCUAUAUAUAUAUAUAUAUAUGUAACAGAUCAAAUACAAUUUAAAGAUUUUAAUUAACCAUCUAUUAGCAACAAAGCAAUCUCUUAAUCUCAUUCAUAAUAUUAGGAUAAUUUAGUAUUUCCUUUUAUAAAACACUAGCAUAUAAAUCAACACAAAUCAUAUUAAGGGUGUAUUUGGUGUUGAUUUUAGGAAGCGUUUUUAGUAUUUCUAAUACUUGAAAGAUAAAAAUUUUCAAGUUUUAGAAAGAUCAAAAGCGCUUUUUAGAAUGACUAUCAAAUACAUGCUAAAUAUUACUUUUGGAUACUUAUAUUUUUAAAUAACUCUUAAAACUUUUAAGGCAAGUCUCUACUAUUUAUAUAAAUCCCCUAUUAUUUUUAAUUUUUAGAAACAAAAAAUAAAGAAUAGAAACUCCAUUUAAACAUCACCUUAUUAUUUCCUAUUAUAAAAUAACACAAAUCAAAUGAAUUAUUUAAAAAUAAAUAAAUAUAAAAUCAAAGUUGAAGAGAAAAAACUCUUGUGCAUUAAAAAAACAUCAAAAUAAAUAAAUAAAUAAAACAUCAUCAAAUAAAUGUAAAAAUAAAUUAAUGUUAUGGAAAAAUGAGAAUAGGCAACAAGAAAAUAAGAACACAGAUUUACAUGAAAAAUGCUAGACGGGAAAAACCAUGGAUAGAGGAGAAGAAAAUCCACUAUAUUAAAAAUUUGGUAUAAAAUGUGAGAGAAUCAAGCGACUAUUGUAUAGGCAUAAUCACUAUGACCCUAAAUCCUAUACAUCAUCGCAUAUGUAUGGUGUAUGCGAUAAUAUUUGUGAUAAUAAAAAUAUUGUCACAUAAAAUAACUAUGGGAUGUAAUAUUUGUAAUAAUAUUCUUUACAAAAAAAUAUUUUUUCUUUGCUUUAUUCACUUUGAUCACAACUUGAAAUAAGACAAUAAAAAUAUUUUCUUAAUUUUUGAAAAUUAAUUGAGGACUUAGAGCUACUUGUUACUGAGUGAAUUUGCUGAAUGGUGAAGAAUGCGUGUAUAGUAGUUUUGCAAUUUUUCAAACUUGUAGACAUAUUUUGUGAAGUCUUUUUCUCUUUGUAAAGCCCCAUUUUCUAUGUGAAGUUAUUUUUUCAAUAUUCUCUUUGGAAGGAAUUUACCAUUAGUUAUAUAGGUAAGAUUAAGGAAUUAAAUUUGGAAUUCUUAAGAUUUGAUUACUUAAUUCAAAGAAUUUGGUUCAAGGGAAAUUUGCCAACAAAAUAAUAUUUAAUUUUAAUUCUAUGAUGACUUUAAUUAUUUGAUAUAAUUUUAUUUUGAAAGACUUGAUGUGGGGGACUCAUCACUUAUUGAGUCCAAAUUUUGUUGCACCCAAAUUUUUAUGAGCUAAGAAACCAUAAUUUUAAAGACCAAUUCAGUGGUAAGUAAAUCUGCUAAAAUCUUCUAUGUACAAAUGACCUCACUUCAAGGUGCAACACAUACAUGUAUUAUUAUGUGUAUGGGAUGAGUCUUGAAGUUAGUCUUCAUUCUUCUUUGAUUUUUUUUUCUUCAAAUAAAUAAAUAAAACAUCAUCAAAUAAAUGUAAAAAUAAAAUAUGUAUCAGUUAAUUGGAGAGGAGAGCUUUAAGGGCAUUUCUUCUAUGAAAUUCUAUGCUCCACGUACCAUAAAUUUGUACUCAACCAACAAAAUUACAGAAUGGGUCCAUGCACAAACAAAAAUAACCCAAAUGUGAAUAUCUAAAAAUGUAUGAAGUUCACAAUAGAUAUUCAAGCCCAAAUUUAAAUUUCAAAUUAGUCCAACAGAUUUCAUUAAUCAAAAUGGGUCCAAAUUAGCAAAUAUAACCCAACAAAAAUAUCUCAUAUGUCAUAGGCCCUAAUUUAAAAUUUUCAAAUUAAUAGCCAAAAUAUAAGUUCAAUUAAUCAAACCCAAAACAUGAUAAAUUAAAAUAAAUCUCAUUAGGCCUAAACUUAAUAUCCCAUAAUUCAAGCCUAAUUUAAUAUAUAAACCUAAAUCCACAAUCAAAAUCAACCCAAUUUAUGCUAAUCCCGAUUUACAAUCAAAAUCAAACAUAAUUUAAUAAGUAAAUAACUAAAUAAAUUAAGCAAACUCAAAACACCCAAACCACUACAACAUAAAUCAAACAAUAAUAAAUAUAAUGACAACAAUAAUAAUAAUAAAUAAAAUAAAAUAAAAUAAAAUAAAAAUAAAAAAUUUAACUCACGUCGGAGCCAGUUUGAAUGUCUUAGGAAAGAAAGAAAAUGAGAGAAAAGUGAGAGAUGAUUGACAACUGACAGUGGCUCACUAGCGGCAACUGGUUAGUGGUCCUACCGAUGGUAGUGAGGAUUGAUUGGUUUUUGGGAAAAAAAAUAAAAUGAAGAAAAGAAAAUGAGAAGUAAUAAAAAAAAUGGAGAAAUGAGAGGAAGGUGGGAGAAGAAUGGAGAGAGAGAACGUAGAAAAUGAGUGAAAAGAAAUGAGGCUAGUUGGAGGAGAAAGUGGUAGUGUGUGAGCUAAAGUGAAGAAUAAUAGAAGAAGAAAAUGGAGAAGAAUGGGGAAAAAAAAAUCCGUCUCCCUAAAUGAAGAAAGGUGGGUAGCCUAAAGAAGAAGAAAAAAUAAAAUAAAAUAAAAUGGGGAGAAAAUGAGAGGGGGUCGGUGGUCUUGCGAAUGAGGUGGUAUGCGUUAGAGAGAGAGAGAGUGGGUGGGGUUGUUGGGGUUGUUGGGGAAGGUAUGAGAGAGAGAGGAGAGAGAAAAGAAAAAAAAGAAAGAAAAGAAAAAAGAUAAUAUAAAAUAAUAAUAAUAAUAAUAAAAUAAAAUAAUAUACAAAAUAAUAAAAACUAAUAAUUAAAUAGUGAGUGGGCAAAAAAUAUCAUAUGUAAUCAAGAUUUAAUUUUAAGAGUAAAAUUGGGUUAAAAAUUAAUGUAAAAUAAAAUUGGGAUAAAUUUUGGGGUAUACAAAUAUGCACCUCUUCAAUAGAGUCCACGAGUAAAGCAAGUGUAUAUGUGAGCAAAACAAAGUGGGCUCUACUGAAAAAUAAGAAAGACCACCAAAUUUGUCUUAAUAUGACAUGAACUCUCCCAAAUAAAAAAAAUAAAAAAUCUAAAACCCUACAAAAAUGGCCAAAAUGGAAACUCCUAAGGUGCCUCUAAAGUUAUACUAUGGAUCUAGACUCCCUUAGAAAAGCCUCCAAAAAUGGCCCAAAAAUCGGUGCCAAAAUCGAGUAGCAAUCAGACCACUAAGGAGCACAUGAACGAAUGCAUACAAAGGGAAAAAAACCAUACGUGUACCAUACGAUGACAAAAGGCAUAAGGUAUCCAACAAUAUGACUGAUUCACGUGUUACGAGCUUAAAGAACUUUGUCAUGCACCAUGGAGGAAGGGAAACUCUAGAAUAAUGUGAUGAGGAAGUUAUUAGCACAAUGUAACAGAGUGAGGAAAAAAGUGAUGAGUGCAAAGCUGUGAGGACAAAGUGCACAAUGCUAAUGAAUAUGAAAUGAAUAGCACUAGGCUAUAAUGCAAUGAAUAGCUCAGGGUUGUACCAUAAUGAACAAGUCAAGGAUGUGUAAAGAUGAGGAACAACUCAAGGUUGUAAUGCAAUGAACAACUUAGGGCUAUGAAUGCAAUGAACAGCUCAGCUCAAUGAAUGAAAUGAAUAGCUCAGGGCUGUGAAUGCAAUGAACAACUCGACGUUGUGGAUGUAAUGAACAACUCAUGGUCAUGGAUGCAAUGAACAGCUCAGGGCUAUAGAUGAACAACUCGGGGUUGUGGAUGUCAUGAACAACUCAAGAAUAGGGGCACUAUACACCCAAAAUGGGAGAUCACGGUCUACGAUUCCAAGUCAAACCACUAAAGGGUGACCAAAAUGAGGGUGAUCAACUCACUAAAAAAGAUGAUCAAAAUGUCUUAAGGGAGAGGAGAUGCCCCAGAUGAAACUUAAAGGAAAUGAGUAGUGCUAAUGAAACUAAAAAAAGAAAAAAUGUCACAACUGAAAUUGAAAAAAUAGCAAACUUAGAUUAAAGUGCAAUGAACAACUUUGGGCUGUUGCGAUGAGUAGUACCGUGUUGUAAUGAAAUGAAUAACUUUAAGAUAUGGGCAUUGUACGCCUAAAGAGGGAGAUAGUGGUUUACGACUCCAAGUCAAACCACUAAAGGACGACUAAAAUAAGAUGAUCAACUUACUAUAAAUGAUAAUGCAACUAUCUCGAGAAAAAGGGUAUGCCCCAAAUGACACUCAACAGUAAAAGAAUGACACAAAUGAAACUAAAACAAGAGGAUGCCACAAAUGAAACUGAAAUGAUAACAGACUCAGUACUAAUGUGUAAUGAACAACUUUGGACUAUGGAUGCAAUGACUAGCACUGGGUUGUAAUGAAAUGAACAACUCUAAGAUGUGGGCACUAUACCCCUAAGAAAUGAGAUCAUAGUUUACGACUCUAAGUCAAACCGCUAAAGGGCGACUAGAAUAGGAUAAUCAACUCACUAAAAAUGAGGAUGCAACUAUCUCGAGAAAGGGGGUAUGCCCUAAAUGACACUCAAUAGUAUAAGAAUGACAUAAAUGAAACUAAAAUAAGAGGAUGCCACAAAUAAAACUAAAAUGAUAACAAACUCAAAACUAAUGUGCAAUGAAUAACUCUAGGUUGUGGAUGCAAUGAACAACAUUGGGCUGUAAUGAAAUGAACAACUCUAAGAUGUGGGCACUAUACGCCUAAAGAGGGAAAUCACGGUCUACGACUCCAAGUCAAACCACUAAAGGGCGACUAGAAUAGGAUGAUCAACUCACUAAGAAUGAGAAUGCAACUAUCUUGAGAAAAGCGGGAUGCCCUAAAUGACACUCAAUAGUUAAAGGAUGACACAAAUGAAACUAAAACGAAAUGAUACUACAAAUGAAACUGAAAUGAUAAUAAAUUGAUAACUAAAGUGCAAUGAACAACUCUAGGCCGUGGAUGCAAUGGACAGCUCAAGAAUAGGGGAACUGUUCGCCCAAAAUGGGAGAUCGUGGUAUGCGACUCUAAGUCAAACCACUAAAGGGUGGCUAAAAUCAAAAUGAUCAACUCACUAAAAAUGAGGAUCUGAACAUCUCAAGAAAGGGGUUAUGCCCCAAAUGAAACUGACAAUAGAGGGAUGCCUUAAACAGACUGAAGAAAGAAGGAUGCCCUAAACAAAUUAACGAAAAAUGGAUGCCCUAAACAAACUGACGGAAGUGAAAUGCCCUAAAUAAACUGACCAAAGAAGAAUGCACUAAACAAACUCUGAGAAAAAAAAAAAAAGAAGUAUGCAAUAUAGAAUCAAAAACACCUAAAGCAAAAACAAGAAACAAAGAAUGUGGUUUACAACUAGAAACACCCAAAAGAACCUUAAAGAAGUAACUGGGAUAAUGAACUUAAUGAAAAUGGGGUAUGCCACAGUAAAAGACUCGGAAGUAUCAGCAAAUGGGUCAAACGACCAUGAAAUCAAUAGGAGAUAUGAUGAACCCAAAAAGGGCAUAUGCCCCAACAAAAGAACACUAAAAGGGGGGUAUGCCCCGAUAUGACGACUCACAAUAAUUAAGAAAUGGAUCGAGUAAUGAGAAAAUCUGCAAAAUAUCCUAUGAACUCAAAGAUGGGGGUAUGCCCCAGUGUAAAAUAGUGACCAACAUAAGACACAGAAUGUCACCAUACAAUACACUCUGGGAUAUGCUCAAUGUCAAUGUAAUGAAAACAAUAGCCUCAAUCAACAAAUGUUCAAGCAAGACCAUGCAUCACAUAAACUAAAAUAAUAGGCUAAACAAAUGCUAACCAAGUCUCUCAAUCUGAAAUGUAAGCAAGUCAAGACAUGACAUGCCAACCAUCGACAUGAAAACAUCAUCACAAAUACAUCAACAAACUAAUAGUCCCUACUAUCAUGGAAGAUGUAGAACCUAACGUCCAAAGGCAUGUGAAAACUCAACCAGAAAGCUCAAGACUAGUUUGCAUCCUCCUCUAAUAAAAAGAAUGAGAUAAGGUCAUGUAGGAUGAUGAAAUAGGCAAGCUCAAUAUUCGUUAGGCUCUACCAAGAUGGAUGUAGGUAUAAUAGUGUCAAAGGUAGGAUGUCUAGAUUUCCAACGAAGGAAACUGGGUAUCCAAGUCAAACCAAGUAUGUUGAGGAAACUGAACCCAUAGGACAAUAACUUUAUGAUCCAUUGAAAAUAGCAAUCAUGAAUAGAAGGUCGAGUCUCGAUGUCAAAAUCAACAAGGUGGCAUUGCCCCAGUAUGAAUACAUCUUCUCAAAAUGGGUAAACCUUUAGUGCAAGAUAAUCUCUAGAAAGUGUGUGUCUAGUAUAAACUGUCAUCUCACAAAAUUUAUCACUGAUGAGUGGGCUAUACCCCAGUGUAAGCAUUUCCAAAUCAAACAUCGAUGAGAGGAGUACAACCAAUCAUACAUAAUAUGAUCAAAACAAAUCUCCACUCCUCAAAGUCAUCAUGGUAACGUGAAAAGAGUAUCUAACCUCAUUUAAAGAAAGAUCAUGUCCCAAUGUGAAAAAUAUCAAGCAAAGUGGUAUGUCUCAACAAAAAUGCACUCUAACAUGAUCAUGCCUAGAUGUAAGCUGGUAUCUUUAAGAUCAAUCACCAAUGAAAGGGUUAUGCCCCAGUAUAGGGCAAUCUCUUAAAUGACUAAAAUCCGCUACAAGCUCUCACAAGUGUCUAUGUCAUGAACCAAUCAUCUCAAAAAAUAAAUAAAUAAAUAAAUCUAUCAACAAUGAUGAGAAGGUUAUGCUCCUAUAAUCACACCAAGAAAAUCACCCGGUCAUAUCUUGUACUCCAAUGUGAAAGGAAAAUAUGAUCACCUCCAAAGAAUGGCUAUGCCCCAAAAUACAUCAUCGAUUGAGAAAUAUGCCCCUACGUAAAGUACAUCAACUGAAAUAUGCCAAUCAUGCCUCAUGCUCCAAUGUGAAAAAUGACGUAUAAUCUUCUUUGAGGGAUGGUCAUGACUCAAAUCCAUCAUCAGUUGAGAGAAGUAUGCCCCGACAUAAUGGUCAUCUAAAAAAUCAAUCCCCGACUAAGAAAUAUGUGCCUUGAUGUGAUGUAUCAAGCAAAAUGGCUGCAUACCCCAUAAAAAACUCUCUAAGGUGGCUAUGCUCCAAUGUUGGAUCAUACCACAACUCCUGGUCUAUCACAAUCAAAAUGCUGUCCAACCAAUCCCAAGUAUCGCCCACAUGAGAGCUAUCAAACACAAUGUGUGAUGUCAUGGCCUCAAGGUGGUCUUAAGAUUCGGAACGUAACGUAGGCUAGGGUAAUAAGGUAAAGAAAUGAAGGAAAACUAGGCUUAAUAAUCCUAAUGAUAAAACCCCAUACCUUAUGUAUAAAAUGCAAUAUGUGCAAAGAGUCUCAUAAACCAUGGAUCUAAGGACACCCAAUAUGAAUAUAUCAGUGAGGAAGAAAGAAUCUAAGAUGAAUAUAUCAAUGAUAACAGAGAAGAAAUGAAGAAUAUUAAACUGUUGAUGGGAUGUAUAAGAAUGAUGUAUGGAAAAUAUUGAACAUGGAAUGUAAAUUGAUAUGAACAAAGAACAAUGUAGGCAAGGCAAAUGUGAUAUCAUGAUAAGAACAAAUAAAUCGAAGAAAAAUGAAUGAACACUAAUCCACUCAAAUCAAGUCAUGGAGAAUAGUCAAAUCACCAACGUAUGUAAUGAUGGAGAAGACAAUGAUUCAAAGUCCCUAGGAAAAUGUCACUUGUUUGUCACACAUAAAAUACAUAACGAGAUAGACACAAAAAUAUGAGAGUCUUUUGAAAGUUCACAUACGAACUUUCAUAAGCAACUAACUCAAUAAAGCAACCUCAAUGACCAAUAUAUACACUCAAUAAAGGAUGACACUGUAUACAUGUGUUUAUUACUUUUUCUUUUCAUUUUGUUUUUCAUUUUUUUCAUUUUUGUUUUCAUUUUUUUUCUUUUACUCGCGCAUACUCUGAAUAUCAAUAAAUGAACUUCUCUGAGAAUACAUAAUGAAAUGGAUAUACUCUCAAACAAUGAUGUCAGCGAACUCUCUCUGACAAGAUGACCCUCUAAAUUAAGGAUUUUCGAACUAACGUCCAUGAGAUAGGAGUGGAAGGGGAUAUGACCAUCCUUCCUGCACCGAAAUGUGAAAAAUCAUCACUCAGGGCACAAAAAAAUGUGAUGAAAAAAAAUAAAAAAAUGAAACAAAAGAUAUAAACAAUGAAGUAUGAUGAAGACUGAUGUUGGGAAGACAAAAAAAAUUGUGAAGAAGGUGAGCCAAUAAGUCCUCAACUCAUGAAACUCUCGAAUAAAAUAUAUAUACACCAAAAAACCCUUAUCCCGGUGUAAAAUGUGAGCAAGGAUAUAAGAAAGAAAAAACUAUGGUGCUCAUGUGAGGUUCAAAGGGCUAGCAACGGUCCAAAUGUCAAUAAAGGUAAUAGGGUGUGAGCUAACCAAAAUGAAGGCCACCUAUGAUGGUCUGAAACAUCAUGCUCUUAAGCUUUCAAUGAUCAAUACUGAAAAUCGAUGUCAACCCUUUGGAAUUGUGCGCCAAACCAUACUCCAAAUGCUCCAUAAUAAUCUCAAAGAUAAUCCUCUCAAAGCAAAGUAAAUAGCGAUCUCAUAAGGCACAACUACUCAUCACAAGCCAACUCUCAUCAUGCAAGAUCAAUCUCUAUUUUCAUGGAAAAAUAAGUGACAAUCUCAUCAGGCAAUCGACGAAUCCUCACAUCGUAAACCAACCAAAGAUCAUAAGUCAUUCAUUGCCAUGCAAGAUCAAUCCCAGGCUCAAACUCCUCAUACUCUACCUGGUUGGAUUAGAGAAGAAAUGGGCAAAGCUAGAAAAACUGAAGAUGGAAAGGUCAUAUAAUGGUGUCAAGGGUGAUGUUGUGCAAAACUCACAAUGAAUGGAUGUAGGUCAAAGAAAAGUCAAUGUGUGAGAGUGAGUAAGGCACUACUCUGAUCAUAAGAAGAUGGGUCACAAUCUCAAACUCCUAAGGUCAAAUCUUCGAUCCUAGGCUAAUAAGCUCAACAUCCUCCAUGAUAGGUCAACCCCCAAGAUCACAAUGUGCAAAUGAAUAGAUGCCUCAAGUCAAAAGUACAACACAUCAUAUGAUAUAUGGUCCUACGAUGACAAUCUAAAACUGGAAAUAUGUUAGAAACUCUAAGGUCAUAAAGGUGUCCACUGUGAGAUGACUACAAAUGUGACUAAGGAAUCUUUAUCAAUAAUCCAAAAAAUGAAUGAGGUGUGAAAAACAACACUAUCAUGAGAUCGAUACCCCAUCAAUAACAAAAUAUCUCUAAUUCACUUUCAAUCUAAGCUCUAUAAAGAAAAACGAUAAGGUUAUAAAGGCAAACCUCUCAAAAAUGGUGUGAAUGUGAAAACAUGUCUUCACCUUUCUAUAAUGAAAAUAUCAUGUUGAAAAUAGAAAUAGGCAAAUCAACCAAAGAAUGAAGCACGGAGCCCAUGACAAGUGAAGAAUGUAAAAAGGUGAACAUGAUCAAUGAACAUAUCCCAAAACAUUAAGCAUAAAGUGACAACAAACCGAAAGAAUGUGUCAAUUUAAGAAAAGAAGACUAUCUGAAGCCCUAGGGAGAAAGUGUGCUAGACUCAACGAGCGACAAGAAGAAACUAAAACCAUAUAGCAAGGGGUGGUCCAACUGAUACUCAAACUCGUACCAAUAUCUAAGCACUCUCGACUGGAGACCAAAAGAUGGAGUAUUGGAUCCAUAUUGUGACUAAAGUGGCCUCGAAGGCUCUCAGAUGCACCCACGUGUAGGAAAGGAAAUCCUAAUGAAAAUAUCUAAGGCUUAACCUACAAGGUCAAGGCGGCUCUCAAAAGAAAAUUUGAGUAGACUUUAAAGGAUCCCUAGCAAAAGCGAUCAUACCCUCCGAUGGUACACAACCUCCUACACGUCUUGAAAUAUACGGGAGUGAUUCCAUGCAAGGUGGUCAUCACCUCCACACAUGCACUAUCUCGUAUCCUAGAGGGUUUCCUAAUGAUGAAGACUCUUACAUCUCUCAACACUUAGUGGUAAUCUAAGGUGCACAGUGAACGGUGUGGGUUCAUCCAAAAAUCCUAUCAAGCUAAGCAAAGAGAAAAAACAUUGGUCACACAAAUAUCCUGAAAUCUAGCUCUAACCUAUACAAGUCUUCAAAGAUUAGACUCCAAUUAGCAUUAAUGUUUCGACCUUCUCUAGAAUGCUCCCAAACAUAGAUAUAGUCCAUCACUAAACCCUACUCCGAAUCACUAGCUCGGUCAAAGAGCAAACAAAGUAAUAAGUCUCAUAUCAAAUACGAGAUCAAGGGGAACAUGGUCACCCGAGACUAGGGAAUUGAAGGUAAGGGGAUAGAUGUGUGUCCCGCAUAGAAAAGCAACAUGCAUCACACAGAAGAAGAAUAGUCAUGCAAUAGACAACCAAGCAAAGAACAGGUAUAUCAUUCAUAUCUACACACAAGCUAAACAAGAAAUAGGUAUUUAACAAGAAUAAACAAUAUGUUGAGAUAAACAAGAUAAUAUACGAUAAAGAGAAUCAAUCACACCAAUAUGAAUGAGAUAUACAAAAAUGAGAAUAUACAUGUCAAGGAGAGCAAGAUAAUCAUACAACAAGAAGAGUCUUAUGUUAAAGCAAGCAAGAGAAUCAAUCGAUGUAGUCAACAUGUCAAUAUCUCAAAUGAACAUAACAACCAAAUAUGCAUCAUAAAGAAAAAAUGGUAAUCAUGCAGCACACAGUCAUACAAAACAAAUACAGACAAACAUAAGCAAAUAAAUGUAAACACACAUGAUAACAAAAAUCAAUGUAUAGUAAGGCACAUGCAAUAUAUACAUAAAAUAAUCAUCAAGUCAACACUCAUAUACCUUAAAACAUGAAAAUAUACAAUAAAGACACAACGAGAGGGUAUUCACUGAUCGAUUAAUCAAACGCUACAUUUCCCUUAACUCGAGUUCAAGUUUGAUCCUUUAAAUAUCCCUAGUGAAGUCGCUAUUUUGUGGACCCACAUUUUUCAAAUACGUCCUUACACAACAGCGAGACUCAUUUUUUUUAUUUGGUGAAAAUUUGAUUUUUAGAAAAAAGACUUUGAGUCGUCACUUAUUUUUGUUUUUUUUUAAGGGAAAACAAAACAAGAAAGAAAACCUUGUGUGACUCCUUAUUUGGGAAAGACAUGUAUGCAAAAACCAAAUCUGGAUUCGGGGGUUAAGUUCCCUAUUGAGAAUGUACGAUGGUGAGCUGUAGCACCUCUCUAAGCUCAUAUACGUAUGGUCUCUACUAAACGAAUUAAGAGAAUUGUAGUAAUUAAUUAAUUAGUCAAGGAUACCAAGAAAAAGAAUCGCACAAAUGAGUACGUACAAAUCAUGAUAAAAAAAAUCAAAUUAUAAGAAUAGACAAAAUAAAUAACAAGAGAAUUGUGCAAAGUGAUUUAUUAAACUAAAUAAAAAAGAAGAUAUUAAAAAAAUUAGUUUUCAAGAAAUUUCAACGGAUUUUAUUAAAAUGAUUUUGAAUUAAUGAUUUUUAUUUAUUUAUUUACAAAAAAAGUGUCAAUUUAUUUUCUUCAAGUGAUUUGAUUCAAUUUCAUUUGUAUUCAAUUUUUUUUUUUUAAAAGUUAUUUACACUCAUGGUUGUUAAAAGAAUUAUUCACAAAAUUUCAAGUUGACAAUAAAAAUGAUUUUUACUUGCUUUUACUCAAAAACAAUGAAUUUUUACAAUUUUAUUAACAAAAGCAUUUCAAUUUAAGAAAAGUGACUUAAACAAAUUAUUAAAAAAAAUAUAACUUUAUCUGCAAAAGAAUUUUUAAUUAAAAAGAAAAAAUUUAAGUCAUCUAUUUCUAAAAAUGACUUUUAAUCCCAUUUUAAUUAAGGAAAAUUGAGUUAUCUAAAAAAACAUUUUUUGGACAAUUUGAAUAAAAAUUAAUUUUUGGGACAACUUUAUUUACAAAACAAUUUUUGGACAAUUAUUAUUAAAAACAAAAUUUCAAAUUCGAUUAAAAACAAUUUUUUGGAUUUUUCCAAACACAUUUUUAUGAAUUUUUAUUAAUAAAAAACUUUUUUUUAUUAAGAAGAAUAUUUUUUGAGCUAUUAUUUUAUUAAAACAUGUUUAUUGAAUUAUUCUUCUUCUUCAAACAAAAUUUUUAAUUUGUUCGAUAUCCAAUUCUGUACACAACAAGUAAAUAUAUACAAACAAAUAUUUAUAGAAACCAAUAAAAAUAAAACCAAAUAGAAGUGAGAAAUAAAACAUGUACUUAAACAAGCUUACAACAAGCUCAAUGUCUUCUUACGACUUUUCGAGUUUCACUUUCUUUCAUUAAAUUUUAUGCUCCACGUACCAUAAAUCCGUACUCAACCAAAAAAAUUGCAGAAUUGGCCCAUGCAAAAACAAAAAUAACACAAAUGUAUAAAGUUCACAAUAGAUAUUCAAACCCAAAUUCAAAUUUCAAAUUAGUCCAACAAAUUUCGUCAAUCAAAAUAGGUCUAAAUUAGCAAAUAUAGCCCAACAAAAAUAUCUCACAUGUCAUAGGCCUUAAUAUAAAAUUUCCAAAUUGAUAACCAAAAUAUAAGUUCAAUUAAUCAAACCCAAAACAUGAUACAUUAAAAUAAAUCUCAUUAGGCCUAAACUUAAUAUCUCAUAAUUCAAGCCUAAUUUAAAUAUAAACCUAAAUCCACAAUCAAAAUCAACUCACUUUAUGCUAAUCCCAAUUUACAAUCAAAAUCAAACAUAAUUUAAUAAGUAAAUAACUAAAUAAAUUAAGCAAACUCAAAACUCUCAAACCACUAUUGCAUAAUAUCAAACAAUAAUAAAUAUAAUGACAACAAUAUUAAUAAUAAAAUAAAAUAAAAAAAUUUAACUCACGUUGGAGCCAGUUUGAGUGUCGUGGGAAAGAAAGAAAAUGAGAGAAAAGUGGGAGAUGAUCGUUAGCUGGUAGUGGCUCGCCGACAGCGACUGGUCGAUAGUCCUACUGGCGGUAGUGAGGAUUGAUGAGUUUUUGGGAAAGGAAAAAAAAAAAAAAGAGGAGUAAUAAAAAAAAAAUGGAAAAAUGAGAGGAAGGUGGGAUAAGAGGGGAGAGAGAGAAUGAAGAAAAUAGGGGAAAAGAAAUGAGGCCGGCUGGAGGAGGAAGUGGUAGUGUGUGUGAGCUAAAGUGAAGAAGAAUGAAAGAAGAAGAAGGAGAAAAAUGGGAAAGAAGGGGAAAAAAAUUCGAGCCCUCUAAAUGAAGAAAGGUGAGUAGCUUAAAGAAGAAAAAAAAAUAAAAUAAAAAAAGAAAAAAUGAGGAGAAAAUGAGAGGGCCAGUAGUCUUGGGAAUGGGGUGGUAUAAGUGAGAGAGAGUGGGCGAGGUUGUUGGGGAAGGUAUGGGAGAGAGAGGAGAGAUAAAAGAAAGAGAAAAAAAAACAUAAUAAUAAUAAUAAUAAUCAUAAAUAAUAUAUAAAUUAAUAAAAAUUAAUAUUUAAAUGAUGAGUGUGUCAAAAAUAUUAUAUGUAAUUGGGAUUUAAUUUUAAGAGUAAAAUUGGACUAAAACUUAAUGUAAAAAUAAAAUUUGAACAAAUUUUAGAAUCUACAAAUACAUUCUUUAAUCUUUCCACAACAUCAAUCUGAUCUAAAUGAAAUGCAAUAAAUUCUAAAAAUGAUACAAUCUUUAAUCAAUCCACAACAUCAACCCGAUCAAAACUCAAUGCAAUAUUGCUUAAUGGAGAGAAUCGUAAAAUCCUUUUAUGAGAGGAAAACAAAACCCUUAACAGACCUUUAUGAGAGGAAAAUAGGAAAACAUAGAACUAAAAACCCUUAACGUAUUCAUGAGAAUAAAAAAAUCCUUAACACCUUAAUAAGAGGAAAACAAAGAAUUUGAACAAUCCUUAAUCCAUCAAAAGCUCUUAAUAUGAACGAGGGGAAAACAUAACCUUUAUUUUUCAUAUCGUUGAAUACAGAAUCUAAAGAGAUAGAAUUUUUAGUUAUUAAGGAUUUUUUAUAGAUGUCUAUUGAAAGUUCAAGAACUUUUAUGGAUAAGUGUUAAUUAAGAGACUGAAAGGGUACUUAGGAUUUUCAACUAAAAAAGUUAUAACAAUAUGAAUCGUAAGAACUUAAAAACAUCACCCAUCCAUAAGAGGAAUAUGGAAUGAGAGGUUAUAUUUUUACUUAUACAACAAUAAACUUUUUUGGAAGAGGUUUUUCUAAGUACAAAAAGUUAUGAAUAAAAAACCAUUGUUACGAUGAGUUAACUAAAAUAGAAUUAAUUUAGAAAAUAUCAAUAAAGUUGCAUGAAUUAUUAUCAUGAGUUAACUUAAUAAGAAUAAAUAGUAAUAAAGUUAAUGAGGUGAAUUUGGAUUGGCAGAUAUAUUUGAUGAUAAGAUUUUUUUAAUAAUAAAAAAUUAUUAUGGCAGGAAAAAUAGGACAAAAUUGACCUUAUGAUAAGAUUUUUUUAAUAAUAAAAACAUUAUUAUGGUAUGAAAAAAAGGGACAAAAUUGGCCUUNNNNNNNNNNNNNNNNNNNNNNNNNNNNNNNNNNNNNNNNNNNNNNNNNNNNNNNNNNNNNNNNNNNNNNNNNNNNNNNNNNNNNNNNNNNNNNNNNNNNUUUUCUAAGUACAAAAAGAGUUAUGAAAUAAAAACCCCAUUUGUUACGAUGAGUAACUAAAAAUAGAAUUAAUUUAGAAAAAUAUCAUAAAGUUGCAUGAAUUAUUAUCAUGAGUAACUUAAUAAGAAUAAAUAGUAAUAAAGUUAAUGAGGUGAAUUUGGAUUGGCAGAUAUAUUUGAUGAUAAGAUUUUUUUAAUAAUAAAAAAUUAUUAUGGCAGGAAAAAUAGGACAAAAUUGACCUUAUGAUAAGAUUUUUUUAAUAAUAAAAACAUUAUUAUGGUAUGAAAAAAAGGGACAAAAUUGGCCUUUCCUUAAUUGUACCGGUUAAUGGAAUAAUGGGACAUGCGGUGGUUACAAGCCACCCCAAAAGGUAGGAAGAAUCUCCAACCCCCAUUCUCGGCUCCCUUAUCUUUUCCCUUACAACCAAAAAUCAACAACUAUCUUAGAAUGUCCUUCAGUCCAUCAAAAUUCAACAACAACAAUUAUACAUUACAAUAAUGAAAACAAAAUUGAUUGAUCACCAGCUAACAUUAGGAGAUUAUAAGAUAAGGAUGUAAUUGCAAUUAUUGAAAUCACUUAAAGAGUAAAAGUUAGGAACAUGCUCACAAUAAAUAAAAUCACCUUAGAAUUAAAAAUUAGGGACAUGAUUAUGAUGAUUAAAAUCACUCGAGAACUAAAAUGUUUUAGAGAUACAAUAAUUGAAAUCAACUGAAAAAUAAAUUCGGGAUGUGAUCGCAAUUAAUGUAUAUAUAAACAACCAAAUGUUGAAAGGAAAAACUAAUGAAAUUAAUAUGAUUUUCUUUUAGAUUUCUCUUGACACCAAACAAAUGUAAGGAAGUUUAUAAAGGAAAAUUAGGUUUUGAUUCACUAAAUUAAAAUAAUAUAGAAAAAAGAUCUUCAAAUUUUAUAUACCAGUUUUAUUUUUAUUUAUUUAAAAAUAUUUUAAAAUACAUAUAUUUUUUCAUAACUCAAAUAGUCAUUCCUCAAAUGCUAGUUUUACUUGUUAUGUUAAUAACACUAGUUAAUAAUUUUUUAUUGUGAGAACGAUUUAAGAUUAAUAAAAUAAGAAAUUUUUAAAACUAAAAAGACAUUUAAAACUUUAAAAUUAAAAAUAUAAAAAUAAAACAAUAAUUUUUCAUUUAGUAAAACACGCCAGUAGAAAAUAUAGAUAUAGAGAAAGAGUUGGAAAUAAAAUAAGAGUUAAUAUUUUAUUUUUAAAAUUUUAUGUUUUUUAUUUUAAUUGUAUUUAAUUUUAUGUAUUUUAGUUGUAAUUAUAUUUUUAAUUUUUAAUUUUUUUUUAUUUUAUUGUUGAUGUAAACUAAUAAAUUUUUUGUUCAAUUAUAUAUAUAUAUAUAUAUAUAUAUAUAUAUAUAUAUAUAUAUAUAUAUUUUAAAAUUAGUGAGUAAAAACCCACUUUUUCUAAUUUAUAAUAUAUUUAUGGGAUUUUAUAAUAUAAGCAAUUUUUUUUUUUUUGAGAAAGAGGAAAAAUCAACUUUUCAAUUUCCCUUAAUAAUUAUUAUUAUUAUUAUCCAAUUUGGCUGAUUAUGAGAUUAGUUCGUAUCAUUACUAUAUCCAUUUGUUCUUAACCCUUCAUUAGAAUAGUAUUAGGAGUUGAACGUCAGUUGGAAUACAGGCUUAUGGAAACAAAUCUAUCCGAUUAGUAGGUUCUUAUUAUUUUCAAUAUAGCCCCAUAAAAUAAAUAGGAGAUGGGCAGCCCGUCCCUUUUGUCUGGAGGCCAUCCUCCCAACUUAUUAAAGGUGAUAUGAGAUAAGACAGUGACAAAAUUGUCGGUUACUUCCCGACACCUGGCUCUCCACAAGCAAACCCAGUGAUCCAGAAAUUAAUUGGUACCUGGACACGUGACUAACAAACCUUCGCUCAUCUACCAAACCCAUGGCCUCAUGCCUUAUAUAUUUCCACAAACCUAGCUCAAUUUUCAUAGCCACCUUCACUAUCCUAUACUCACUAAGCCAUGGCCAUAGAUACAAGCCUCUUGCUUGAGUUUGCUGCAGCAACUCUACUCUUCUUCAUCACCCGCUUCUUCAUUCGUUCUCUCCUUCCCAAACCUUCCCGGAAGCUCCCCCCUGGCCCCAGAGGGUGGCCGCUCCUCGGCGCUCUUCCUCUUCUAGGUAACAUGCCUCAUGUUGCAUUAGCAAAGAUGGCCAAAAGAUACGGGCCUGUCAUGUUCUUGAAAAUGGGCACUAACAGCAUGGUGGUGGCCUCAACUCCCGAGGCGGCUCGGGCUUUCCUUAAAACGCUAGACAUUAAUUUCUCUAACCGCCCGCCUAAUGCCGGUGCCACACUCUUGGCCUAUCAUGCCCAAGACAUGGUUUUUGCGGAUUAUGGGGCAAGGUGGAAGCUACUGAGAAAGCUAAGCAACUUACACAUGCUUGGUGGGAAAGCUCUUGAGGACUGGUCUCAGGUCCGAGCUGUUGAGCUAGGCCACAUGCUUCGAGCCAUGCUUGAGUUAAGCCAGCGAGCGGAGCCGGUGGUGGUGCCGGAGAUGUUAACUUUUUCCAUGGCCAACAUGAUAGGUCAAGUGAUUCUAAGCCGCCGGGUGUUUGAAACAAAAGGGUCGGAGUCAAAUGAGUUCAAGGACAUGGUGGUGGAGCUCAUGACCACUGCUGGGUACUUCAAUAUUGGCGACUUUAUUCCGUCCAUCGCAUGGCUGGACAUCCAAGGGAUCCAGCGCGGGAUGAAGCAUUUACAUAGGAAGUUCGACCGGUUAUUAACAAAGAUGAUGGAGGAGCACACGGCGUCAGCCCAUGAGCGAAAGGGAAACCCAGAUUUUCUGGACGUAAUCAUGGCAAACCAAGAAAAUUCUACAGGGGAGAAGCUCACUAUUACCAACAUUAAAGCACUCCUCCUGGUAUGCAUAGUUAAAGCUCGUCUUCAAUUUUGUUUUCCGAUAUUUUCUUUCCGGAAACAGCACUUUUAUUGCUUUUAGAUAUGUACGUUUUUAUCAGGUAGCCAUUUUAGGGGCACAUCACUAUUCUUUAUUUUUGGACUAUUUUUUUCUUUUUCCACUUGCAUGGUUGUUUUCAUAUGCUCAGCUGCAUGGCACAAGAAAAUUGUGAAAAAUGAUUGGUUCUCUGAUCAGACCUUCAGCACCAAAACACGCUUUUCUCUAUGUUAUAAAAUCGGUUUACAUGAUUUUUCAACCAGCUUCCUUGAACUUGAACUUUUGCUAGGGCUAAUGCAAAAAAUGAUUGAUCUCAAUUUUCAAUAGCGUUUGAUUACAUAAAUUUCAAGUAUGUGAACAUAUUUUUGUUUCCUUGGCUAGAAUUUAUUUACUGCAGGAACAGACACUUCAUCGAGCGUAAUCGAGUGGUCUCUGGCUGAGAUGUUGAAAAACCCGAGCAUCCUCAAGCGUGCUCACGAAGAAAUGGAUCAAGUGAUUGGAAGGAGCCGGCGGCUCGUGGAGUCUGACUUGCCAAAACUUCCAUACCUACAAGCCAUAUGCAAGGAAAGCUUCCGGAAGCACCCAUCCACACCACUGAACCUUCCUCGUGUCUCAACCCAGGCAUGUGAAGUGAACGGCUACUACAUCCCAAAGAACACUAGACUUAGUGUGAACAUAUGGGCAAUCGGGCGAGACCCUGAUGUCUGGGAAAGCCCGGAAGAAUUCAGGCCAGAAAGGUUUUUAAGUGGAAGAAAUGAAAAAAUUGAUCCUCGUGGAAAUGAUUUUGAGUUGAUCCCGUUUGGGGCUGGACGAAGGAUUUGCGCUGGCACUAGAAUGGGAAUAGUGCUGGUUGAGUACAUUUUAGGGACGUUGGUACAUUCAUUUGACUGGAAAAUGCCGGAUGGAGUUGAGAUCAACAUGGACGAAGCUUUCGGGCUUGCGCUGCAGAAGGCAGUUUCUCUUUCGGCCAUGGUGACACCAAGGCUUCACCAGAGUGCGUAUGCAGUCUGAGCUCAAACCGCUCAGACCAAAACCCAGGCCUCGCUGCUAUAUGGCAUGGAUGCAGUUAAGUAGAAAAUAUUUUGGGAUUUUUGCCUGUGGCUUAGUAUAAGAUGUAUUAGCUCAAAGAUGGUCGUUUCAUUCUACCACCAAGCCAUAUGCAUCUAUGCAUAAUCUAUUGAUUUAGGCUCGAUUUGGUUAUAGUUUUUGUUUUUUUGUCUUCCAAAUCAGUAAAUAGUAGGGGUAUUUUUGUCCUAUGUAGUGAUUCUUUUUGUUUGAUUGAUUAUAUUUGGAUCCUUCAAAAAUAUACGGUCAGAGCCAUCUCCAUCUUUUCACUUCUUGUGCUGCAGAAUGGGAUUGGCUUAGAUCGUUAGUCUAAUGUUAACCCCCUUCAAAUCUAAUUAUUCAUACUCAAUUUUGACACGAAAGAGCCAUUGUCAUGAAAGGGGGACCAGGGACCUCAGCACCCUUGGUUCAUCAUUUUGGUACGAUGCCAACUCUACCACAUAACCACCAUUUAGAUAUCUAUCCUUUUAUUUUUGGCAUGUGAACUUAUAGUGGGUGGCUGACCUUGAAUCCAAUAGUUAUCAUGAUAUAUAUGGCUGAAAUUAACCAUCAUUUAGAUAUCUAUCCUUUUAUUUUUGGCAUGCGAACUUAUAGUAAGUCCGAUUUAUGUCCAAGGGUCAAAUUUAAAUCUCUCUUCAAUCUAAUGGCUAAGAACUUCCCAACUUUAUUUAAUACUUAAUGUAUCCAAUAAUUGUAAUCGAGUAAUCCAAUGACAAGUACCUUCAAUGAUUAUUUUGGCAAAAGAAAUAAUAUAAGUUUGUUAUUUUAUGAUAUAAUAAAUUUAUUAAUACUUUCCUUUUUCAAAAUAUGUAAUUAGUUGUAAUUUCAUUAUAUAAUAUAUAAAUUAAGUUAUUUGCAAUUUUAAAAUAUGCUCAUUUUGUAUUUUUUUAAGUGUUAAUUAAAAAUUAUACAAUUUUGUUUUAUAAAAAGUAUUUAGUACUUUUAAUUUUAUAAAUUACAAGCAUUAAUUUAUACUAUUUUCUUAAAAUAUUUAGUUUAGUAUGCAUAUUAUUAGUUGUUUUCUUACAUCACUACUACAAAAAUAAUAUAUGAUGUCACUAUUUAUAGUGUCGCAUUUAAAAUAAUGACACCAUUGAACUUAAAAUUUAUAAAGGUGACACAUCAUUUAAAAAAUCUUCAAUUAGGAUAGUUAGAUUAUGCUAAUUUCAGAUUUACGGUGUCAUUUUUUGGAAGUGACACCAUAUGAAAUAAAAAGUUUUAAAUUUUAUAACUCAAUGGGCCUUUUUUAAAAAUAGUGAGUAGGAACAAUUUAUGAAAAGUCUAUUGUUUCCAUAUAUACAUUAACUAAUAUAAAAGAUCUUGUUGCUUGACCCUAACCAUCGUUUUCUUCUCCUUCUUCUCACACCCAUGGUCAGCACACCCAUAAUUGAUAUUCUUUGCUUCGUAAAAUCUCGGGUAAGUCAAAAUCUCUUAUCUAUCAUCUUUAUUUUUUUUAUUAAUGCAAAAAACUUUGUUAGUAUAAUUGUUUUAUAUCUCUUGAUUUAGUAUAUCUAUGAUGUGGGUUUUGUAAAUGGUGUUUUUUAUCGAGUUCUAAGGAAGUAAAAACUAAGUUUAACAUUCUAACAUAUUUUUUGUUUCAUUGCUAAUAAGCCCCAAAACAAAUGAAAACAAGAAAAAUGAAUUAUUUUUAAAAAAUUUGUCUAAUUGAGAAUGAGAGAUACACUAGUUUGUAGUAAUUUUUCGCAUGAAAUAGUAUUUUAUUGAAGACUUGACUAUAUUUGAUACUUUUUUCCACCGUGCUAGGAGCUUUUUGGUGAAGUCUAACAAUAGAGAUUGAUAUCUGCUACAAGAUGAUACUCAAUUAAACCAAAAGCACUUAAGUUAUUUAGGGUUUUCUUCGGUUAACCUAAGAAAACAUUCCCACUUUCUUUGUAUUGAGUCAUCUAAAUAGAAUAGAAUAUUGGGUAUCAGAGUCGUAAAUGGUAUUAUAAAUAUGACUUUUUUUUUAGAGUCACCUACAUGGAAUGAAUUAUUGGUAGGUGAACAAAAUAUUGGGGUGAUUGUAAUAGUUGAAUUAGUAAAUGGAAGAUAAGUGUAUGUUGCUUUGUUUAUUCUAUAAAAACAAUAAUUUUAGUAGUUGAAAUUUACAUGCUUUGUUGUUUUAUAAAAACAAUAAUUUUAGUAUUUGAAAUUUUAAAAUGUGAAUGAAAUGCCUGAAAAUAUAUUUUGAAAAAUAGGAUAGUAAUAAAUGGAAAAUAACUCAUUUCCUAAAAAUAUUUUGAUAAAUUAAAAUAAUAUGUGGUUAAAAUAUAUUUUUGUGAAAGUAUUUAAAAAUGAAUCAAAAUAUAAAUAAUUGUUAUUUUUUUUUAAAAUAAUUUAGGAAUAUAAAAUAAUAUUGGGGAUAAUUUUUGAGUUUAAAUUGUGUUAUAAAUGGUUAAUUUUUUUAGGACUGUCCUUUUUGAAAAUAAUCCAAUGAUAAUUUUUUUAAAUAAGAAUGUUGAAACUAAUUUUAAAAAUAAAAUUUUGUUGGCAAUGAUUUUUCUAAAAGUAUUUUAGGCAUAAAUGGAAAUUUCUUGUAUGAAAAUAAGAGAAUUUAUAUAUAUAUAAUAGACAUAAAAAUAGAUUUCUUUGAUAUUUAAUAAACAAGUGAAUUUUUCUCUAAAAAAAGAAUAAAAUAAGAAUUUCUCUAUAUAAUAAAAUAAUUUAUAUAUGAGAUAGUUUUCAAUAAGAAAGUUUUGAAAAUAAAUUUGGGAUAAAAUAUUUUUUAGUAAGUUUUGUUUAGAUAAUUCAAGAAUAAAGUGGUUUAUUAACUUUUCUUAAAAAAUAACAUUCUUCUUUCUUUUUUGAAUUGAUCAAUAGUUUGGAAAUAAAAUUGUUAGAUUCUAUUUUUUGUAAAUGUUUAAGAUAUUCUAAAAAAUUCUUUAAAAAUGAAAUGACCUUUCUACCACAUUCCUUUAAUAAAUAAUUGUAUUUUUAUACAUAUUGUAAAGUAAAAAAAAAAGUCUUUAUUUAGUUAACCUAAGAAGACAUUCCUACUUUUCUUUGUGUUGAGAGUCACCUAAAUGGAAUAAAAUAUUCAAUAUCAUAGGAGAGUAAAAAGUAUUGUAGAAAUGAUUUUGUUGAGAGAGUUAUCUAAAUGGAAUGAGAUAUUGGUAGGUGAAUAAAAUAUUAUGGUGAUUGUAAUAGUUGACUUAGUGAGUGGAGGAGAAGUGUAUGCUUCUUUGUUUAUUCUAUAAAAACAAUAAUUUUAGUAGUUGAAAACGUGUAUGAAAUGACUGAAAAUAUUUUUUGAAAAAUAAGAAAAUAAUAAAUGGAUAAUAGCUCAUUUCCUAAAAAUCUUUUGAUAAAUUAAAAUAACUUGUAGUUAAAAUAUAUUCUUAUGAAAGUAUUUAAAAAUAAACCAAUAUAUUAAUAAUUGUUAUUUUGUUUAAAAAUAAUUUAAUAGUAAAAAAAUAAUACUGAGUUCAAAUAUGACUACUUUGUUAUGAGAUUCAUUAAAGAAAUAAUUGUUGAUUUUACAGUUAUUGCAUCAAAGGUUUUACUCGUUUAAUGAAUUGUACAUAAUUUCAUACUUUCAAUUAUUAUGAUAUUAAUGUUAUUCUCAUUUGAUUUCAGUUUGAUUACAAAUAAAACAUAUUCUCAAGUAGAAUUUGAUGAAAUUAGAGAAAAAUAGAUUACUUUUGUGUUAUAACUAAUCAUGAAUCAUAUUGAUGUAUCGUGAUCAUUCAUGGUAAGUCCCUUAGUUGUUAUAUGAUUGAAUUUUCCAUUGAUAUUGUAUAACAUUACUUAUUCUUUACGAACUAUUUUUAUACCAAAAUGAGAAAAAGGAAAAAGAAAAAGAAAACAUUAGUACUUAGAUUUGUUUAUUGUUUAUAACAUCACAUUUUUAUUUUCAAUAAGAACUCUAAAACUCAUUAAUCUAUGAAAUGCAGGUAUACACUCUUGGGAGGACAAUAUGAAGAAUAAAAAGAAAGGAGAAAGAGACAACAAGAUUUAGGUUGUUAGAUAUGACUCUUAUGUCAUACAUUAUAGGACAUAAAUGUUACUUUAUUUGGAAUUGAGAAUUUUGGGUUUUUGGAUGCAACUCUUGUGUCAUUUUAUGGUUAGCCGGUUUUAUACAUAUGAAAUGCAAGUAUACAUGAAUGUUGGGAAACUUAACAUUUCUAAAUCAUGUUUUAAUGUGUAUUCACUUUUCUUUUUUAGUUUUGGUGGGUUUGAUGUGUUUGAUGUACUAUCAUUUUGUGAACAUUUGAUAUACAAAUAUUAUUGGAUGAUGUAAUAUGUUACAAAUUAAUUCAUAAGCAUUAUGAAAAUAUAAGUUAAAUGUAAUAUGAUUAUUAUAUUUAUGGACAAUUUACACAGGUUAGUCUUAUUUAUUAAUAAGCAUUACAAAAAUCUACAAACUAAUCAACAAAAAACAACCAUAUCUUCCAUAAUCAUUUACAAUGAUGUGACACCAUAAAUUAAAGGUGAUACAUUUAACGUGACACCAUAACUCAAAGAUGAUGCAUUUAAUAUGACACCUUAUAUAUCUCAUACAACUCUAUAUCAAAUUAAGCAUCACUAAAAAUAUAUGGUGUCUCUUCUGAAUGUGUCACCAUUUAUCUGCUUUGGUGUCGCUUCCAAAUACGUCACCAAUUGAUACCCUCUAUGGUGUCAGUGGAUAAGGUGACGCUAUGUUGUAGUGACACCCUAUGUUUAUAGUGACUUAUUAUAAAUGUCACCAUAUAUCUUUUUCCUUGUAGUGCAUCUCAAGUUUCAAUCAAAAAAAUAUUUAUGAUUUGUUUUUAUUAAUUUGUGUCUUGUUUUCAAUUUAAUUAAUGAAAAUUUAUUUGAUCAAAAAGUUCAUUACAAACCAAUUUUAAAAAUCUAAUCCUUUAUUAUAUUUUGAUAUCGUUUUGAUAAAAAUGUCUUUAUUAUUAUUAUUAUUUUUUUUUUUAUAAAAAUAAAUUUUUUUAUAAAUAUAUUGUAAAUAUUUAAAAUAAUUAAAAAUAUUUAGAUCAAAAAUCGAUUAUUUUUCAAACAAAUAUAUGAAAGUGAUAAAUUUGCAAAUAUGGGGAAUAUUUAAUCCUUUUAAUCGAUUAUUUCAUUAAUGAAGUGGGUAUAAUGAUGAACGCAUACUUGGUUUUACUAGGGCAUGCAGAGGUUUUGCAAGAGAGAGAGAUCAUUUCUCGACUCUGAGAAAUCAAUCUCCUUUUGGCCCGGUGGCGGACUCCAAGUAAAGCCUUGAAGGAGCCUUGCUAACAUCCCUGCACACCCACGCCUUCCAGUACUGAAGGAAAUGAAGCGAAGGUUUGGCUCGUUCAACUCCACUGCUUGAACUGUACUAGCAUUCAGAUGCCGCUCUGGAUUGAAAUUUAGCGGUUCUUCCCAGAUUCUAGGGUUCCGGCCCAGCCCCAGACGGCUCAGAAGGACAUGACUGCCUUUGGGGAUAGAGUACCCAGCAACACUAGUCGGAUUCCUGAACUCGUCUAUCCUUUCCAACCACUCCAUCAAUUUCUUCACUGCUUUGCUCAAAAUCCCUGGUUGCUUGAUCAUUGCCUACUCAAUUGCAUUUGAUGGACUAUCGACGCCUGCAAGCAUCAACUCCUGCAAAUUAUGGAAGGAUCAUAAUCUGAUGAUUGAUCAAGUUAUUUGCUGGCUAGGAAAUGAUCAUCAUGCAAUGUAGAUCAAAAGGUAAGCACAACACUACUACAAAAAUAAUUUAUGGUGUCAUUUUUAAAAUAAUGACACCAUAGGGUUUAUAAUUAAUAAAGGUGAUACAUCAUAUGAAAAUUCUUCAAUUAAGGUAGUUAGAUUAUGUUAGUUUUAUAUUUAUAGUGUUAUUUUUUGGGAAGUAACAUCAUAUAAAAUAAAUUUUUUUUUAAGUAUUAUAACUUAAUGAGCCCACUUUUAUAAUUAAUAAUGAGGGAUAAUGUAUAAAAAGCCCAUUGUUUCCACAUGCCACCCAUAAUCCAAAAAAUCUCAGUAUACAAACCUUAUAUAUAAAACCAUAAUCUUCUUCUACCUUUUCUCUUACCUAUAGUCAAUACACUUACAACCGACAUUUUCUACUUUGUGGACUCCUGGGUAAUCCAAAUUCUCUUAGAUCUAUCAUAUUUUUUUUUCUUUUAUUAAUAUAAUUAUAUUGAUUGUUUCACCAUCUUUGUAUUAUGGUUUUUGUAAACUGCGUUUUCUUGAGUUGUAGGGAAGAAAAACUUAGGUUUAAACUUCUAGCAUAGACGAAGAAACUUGUAGAUUAAUUGAUUUUUUAAUAUGAACCAAACACAUGACUGACUUCUUAAAAACAAGAAAAAAUGAAUGAUUUUUAAUAUGUAUUUAUGUGAGAAUGACAGGUACAAAAUUUUGUUGAGAUAUACUGUCACAUAAUCUUCAUCCCUUCCCUAAAACAAGAGAGAGAGAGAGAAAAAAAAAAAGGAAUGAUUUUUUUUGUGUGUAUCUAAGUGGGAAUGAGAUAUAUAGAAUUUUGUUGAGAUGCCACAUGAUCUUUAUCCUCCAUUAAACCCAACAUAUUAAAUCCACUAACUCUCCCCAAAAACGAGUAAAAAAAAAGGGAAAAAAGUAUGAGUUAAAAAACAAAAACGGAAAAUAUGAUUUAUUUUUUUUUAAUGUGUUUCUAAGGAAAAUGAGAGACACAAAUUUUUGUUAAGAUGCAUUGCCACGUGUUCUUCAUCCUCUCCAUUAAGCCUAAUAUAUUAAACCUAAUAGCUCUCUCUUUUAACUUUCCAGUGAAGUGCCUACAGUAUCCAACUCAAAAUAAGACAACUUAAGCCCCAUUAGCCAACAACCCAUAUUUUGUGUACAUCUUGAUGAGAUUAUUUUGUGAGAAAAUGUCAUGAAACAAUCCCAAUUUGAUAAUCUAGGCAUGUAUUUGAGUUAAAAAUAAAUUUCUAUUCUAUAGAUCAAAUAAUAAAAUCAUGUUUGAAAAUUAUUUUUAAAAACUUAUUUAGAGCAAAAAUAGUUUUCUAACAUAAAAAUAAUUUUUUAACUGAGAAAAUAUAUUUGAAAUUAUUUGAUAGAAAAUUGGGCAUGUAUUUGACUUAAAAACAAAUUUCUAUUCUAUAGCUCAAAUAAUAAAAUCAUGUUUGAAAAUUAUUCUUAAAAGCUUAUUUAGAGCAAAAAUGGUUUUCUAACAUUAAAAUAAUUUUUUAAUUUAGAAAAUAUAUUUGGAAACAUUUGAUAGAAAACUAGGCAUGUAUUUGACUUAAAAAUAAAUUAUUAUUCUAUAGAUCAAAGGAUAAAAUCAUGUUUGAAAAAUAUUCUUAAAAACUUAUUUAGAGUAAAAACAGUUUUCUAACAUAAAAAUAAAUUUUUAACUUAGAAAAUAUAUUUGAAAACAUUUGAUAGAAAACUUUUUUUUUAAUGUCAAUAAGUUGUCUUUUUGUUAAUUUAAUUGUAAUCAAUUUGCUUAUACGCAUUUAAAAGUAUAUAUUAUCAUAUUUAGUAAUAUUUUGAUUGUUAGGCAAAUUAUCAUUUUUGAGAGGAAUUUUUGUAGCUCUCAUAAUUAUAAUUGUAUUUUAAUAACCAUUUCCAAUAAAAAAGAAAAAGAAAAAAGAAGUUAGACAAUUAUCAAAAUCUGAUUUUUAGGAUUUUAAAAAAAUCUACAAGCCAAAACUAUCUAUAAUUUUGAUCAUGUGAGAACACUUCUUUUUUAAUACUUUGAAUUAUUUUGUUUUUUUUUUUCUUAGUAUCUGAAAGUAUAAAAGAAUUUCUCUUAUUAUAUUAUUAUAUUAUAUAUGUGCAUGUGUGUUCUCAUGGUUUCUUUAUGUCAUGUCUUAUUAAAGAAUAAAGUGAUGAAAUUUCCUUUGAGUAGAAGGUUUUAGUCCACGCUAGUGAGUGGACACGGUAUGAAUAGUUUGGGUGGGUUGUAUCUAUGGUAAAAAAUAAUAAAAGAUACCUUUUGCAAGUCUCCAAGUUGGUUGAGAUACAUGGCAUCAUGUUGACUAAACCUUGACUUUUGCAAGUCUCCUAGUUUCCAACUUUUUUUUUUCUUUUUUUUUUAAUAUUAAGGUGUGGGGCCAUGAACUCCUUUCUUUCCUUUUUAAAUAACAAAAAGGAAGAUAAUUUUAUUGUGAGAAGGCUAUUUCUAUCAAUUGUGUUCACGUCGAGAAUUUUUUAAUUUAUGGAGGCCAAAUAUAUAUUUAUGUCUAAUUUAGGAGGGUAAUUUGGGUUUGUUUAAUCUAUUCCAUUUAAUCAUACUAUACAAUCAUUUUUUUAUUUGGAUUAUUUUUGUAUUAAAUUUCUUCAACCCAAAUUUUGUUGAAAAAUUACAAUGUAUUAUUAAAAAUAUGACUUGAUAGUUGAUUAUGGACAUGUGUCAUUUUUAGUAAAAAAAAAAAUCUAUAACAUUUUAUAUUGAUAAUAUAUUAUUCUUGUAACAGGUUCGAAUAGUAAGCAAGUCAUUAUCAAAGAAGUUAUUGAAAGUAUAAGUGUACGUUUAUUUAUUGCAUGCUCUUAUAUUGUAUCAAUUGUAAGGAAGAUAAAAUUACCUUGUAAAGGUAAUUAAAUCUUUCUAUAUUUUAAAAACUUUUUUCCUAUAUACUAUGCUUUUGAAGCUUGUUUAAUUAAACAUAUUAGUUAUUUGACAAACUUUUCACAAAUGUUUUGUAUACUUAUGUGUUCUAUUUUGUUCCAUAGUUUUAUCGCAUAAUACUAAUGUAUAUUUUUUCACAAACUUUUUACAACUAUUUUGUGUACUAAUGCAUAUUAAGUUUUGUUCUUGCCUAUAUAAGCUACAUUUAGUUAUUUAAAUAUAUCCAAUAUUAUGUUGAAGAAAGAUGUACUUAACUUUUUUUAUUCUAAAUAUUAACAAGUUUUAUAGUUCUCUUGUCUUGAGAUUGAAUGUCAAAAGAUAGAAGGUCAGUUGAGUAUGAUGAAAGAGUUGAAAACUUUAUCAAUUUUGCAUUAGCACAUUCAAUCAACCAUUCCCCUAUAAAAUGCCCAUGCUUACGUUGUGCAAAUCUAUUAUGUCAAACUCUUCAAGUCAUUACAGAGCAUUUGUUCUUUAAUGGAAUAGAUCUCAGUUAUCGAGUAUGGUAUUGGCAUGGAGAAAAUGGACCCAGUGGAGGAUUUUCAAAUGUCUCACAACAACAUUAUGACAAAUGCAAGUAUAAUGAUGUUGUUGACACAAUAGAUAUGGUUAAUGCUGCACAAGUUAAUUGUGUGAAUGAUCCCUAAGUGUUUGGAAGGUUACUUGAAGACGCAAAAAAACCUUUAUAUCUUGGAUGCAUGAAAUACACAAAGUUGUCAGCAUUGGUAAAACUUUACGACUUAAAAGCACGUUAUGGUUGGUCUGACAAAGGAUUCUCAAAAUUGCGUCAGUUGCUUGGAGAUAUGUUGCCAUUGAAUAAUGAGAUGUCAUUGUCCAUGUAUGAAGCUAAAAAGACUUUCAGUGCACUUGGGAUGAAUAUCAAAAAAUUCAUGCAUGUUCUAAUGAUUGUAUUUGGUAUAGAAACCAGUAUAAGGAUGCUAUUGCAUGCCUAACUUGUGGAAAGUCAAGGUGGAAGAUAAACAAUGAGGGGAAAAAGAUUAAGAAGGGGCUUCCUUCAAAGGUUUUGUGGUAUUUCCCACCAAUCCCUAGAUUCAAAAGGAUGUUCCAAUCCUCAAAAAUCGUUAAACAUCUUAUGUGGCAUGCCAAGGAUAAAGAAUAUGACGGUAAACUAUGCCACCCAUCAGACUCCUCAGCGUGGAAACUAGUUGACCAUAUGUGGCUUGAUUUUGCUUCUGAACCGAGAACCUUAGACUAGCACUCUCAACAGAUGGUACAAAUCUUCAUAAGUCUAUAAGCAAUAGACAUAGUUGUUGGCCUGUUAUACUGAUCAUAUACAACCUUCCUCCUUGGUUGUGCAUGAAAAAGAAGUUUAUGAUGCUAUCAUUAUUGAUCUCAGGACCACGACAACCUGGUAAAAAUAUAGAUGUUUACUUGAGUCCAUUGGUAGAUGACCUUAAAACUUUGUGGGAAAAAAAAGUUGAGACUUAUGAUGCACACUUGCUUGAGGUUUUUACUUUAAAGGUCAUCAUUUUAUGGACAAUCAAUUAUUUCCCUACAUAUGGAAACUUGGCCAAUUGCACCGUGAAAGGAUAUUAUGCAUGUCCAAUAUGUGGAGAAGGAACAUAUUCCCAAAGAUUAAAGUAUGGUAGGAAGAACUUGUAUAUGGGUCACCGACGAUUUCUUCCACGUAACCAUCCCUAUUGGAGACAAAAGAAGGCAUUCAAUGGUGAACAAGAUUUUAGAAUUCCUCCUAAAAUUUUGAGUGGAGAAGAAAUACUUGAAAAAGUUGAUCUCAUUCCUAUUUCUUGGGGAAAAAUGAAGAUAAAAUCUCUUGAACUGAUGUGAACACAAAUUAUUGGAAAAAAAAGUCCAUAUUUUUUGAGUUAGAAUAUUGGAAAUAUCUUCAUAUCCUUCACAACUUAGAUGUCAUGCACAUCGAAAAGAAUGUCUGUGAGAGUAUUAUUGGUACUUUGUUUAACAUCCCAGGAAAACAAAAAGAUGGACUUAAUGCUCAACUUGACCUAGUUGAAAUGGGUUUAAGGUCUGAACUUUUCCCAAGAGUUGACUUGAAGCGGACCUAUCUUCCCCCUGCAUGUUAUUCACUAUCCAAACAUAUAUGACAAAAAAUUAGUUUGUCAAACAUUGUCUAAUUUGAAGGUCCCUGAGGGGUAUUGCUCAAAUUUUAGAAAUCUUGUCUCCUUAAAGGAAUUGAAGUUAUUUGGUUUAAGAUCCCAUGACUACCAUGCACUUAUGCAACAACUAUUGCUAGUGGCAUUACGUUUUGUUUUGCUAAAGCAUGUGAGAUAUACUAUAUCAAGAUUGUGUAUCUUCUUCAAUCAAUUAUGUACAAAAAUGGUUGAUGUGCCAAAAUUGGAUGAAGUACACAAUGAGUUAGUGGUCACGCUGUGCUUACUUGAAAAGUAUUUUUCACCUUCAUUUUUUGAUAUUAUGCUUCAUCUAGUAGUGCAUUUGAUAAGGGAGGUGUGACUAUGUGGUUCAGUUUACUUUAGGUGGAUCUACCCAUUUGGGAGGUAUAUGAAAGUUCUUAAAGAAUUGUUCGCAAUCAUAAUUGGCUUGAAGGAUGCAUUACUAAGUGCUAUUUAACAGAAAAAGCUAUUGAAUUUUGUACUGAAUAUUUAUUAGGGACUCAUGCAAUUGGAAUUCCAAAAGCAACAAUUAUGACAACAAAUUUGGUAGACCUAUAAUUGGUGGUCGUUCUACCAUCAUUGAUCAUAAAUUGUGGUUACAAGCACAUCAUUAUCUAUUAGAGAAUACAACUAUCGUCCAACCAUACACUGAGUAAGAAAAACAUACCUUUAUCUUUUUAUAAUUUCAUAACAUAAUGAUGAAAUCCUAAGUUUGCAUUCCUUGUCUUUAACGUCAUAAGGAACACAUGAAUUGGUUGAGGUCUCAAUACCCUCGACAAUCUAAUAGACAAAUUUGGUUGCAAGAAGAACAUAUGAGUUGUUUUACAUAUUGGCUUAAAGAAAAGGUAAUCUCUUAGUUUUUAGAAAAUUUUUCAAUAUGUUGAAAACAUCACAAGUUUCCAAUAUGUUUUGAUUAUACAUAGGUUGAAGAGGCUAUCCAUAAUGGGCAAGAUAUUCCCGACACACUUAGGUGGUUAGCACAUGGCCCUACUCUCCAGGUAGUCAAAUAUCCUGGAUAUAUCAUUAAUGAGUGUUGUUACCAUAUUAAGAAACGCGAUAUGACAUGCAUCACCCAAAAUAGUGGUGUUUUUAGCAAGACUAUGCAAAUUGCUAGUUCUAAGGAUAAGAACCUAGUUUGUGGUGAACUUUGCUUUUAUGGGGUCAUUAAUGAGAUAUGAAAUCUUGAUUACAACAUGUUCACAAUUCUAAUUUGCAAGUGUGAUUAGGUUGACAACAAGAAUGGUAUAAAAGUUGAUGAACUCAGGUUCACAUUAGUUGACUUCUCCAAAAUAGGUCACAAAUUGGAUCCAUUUAUUUUAGCAUCACAAGCCAAGCAAAUCUUCUAUGUUGAAGAUCAACUUGAUCCUAAAUGGUCAAUAGUUCUCUCAAUUCCUCCAAAAGAUUUCAAGAACAUAGAAGGACUAGAUGACUUCACCGAUAAUUGCAUGGAACAUCACCCCUUUAUAAGUUCAAUGCCAGAAUUUGAAUCAUUUGAUGCUAUGGAUGAAUCAUAGGCAAUACACAUGAGAGAAAACUGUGAGGGCAUAUGGAUUGAAAAGAAUUAAAUAACAUAUUGUACCCUUGAAUGAGAUAUAAUAAGGCAUUUCACUUAUUAGUUUUCAUGAGUUGCACAUUAACUUAGCUUCUAUAUAUUGCUCAUGAUAUAUCUAUAUAUAUUAAUCAUCCUAAAUUUCUUUCAUGCAUCAUAAACAUAUGUUAUUCAAAGGUACCACUUCAAUCUUCAUUCAACUAUCUUUUUGUUGUCCAUAGAACUAGAUUUAUAUUAUUUUUUAUUAUCAUGUUUUGAUUUUAUGCUCACAUAACUUGAAACUCUCAUUCCUAAAUUUCUUUUUCAUUAAAACUAUAAAUCAUAAUUGAAACUAUGCACUAAUUUAUUUUAUUAUUAUCCUCACAAAUAAAUUCUUCAUUAUUGAUAAGAAAUCAAAAAACAAGACAAACUUUGAAAGAAAAUUUCAAAAAAUAUAUUUGUGAAUGACCAAUUUAAUUAUAGAAAAUAUAUGCAAGGCUAUACUAAUCUUGCUUUUGAGUCAUUUUACAGGUUUGUUGGUGAAGUACUAGUUUGCACAUUUACUUGAUAUCUUCCACACAAAUAUGGAUCUAGAAGAAGGGGAAAUGCCAAAAAUAAAGCAUAGAUGUAGUGCAUUGAAACCAAAGAUUGCAAAAAAUCAAAGUAAAGGGAUAAAACUCAAGAUUGAAUACAAUAGCCUUGGUAGUCCCAUUAAGGAAAAUUCAGUUAAACUAAGUAGUUAUCUUAGUACAAUAACUAGAACCCAUGUGCUAAUAAUUAUUGAGAGUUGGAGGAAAGUCCCUAAAGAGACUAAGGAGAAGUUGUGGGAUUUGAUCACAGUAAGCCUAUCUAUAGCUUUAAUAUAUAAUUAUUGUAUACAUUCAUUAACAUGAGCUAAUAUGGGUUGUUAUUUUGUAGACAAGCUUUAAUGUGAAUAAAAAAUCCAAGAGGAAUUGUUUCAUACUAAUGGGCAUCAGGUUUCGAACCUUUAAGUACAAGUUGACAAAGAAAUAUAUAUUGUCUUUCAAGAAUGACCAAAAAAGCUGAAAAAGUCACCUCCUAUUUACCCAUUCAUACAAGAGGAUCAUUGGAGACAGUUUGUUAAAGAUAGACUUUUUGAACAUUUUAAUGUUAAGCAUUAUUUUUAUUACAUCUUCAAUUUUCACAUUUACGUAGUUUCAUUAUGUACUAAUUUUGUGUCUAUAUUUUGUAGGAAUAUCGCAAAGUUUAGAAAUCAAGAAGAGAUAAACACAUUUACAAUCAUUAUCUUGGAAGAAAAUGAUAUGCACGUUUUGAGCAAGAUAUAGUAAGUUAUCAAUAUCCAUAAAAAAAAUGGAGUAUAUAUUUUGUUUAUAGGAAAAUGAUUCUAGUUUUUAAAUAUCAUUUAUUAACUUGAUCAUGUUGAACUAAUGAGUUUUAUUGUUAAAAUUUUUAUAGCUACAAGCAGAAGGGGCUAUUGGUAGGGUUGAUAGAAGUGUUUAUGAAAGAAAACACGUGAGAAGAAAGGAAAGUUUAAUAAGAUUACAAAGCUAAUGAUUAACUAAGUUAGCAUAUUUAUGCCUUUUAGAGCCUAUAGUGUUAGUAUGUCUAUGUGAUUAUGGUUUGGGAUGAUAUCGUUAGGUGUUAAUAGGGAAGAGGCUUAAUGCUAUCAUUUUUAUGAGUAGUCAUGUUAUAUUAGUGCAAAUAUAGUAGCCUAAUUUGAAAAUUAAUUUUGAAACAAUAUACAUUAAUUUAUCUAUUAUCAUUUUUAUUAAAACAAUUCAUUUUCUAGCUACCUUGAAUUGGUCCUCUUGAAUUGGUUGUCUUUGAUUGAUAUGUUAAUCAUCUUCAUCAAAUUAUUACUAAUAUAUGUUUUGUUGUAGGAUGAAUUACUAGAAAAGGCAAGGAGACUGGACUACCUCCACUUGGUCCAAAUGACAUAUUAUGUCAGGCAUUGGGUAAGCUUGAUCAUCUAGGACGUGUGGUAGGUCAAGACCGCUUGGUUAGGUCGAACUCAUACUUUCAUCAACCAUUUGAUGACAUGAAAAAAAAAAUCAAAGAAGAAAUAUGGGAAAUGGUGUGAAAGGGGAUGCAAGAUGCUGUAACAAGACAAACUAUGUCUCCUCCCACACCCCAUUCUGAUAUAGGUAGUAAUAACAUGAGACAACAACUUGUUUUACAACUAGUUGUAGCAAAAAAACCAAUGUUUAAAAUGAUGGAAGAGCCCCAACCACCAGAACCACCACUGAAACGUAAGGUAUACAUUUACUUACUAAUAAUACAAGAUUAAUAUAAGUGAUAUAUAGCCUAUGUAAAUGAUAUUAUUUGUUGUAUUAAAGGUGAUUAAAUAUAAAUUAGCAGUGGAAUGAAAAUGAAAUGUUGUUGCAACUGGUACAUUAAUAGAAGAAAAUUGAUCAAAUGGGUUGGUCGUAAUAAAUGUUGCACACAAGCUAGAUGCUAGACUUCCAUUUCCAAAUCCAUAUGAGAUUAUCAAUGUUGGGGAUGCUAUUGGCUUUAAGCUUGACUGGCCAACAAGCCUUGUCAUACUUGAAACUAAACAUCCUCGGGUAUGUCAUUUUAUACUUGUAGUAAAUUUGAUUGUAACUUGGUAUUUUAUUGUUUAGGAGUAUAUAUUACUAACAUUCCUUCAUUUUUCAUAGGUGUUGGAUAAAGGAAAGAAGUAGAUAGUGAAUGCACCAAUUAUUCGAAAAUCUAAGCCUCAAAAUUAUUCGGUCAUUAAAAAUUUUCAGAAAUUUAUGGAUGGUUGUCUUAGUAAUGAGAAGACAUACCCAAUACAGCUCCCCAUUUCACUAUUUGGUGUCGAAUUCCGAACAUAUAUAUCUAGAGAGGAUUGUGAAUACAUUAUUUCAUCUUCAGAGGUGUUAUCAAAAUGCAUCUCCUUCCAUUUAUGGUGUGCACCUUUUAUUUUCAUUUGUUUUUAUUUUUUUAAUAUGAGUUGCCCCUGUUGAACAAGAUUGGAUAUGACUAAUGAUAAUUUUCUUUUGGUGUUUUGAUAAUAUAAUAGGUACAUGCAUGAUCAACUACAUAUUGCCAAAAAGGAAUCACAAUUUAUAUUUGUUAAUCCUUUUACAAUAUCAUGAGCAGGCUUUAGUAAUCCUCAAAUAGAGAAAAGAACACAAUUGUUGUCAAAACACUUAAUAGAGUGCCAAGAUGUCAGAUAUGUUUUCAUGCCCUACAACCCCGAGUAAGUGACGAAUAUUAUACUUUAAUUUGAGGUUUUAUGAUUGAUUUAUAUUUCUAAUUAGAUGCUACUUUUGUUUUUAAUGUUUUAGCUUUCAUUGGGUCUUGGUAGUGAUUGAGCCAAGGAAAAUGAUAGUCCACUAUCUUGACCCUGUGCAUCACAAACCAUGUGAGGACUUAAAGGAUAUCGUAAACAUGUAAGUUCUUCCUAUUAUUUUUCAUAGUAUUAUUUAAAAAAAAAAAUUACAUUCACCUCAAACACAUUUUUUAUUGUUAUUUCUAUAUAUUAAAACAUAUAACAUUUACCUAUUUUAAAAUUGUACCCAUUGAACUUAUUUACAUAGGGCUCUUUAAAUAUUUGCAAAGAAAACAUCUAAGAGAGAGCCAUCUUGGCAACUAGUGCAAGUGACAUCCAAAAAUUUUCUUUAAACAUUUAGCUUAUGCAUUUGCACCAUUUAUAUAUAUGAGUACUAAUGUUAUUUAUAACUGAUCCAUUAGUGUCCAAGACAAGAAGGAGGGUUCGAAUGUGGCUACUUUGUUAUAAAAUUCAUUAAAGAGAUAAUUUUUUAUCCUACAAUGAUUGCUUCAAAGGUAUUACUUAUUUAAUGAAUUGUACAUAUUUUUAGGCUUCCAAAUGUUAUGCAUUUUAAUGUUAUUUUCUUAUUUGAUUUUAGUUUGGUGAUAAAAAAACAUAUUCUCAAGUAGAAUUCAAUGAAAUUAAAGGAGAAUUGACUACUUUUGUGCUACAACUAAUCAUGAAUCAUGUUGAUGCAUCAUGAUCACCAUGCAUGGUGAGUCCCUUAGCUACUACAUGAAUUUUUCCAUAGAUAUUGUAUAGUAUUGCUUUUCUUUGAACAAUGUUUUUAUUUGAAAAAAAGAAAAAAAAAGUUCUUAGAUUUGUUCAUUUAUGAUAACAUCGAUCCAUAUUUAUUUUCUUCAAUGAAAUCUAUAAAACUCAUUAAACUAUGAAAUGCAGGUAUACACUCUUAGGAGGGUGGAAUAGAGAAUAAAAAGAACAAAGAAGGCAACAAGAUUUUGGGUUUUUAAAUACAGCUUGUAUGUCAUACGUUGAAGGACAUAAACGUUACUUUAAUUGGUAGUGAGAAUUUUAGAUUUUUAGAUGCUACUUUUAUGUCAUUUUCUUGUAGUGCAAAUUACUUAUCUUACUAUGCAUUGGGCUUUGAUAUUAGCCAAAGAUAGUAGUGGCUCCUAAUUUUUAUCCUUAACUGAAAUGAAAACAUCAAGCAGGUCCCCAGCCUCUUUUUCGCCAUUCUUCCACUAUUCUACUAUUUGGUCCAUGAUUGGAUCAUGGUACUUGUUAAUGGUGUUCAUAGCCUCCCUUAUAGUUUUUUCAUGGCCAUCUAAAUUCAGCACUCUCUGCCAUGGGAAGUAAUCAGAUAAAGAGAAUACAUAUAGAUGAGCAAGUAUAGUAAAGAAGGAUUCAACAUGUUGCUCCACUUCAACUCCAGGGCCUCCAUCUUUCUUUCGUUGGCCAAAGUAUCUUGUGUUGAGGAUCAUCUUUCAGAUGACAUUCCCGUUGUAUUGACGGACUUUAUUUCUGUCACACCCCAAAUACUAGGCAACCCAGAACUUGACUCGUGACCCUAGGUCAAAUGUUUGACCCUAAGAGUUACUCUUAUCCAUGUUGGCAAUCAAUCAAAACACCCUGGAUUUUUUUUCUUUUCAAUAAAGCGUUUAAUCCUAAAUAAAUUUAUUAAGCUAAGAUUUACUAUAACAUAUCAUUUUAUUUUUCCAAAACUAACCAUCACAUUAUCUCCUGUUCACAAGUAUUAAAAAAAAAAAAAAUUCCACCAAUCAUCUUCUUACCCAAAAUCUCAAAUAUUUACUAUAAUCUCUAAGUCAAAAAGAAUAUUUCCAAAAAUGUUUUACAAACUAAUAAAAUAUAAUUUAACUUAAAAAAGUCCAUAUAACUCAAAUUAGUAGAUGUCAAAAAGGUAAUUAAAAAAAAACAACCAUUAUUAUGGUUUUUUUGCUUUUUAGAACACUUCAUGAUCUUCUUAUGGUCCCUUAGAAACUAUAUCUGCAUCUAAAAAUUUUAGAAAAUAAAGGGAUGCACAUUUCCACGUUACUCUUUAGACCUAAAUGGGUUAGAAAUUCUAAGUCAAUAAAACACAACCAUAUGCCAAAAUAUAAUAUUACAUUUACAUUAUACACACUAAAAGAAACCUCAACCAUACAAAUUUAAAUCAAUCAAAAUUAUCAUUUUCCUUAUUUAAUCAUAUGUUUAGCAUAUCAAUAAUUUUAAAUUUACAAAAUAAAUAAGUCACUUUAGUCUUGAAUAAUAUAUUCAAACAUAUACUUGAUAAAUAAUACAAAUCAUUUUUCCAAAUGCAACCAUGAUACAAAUGCUUACACACAAUCACGCAAUGCAAUAUCGUUCUCGAGCUUUCACCGAAGGAUAUGCAUUUAUACCCAAAUACACUCCCCAUUCGGAGUCUUCCUGGGAUAAAAUUUUGAGUCUUUCACCCUAAGGAUCUCACUCCCUUCUUAACUCACCAUCUCUAGGGUCAUUCAAUUUCUUAUUUUUCUUUUCUUUUCAUUUUUGCCAUUUUUGGGGUCUUUUCAUUCUCAUUUCCAUUUCACACAACCAUUUCUUCAAUUUUUAUUUUUCUUCACACAAUCAUGAUGCAUAUGAAAUGCAACUGAAUCAUAUUUUAACAUCCAUAAUUUUCCAAGACAUAAUUUUAUUUACUCCCAUUAUGUUUCAUAAUUUCCAAUAAUCCACACAACGAUUUUUCUUCACUUUAAUCGUCACAAACAUAAAAGAAAAUUCACAAUUAAUUUGUAUAGCAUCAAAACAUAGUUUUAAACAUUGACCACAUAAAUUCUAUUUAUUCCCGACAUGCUUAAUAAUUUCCAAAUCCAAUAUAACCAUUUUUUUUUCAAUUAAAUAAUCACACAUAUCCAAGAAAAUUCUCGCUAAUACAAAUAUCAACAAAAAUGUAAUUUAUGUCAUAAUUUAUUUGUCUCCAAUAAUUUCAAAAAUUUUGACACCCAUAUGACAAAUUUCCACAAUUAAGCCACCCCAAUAUUUGGGAAAAAUUUUCCAAUAAUUCAAAUAUCAACAAAAACCCAAUUUAUAUCAUCAUUUUAUUUAUUUUUAAAAGCAUUAAUAAUUUUAAUAAUCAAUACAACACUUUUCCACAAUUAAGCCACCACAAAAUUUUGGGAAAAUUUUCCAAUAAUUCAAAUAUUAACAAAACACAAUUAUACCUUAAUUUUUCUUAUCUCUGACAACAUCAAUAAUUCUUAGUACUCAAUACAACUAUUUUUAUUUUUUCAUAUUUAAUCUUCUCAAACAUUACCAAAAUUCCAAGAAAAAUUUAUAAAUCACGAAAUAAAAUUAUUCACAAUAAUAAUCACACUUCAAAUACUACAAAUAACAUCUAUUAUAUUUCAACAACACAAUAUAUAAUUUUUUUUGAAAGAAAAUAUUAAAUCAAAGUUUUAGGGUUAAAUCACCCUACCUUAAAUUUGAAAAAUUUAACCAUUAAAACUAAAACGGGACACCGUAGGAGUGUUCCUCGCAUUGAAUAGAAUAUCCUUCCAAAAUUUUAUGUGAAAUGGACGUCAUUUGGUAGGUCCACCAGCAUCCUAAAGCUGGCGACCCAUUUUUCCCACUCUUUGCCGACGACUUCCCUACAUCUCUUACUCGAUUUCCUUUCUUCAUUUUCUUUUCUUCUUCUUCUUUUCUUCUUCUUCUUUUAAACUCCCACGCCAAUUUCACUUUAUAUAUAUAUAUAUAUAUAUAUAUAUAUAUAUAUAUGUAUGUAUGUAUGUAUUAUUAAAACAAAUCCUAAAAUACCACGCACAUCCAUUUCUCAAUAAAUUAAAACCAUUAUUCUUAAAUUCACCUUCCGUAAUUAUGAAUUAUACCAAACUUAUGAUUUUCCAUUUCACGAAAAAUACCACCGUAUUCGUAAUUUAAUUUACUACAAGUCUACUCUUCAAAAAGUAUAAUUUGAUUAUAAUUACAUGAAACAUUGUUUUUUUACUCUAAAAUUCAUUUAAAACAUGAUAUAAUUAACUAUUAACAAAAUUCAAUUCCAUAAAAUAUUAAAAACAUAAAAUAAUUUUUUGGCAAUCAAGAAGUUGAAAUUUGUAAUAACCCUAAACCCGUUAAUUUUACCUAUAUUUAUUUACCAAAAAAAAUUUAAAUAAUAUUCUAAAAUUUAAUUCCAUAAAUUAAUUAGUCAUUCAAUUUAUAAAAAUCAAAUUCUCUACCCUUUGGUAUAACUUUUAUUUAAUUUACUUCAUUUUUCAAAUUAUUCAAUCGCAUCAAAAUUUCAAAAGUUAAAUUCACUAAAUUCACAUUUAAUUAAUUUAUCAUUUUGUAUUUUUUUUUUUUCUAAAUUCGCAUAUCAUAAUUUAAUCUUAAUUUAAUUUUGAUUCAAUUUUGUUUUAGGUUUUCUAAUUUUAUGAGGUUUAAUUUCAAUUAUAAAAAUUAAAUUCAAUUUCUUUUUAAUUAUCCAUUAUCACAAUUUGAUAUAAUAUAAUUUUUUAUCAAGUUUUUCUUACUACGAUUUUUCUUAUAAUUAUCCAAUAAUAAUUAAAUUAAUUCUCGUAACAUAUUUAAUAUUCAAAUUUUAAAAACUUAAUCUCAAUUAUUUGAUGGUUAUUUUUUUUUUCUCAAAAUCUAAAUUUAAUUUAUGAAAUUCUCACUUCUUACAUCUGACGUGGCAAAAUUUUCAAACUAUUGACUUUUGACCAACUUUUCCUAAAUUUAUCCUAAUUAAAUACUAACACAUGGAUUUUCACCACUCUUUUUGAUCUUUUGACCCACAAAUUUAUGAAAGACUUUAUACUUGGAGAAUCUACAAAAACCUGGGUAUUACAAUUUCUCAGGUUGAUAACUGUCGUGGUUACGAAGCCACCACUUGAAUACUCAAUCGCCAUUGUAAUGGGCCUAGAUGCAAAUAGUACAUCAUGUUUCUUCAAAAGUUCUCUGCUAAUCUCUGGGAAAGUCGUAGGGACAAGAUGAAAUAUUUCCCAAUUGAAUACAUGCAAUUUCAGUGUUCAUUUCUUUCAUAAAGCCAAUGUAUCCACCAGAAAGUUGGCUUUUUGUUGAGUAAAUGAGGUAGAUAUUGCACUAGUGGCCAUGGAGCUAAUCCUGGAGGAAGUUGUAUCGGCUUGCUUUUGGUACUUGUUUUGGAUUUUAAUUUAGUGAAGAUGAGAAAGAUUGAUGUGAUGAAAAGCAGUAAGAGGAAGUUGAAAUGAGACAACACAUCGUCUGUGGUAGUAGAAGAAAACAAGGUUGAGUUACUGCUACUACUCUCUGCAACAAAGCCAUUUACACGUCUUUUAUGGCAAAACCAUGUUUGUCCUAUCUUGGGUCUGGAUGCACAUUUUUAAUAUUGGGGAAAUCAUGCAACCAAAUGUCACACACAAAGAGAGAGAAAAAAAUACGUUUUUUAGAACUUGAAAAGGUAAAGUGGGACAAAAAAUAUUAUCCAUUCUUGAACUCUAAAAGUAAAGUUAUAAAAAGCUUAGUUUUUUUUUUUUUGUUAUGUAUGAUUGCAUGAUUUCCCCCUUUUAAGAUUUUAUCUCAUAAAAUUUUUUUCUAGAAGGUUCAAAUAAGUUUGAUGAAUAUUGUUUAUUUUAGUAAUUUUAAUUUUAUGGGGUACUUAAAACAUUAGAAGUUCACAAAAAGCAACAUUUAUCAGCUACCUAUCUAAAAAGCUUGGCCUAAUCAUUGAAAUCCAAAAUAUAAAGUGACAACACACUUUUUAAAGCAAUUUUCAAAAUAGUUUUUAAAAACACAUUUAUUUAUGAUAUUUUUAAAAUAAAAAUCUCAAAAAUAACUUGUUUAUAUUACUUUUUAUUAGACAAAUACUUGAUCUUUAUAAGAUCACCCUAAUUAUAGAUUUAUGAACAUGUAACACAGCAAUUAUCUAUAUAUAUACUUAGAAUUAUUAUAUUUUAAGUUUUUAACUACAUAGGACAUCAUGAGUUUUUCCACCAUUUAUCUUAUAAUAAGUUUAUUUAAAUAUGAUAAAGGAUAUAUUAUCUCAUUUCUUAUUAUAUCUGAUGCUAUAUAUAUAUAUAUAUAUAUAUAUAUAUGUAACAAAUCAAAUACAAUUUAAAGAUUUUAAUUAACCAUCUAUUAGCAACAAAGCAAUCUCUUAAUCUCAUUCAUAAUAUUAGGAUAAUUUAGUAUUUCCUUUUAUAAAACACUAGCAUAUAAAUCAGCACAAAUCAUAUUAAGGGUGUAUUUGGUGUUGAUUUUAGAAAGCGUUUUUAGUAUUUCUAAUACUUGAAAGAUAAAAAUUUUCAAGUUUUAGAAAGAUCAAAAGCGCUUUUUAGAAUGACUAUCAAAUACAUGCUAAAUAUUACUUUUGGAUACUUAUAUUUUUAAAUAACUCUUAAAACUUUUAAGGCAAGUCUCUACUAUUCAUAUAAACCCCCUAUUAUUUUUAAUUCUUAGAAACAAAAAAUAAAGAAUAAAAACUCCAUUUAAACAUCACCUUAUUAUUUCCUAUUAUAAAAUAACACAAAUCAAAUGAAUUAUUUAAAAAUAAAUAAAUAUAAAAUCAAAGUUGAAGAGAAAAAACUCUUGUGCAUUAAAAAAACAUCAAAAUAAAUAAAUAAAUAAAUAAAUAAAACAUCAUCAAAUAAAUGUAAAAAUAAAUUAAUGUUAUGGAAAAAUGAGAAUAGGCAACAAGAAAAUAAGAACACAGAUUUACAUGAAAAAUGCUAGAUGGGAAAAACCAUGGAUAGAGGAGAAGAAAAUCCACUAUAUUAAAAAUUUGGUAUAAAAUGUGACAGAAUCAAGUGAGUAUUGUAUAGGCAUAAUCACUAUGACCCUAAAUCCUAUACAUCAUCGCAUAUGUAUGGUGUAUGCGAUAAUAUUUGUGAUAAUAAAAAUAUUGUCGCAUAAAAUAACUAUGGGAUGUAAUAUUUGUAAUAAUAUUCUUUACAAAAAAAAUAUUUUUUCUUUGCUUUAUUCACUUUGAUCACAACUUGAAAUAAGACAAUAAAAAUAUUUUCUUAAUUUUUGAAAAUUAAUUGAGGACUUAGAGCUACUUGUUACUGAGUGAAUUUGCUGAAUGGUGAAGAAUGUGUGUAUAGUAGUUUUGCAAUUUUUCAAACUUGUAGACAUAUUUUGUGAAGUCUUUUUCUCUUUGUAAAGCCCCAUUUUCUUUGUGUAGUUAUUUUUUCAAUAUUCUCUUUGGAAGGAAUUUACCAUUAGUUAUAUAGGUAAGAUUAAGGAAUUAAAUUUGGAAUUCUUAAGAUUUGAUUGCUUAAUUCAAAGAAUUUGGUUCAAGGGAAAUUUGCCAACAAAAUAAUAUUUAUUUUUAAUUCUAUGAUGACUUUAAUUAUUUGAUAUAAUUUUAUUUUGAAAGACUUGAUGUGGGGGACUCAUCACUUAUUGAGUCCAAAUUUUGUUGCACCCAAAUUUUUAUGAGCUAAGAAACCAUAAUUUUAAAGACCAAUUCAGUGGUAAGUGAAUCUGCUAAAAUCUUCUAUGUACAAAUGACCUCACUUCAAGGUGCAACACAUACAUGUAUUAUUAUGUGUAUGGGAUGAGUCUUGAAGUUAGUCUUCAUUCUUCUUUGAUUUUUUUUUCUUCAAAUAAAUAAAUAAAACAUCAUCAAAUAAAUGUAAAAAUAAAAUAUGUAUCGGUUAAUUGGAGAGGAGAGCUUUAAGGGCAUUUCUUCUAUGAAAUUCUAUGCUCCACGUACCAUAAAUUUGUACUCAACCAACAAAAUUACAGAAUGGGUCCAUGCACAAACAAAAAUAACUCAAAUGUAAAUAUCUAAAAAUGUAUAAAGUUCACAAUAGAUAUUCAAGCCCAAAUUUAAAUUUCAAAUUAGUCCAAUAGAUUUCAUCAAUCAAAAUGGGUCCAAAUUAGCAAAUAUAACCCAACAAAAAUAUCUCAUAUGUCAUAGGCCCUAAUUUAAAAUUUUCAAAUUAAUAGCCAAAAUAUAAGUUCAAUUAAUCAAACCCAAAACAUGAUAAAUUAAAAUAAAUCUCAUUAGGCCUAUACUUAAUAUCCCAUAAUUCAAGCCUAAUUUAAUAUAUAAACCUAAAUCCACAAUCAAAAUCAACCCAAUUUAUGCUAAUCCCGAUUUACAAUCAAAAUCAAACAUAAUUUAAUAAGUAAAUAACUAAAUAAAUUAAGCAAACUCAAAACACCCAAACCACUACAACAUAAAUCAAACAAUAAUAAAUAUAAUGACAAUAAUAAUAAUAAUAAUAAUAAUAAUAAUAAUAAUAAAAUAAAAUAAAAUAAAAUAAAAAAAUUUAACUCAUGUCGGAGCCAGUUUGAAUGUCUUGGGAAAGAAAGAAAAUGAGAGAAAAGUGAGAGAUGAUUGACAACUGACAGUGGCUCACUGGCGACGACUGGCUAGUGGUCCUACCGAUGGUAGUGAGGAUUGAUUGGUUUUUGGGAAAAAAAAUAAAAUGAAGAAAAGAAAAUGAGGUGUAAUAAAAAAAUGGAGAAUUGAGAGGAAGGUGGGAGAAGAAUGGAGAGAGAGAACAUAGAAAAUGAGUGAAAAGAAAUGAGGCUAGUUGGAGGAGGAAGUGGUAGUGUGUGAGCUAAAGUGAAGAAGAAUAGAAGAAGAAAAUGGAGAAGAAUGGGGAAAAAAAAUCCGCCUCCUUAAAUGAAGAGAGGUGGGUAGCCUAAAGAAGAAGAAAAAAUAAAAUAAAAUAAAAUGGGGAGAAAAUGAGAGGGGGUCGGUGGUCUUGUGAAUGAGGUGGUAUGCGUUAGAGAGAGAGAGUGGGUGGGGUUGUUGGGGAAGGUAUGAGAGAGAGAGGAGAGAGAAAAGAAAAAAAAGAAAGAAAAGAAAAAAGAUAAUAUAAAAUAAUAAUAAUAAUAAAAUAAAAUAAUAUACAAAAUAAUAAAAACUAAUAAUUAAAUAGUGAGUGGGCAAAAAAUAUCAUAUGUAAUCGGGAUUUAAUUUUAAGAGUAAAAUUGGGUUAAAAAUUAAUGUAAAAUAAAAUUAGGACAAAUUUUGGGGUAUACAAAUAUGCGCCUCUUCGGUAGAGUCCACGAGUAAAGCAAGUGUAUAUGUGAGCAAAACAAAGUGGGCUCUACUGAAAAACAAGACAAACCACCAAAUUUGUCUUAAUAUGACAUGAACUCUCCCAAAAAAAAAAAAAAAAAAAAAAUCUAAAACCCUACAAAAAUGGCCAAAACGGAAACUCCUAAGGUGCCUUUAAAGUUAUACUAUGGAUCUAGACUCCCUUAGAAAAGCCUCCAAAAAUGGCCCAAAAAUCGGUGUCAAAAUCGAGUAGCAAUCAGACCACUAAGGAGCACAUGAACGAAUGCAUACAAAGGGAAAAAAACCAUACGUGUACCAUACGAUGACAAAAGGCAUAAGGUAUCCAACAAUAUGACUGAUUCACGUGUUACGAGCUCAAAGAACUUUGUCAUGCACCAUGGAGGAAGGGAAACUCUAGAAUAAUGUGAUGAGGAAGUUAUUAGCACAAUGUAAUAGAGUGAGGAAAAAAGUGAUGAGUGCAAAGCUGUGAGGACAAGGUGCACAAUGCUAAUGAAUAUGAAAUGAAUAGCACUAGGCUAUAAUGCAAUGAAUAGCUCAGGGUUGUACCAUAAUGAACAAGUCAAGGAUGUGUAAAGAUGAGGAACAACUCAAGGUUGUAAUGCAAUGAACAACUUAGGGUUGUGAAUGCAAUGAACAGCUCAGCGCAAUGAAUGAAAUGAAUAGCUCAGGGCUGUGAAUGCAAUGAACAACUCGAGGUUGUGGAUGUAAUGAACAACUCAUGGUCAUGGAUGCAAUGAACAGCUCAGGGCUGUAGAUGAACAACUCAGGGUUGUGGAUGUCAUGAACAACUCAAGAAUAGGGGCACUGUACACCCAAAAUGGGAGAUCACGGUCUACGAUUCCAAGUCAAACCACUAAAGGGUGACCAAAAUGAGGGUGAUCAACUCACUAAAAAAGAUGAUCAAAAUGUCUUAAGGGAGAGGAGAUGCCCCAGAUGAAACUUAAAGGAAGUGAGUAGUGCUAAUGAAACUAAAAAAAGAAAAAAUGUCACAACUGAAAUUGAAAAAAUAGCAAACUUAGAUUAAAGUGCAAUGAACAACUUUGGGUUGUGGAUGCGAUGAACAGUACCUUGUUGUAAUGAAAUGAAUAACUCUAAGAUAUGGGCAUUGUACGCCUAAAGAGGGAGAUCGUGGUUUACGACUCCAAGUCAAACCACUAAAGGACGACUAAAAUAAGAUGAUCAACUUACGAUAAAUGAGAAUGCAACUAUCUCGAGAAAAAGGGUAUGCCCCAAAUGACACUCAAUAGUAAAAGAAUGACACAAAUGAAACUAAAACAAGAGGAUGCCACAAAUGAAACUGAAAUGAUAACAGACUCAGUACUAAUGUGUAAUGAACAACUUUGGACUAUGGAUGCAAUGAAUAGCACUGGGUUGUAAUGAAAUGAACAACUCUAAGAUGUGGGCACUAUACGCCUAAGAAAUGAGAUCAUAGUUUACGACUCUAAGUCAAACCGCUAAAGGGCGACUAGAAUAGGAUAAUCAACUCACUAAAAAUGAGGAUGCAACUAUCUCGAGAAAGGGGGUAUGCCCUAAAUGACACUCAACAGUAUAAGAAUGACAUAAAUGAAACUAAAAUAAGAGGAUGCCACAAAUAAAACUAAAAUGAUAACAAACUCAAAACUAAUGUGCAAUGAAUAACUCUAGGUUGUGGAUGCAAUGAACAACACUGGGCUGUAAUGAAAUGAACAACUCUAAGAUGUGGGCACUAUACGCCUAAAGAGGGAAAUCACGGUCUACGACUCCAAGUCAAACCACUAAAGGGCGACUAGAAUAGGAUGAUCAACUCACUAAAAAUGAGAAUGCAACUAUCUCGAGAAAAGAGGGAUGCCCUAAAUGACACUCAAUAGUUAAAGGAUGACACAAAUGAAACUAAAACGAAAUGAUACUACAAAUGAAACUGAAAUGAUAACAAACUGAUAACUAAAGUGCAAUGAACAACUCUAGGCCGUGGAUGCAAUGGACAGCUCAAGAAUAGGGGAACUAUUCGCCCAAAAUGGGAGAUCGUGGUCUGCGACUCUAAGUCAAACCACUAAAGGGUGGCUAAAAUCAAAAUGAUCAAUUCACUAAAAAUGAGGAUCUGAACAUCUCAAGAAAGGGGUUAUGCCCCAAAUGAAACUGACAAUAGAGGGAUGCCCUAAACAGACUGAAAAAAGGAGGAUGCCUUAAACAAACUAACGAAAAAUGGAUGCCCUAAACAAAUUGACGGAAGUGAAAUGCCCUAAAUAAACUGACCAAAGAAGAAUGCACUAAACAAACUCCAAGAAAAAAAAAGAAGAAGUAUGCGAUAUAGAAUCAAAAACACCUAAAACAAAAACAAGAAACAAAGAAUGUGGUUUACAACUAGAAACACCCAAAAGAACCUUAAAGAAGUGACUGGGAUAAUGAACUUAAUGAAAAUGGGGUAUGCCACAGUAAAAGACUCGGAAGUAUCAGCAAAUGGAUCAAACGACCAUGAAAUCAAUAGGAGAUAUGAUGAACCCAAAAAGGGCGUAUGCCCCAACAAAAGAACACUAAAAGGGGGGUAUGCCUUGAUAUGACGACUCACAAUAAUUAAGAAAUGGAUCGAGUAAUGAGAAAAUCUGCAAAAUAUCUUAUGAACUCAAAGAUGGGGGUAUGCCCCAGUGUAAAAUAGUGACCAACAUAAGACACAGAAUGUCACCAUACAAUACACUCUGGGAUAUGCUCAAUGACAAUGUAAUGAAAACAAUAGCCUCAAUCAACAAAUGUUCAAGCAAGACCAUGCAUCACAUAAACUAAAAUAAUAGGCUAAACAAAUGCUAACCAAGUCUCUCAAUCUGAAAUGUAAGCAAGUCAAGACAUGACAUGUCAACCAUCGACAUGAAAACAUCAUCACAAAUACAUCAACAAACUAAUAGUCCCUACUAUCAUGGAAGAUGUAGAACCUAACGUCCAAAGGCAUGUGAAAACUCAACCAAAAAGCUCAAGACUAGUUUGCAUCCUCCUCUAAUAAAAAGAAUGAGAUAAGGUCAUGUAGGAUGAUGAAAUAGGCAAGCUCAAUAUUCGUUAGGCUCUACCAAGAUGGAUGUAGGUAUAAUAGUGUCAAAGGUAGGAUGUCUAGAUGUCCAACGAAGGAAACUGGGUAUCCAAGUCAAACCAAGUAUGUUGAGGAAACUGAAGCCAUAGGACAAUAACUUUAUGAUCCAUUGAAAAUAGCAAUCAUGAAUAGAAGGUCGAGUCUCGAUGUCAAAAUCAACAAGGUGGCAUUGCCCCAGUAUGAAUACAUCUUCUCAAAAUGGGUAAACCCUCAGUGCAAGAUAAUCUCUAGAUAGUAUGUGUCUAGUAUAAACUGUCAUCUCACAAAAUCUAUCACUGAUGAGUGGGCUAUACCCCAGUGUAAGCAUUUCCAAAUCAAACAUCGAUGAGAGGAGUACAACCAAUCAUACAUAAUAUGAUCAAAACAAAUCUCCACUCCUCAAAGUCAUCAUGGUAACGUGAAGAGAGUAUCUAACCUCAUUUAAAGAAAGAUCAUGUCCCAAUGUGAAAAAUAUCAAGCAAAGUGGUAUGUCUCAACAAAAAUGCACUCUAACAUGAUCAUGCCUAGAUGUAAGCUGGUAUCUUUAAGAUCAAUCACCAAUGAAAGGGUUAUGCCCCAGUAUAGGGCAAUCUCUGAAAUGACUAAAAUCCGCUACAAGCUCUCACAAGUGUCUAUGUCAUGAACCAAUCAUCUCAAAAAAUAAAUAAAUAAAUAAAUAAAUCUAUCAACAAUGAUGAGAAGGUUAUGCUAUAAUCACAUCAAGAAAAUCACUCGGUCAUAUCUUGUACUCCAAUGUGAAAGGAAAAUAUGAUCACCUCUAAAGAAUGGCUAUGCCCCAAAAUACAUCAUCGAUUGAGAAAUAUGCCCCUACGUAAAGUACAUCAACUGAAAUAUGCCAAUCAUGCCUCAUGUUCCAAUGUGAAAAAUGACAUAUAAUAUUCUUUGAGGGAUGGUCAUGACUCAAAAUCCAUCAUCAGUUGAGAGAAGUAUGCCCCGACAUAAUGGUCAUCUAAAAAAUCAAUCUCCGACUAAGAAAUGUGUGCCUUGAUGUGAUGUAUCAAGCAAACUGGCUGCAUACCCCAUAAAAAACUCUCUAAGGUGGCUAUGCUCCAAUGUUGGAUCAUACCACAACUCCUGGUCUAUCACAAUCAAAAUGCUCUCCAACCAAUCCCAAGUAUCGCCCACAUGAGAGCUAUCAAACACAAUGUGUGAUGUCAUGGCCUCAAGGUGGUCUUAAGAUUCAGGACGUAACGUAGGCUAGGGUAAUAAGGUGAAGAAAUGAAGGAAAACUAGGCUUAAUAAUCCUAAUGAUAAAACCCCAUACCCUUAUGUAUAAAAUGCAAUAUGUGCAAAGAGUCUUAUAAACCAUGGAUCUAAGGACACCCAAUAUGAAUAUAUCAGUGAGGAAGAAAGAAUCUAAGAUGAAUAUAUCAAUGAUAAAAGAGAAGAAAUGAAGAAUAUCAAACUGCUGAUGGGAUGUAUAAGAAUGAUGUGUGGAAAAUAUUGAACAUGGAAUGUAAAUUGAUAUGAACAAAGAACAAUGUAGGCAAGGCAAAUGCGAUAUCAUGAUAAGAACAAAUAAAUCGAAGAAAAAUGAAUGAACACUAAUCCACUCAAAUCAAGUCAUGGAGAAUAGUCAAAUCACCAACGUAUGUAAUGAUGGAGAAGACAAUGAUUCGAAGUCCCUAGGAAAAUGUCACUUGUUUGUCACACAUAAAAUACAUAACGAGAUAGACACAAAAAUAUGAGAGUUUUUUGAAAGUUCACAUACGAACUUUCAUAAGCAACUAACUCAAUAAAGCAACCUCAAUGACCAAUAUAUACACUCAAUAAAGGAUGACACUGUAUACAUGUGUUUAUUACUUUUUCUUUUUCAUUUUUUUCAUUUUUGUUUUUAUUUUUUUUCUUUUGCUCGCGCAUACUCUGAAUAUCAAUAAAUGAACUUCUCUGAGAAUACAUAAUGAAAUGGAUAUACUCUCAAACAAUGAUGUAAGCGAACUCUCUCUGACAAGAUGACCCUCUAAAUUAAGGAUUUUCAAACUAACGUCCAUGAGAUAGGAGUGGAAGGGGAUAUGACCAUCCUCCCUGCACCGAAAUGUGAAAAAUCAUCACUCAGGGCACAAAAAAAUGUGAUGAAAAAAAAUAAAAAAUGAAACAAAAGAUAUAAACAAUGAAGUAUGAUGAAGACUGAUGUUGGGAAGACAAAAAAAUAGUGAAGAAUGUGAGCCAAUAAGUCCACAACUCAUGAAACUCUCGAAUAAAAUAUAUAUAUACACCAAAAGACCCUUAUCCCGGUGUAAAAUGUGAGCAAGGAUAUAAGAAAGAAAAGACUAUGGUGCUCAUGUGAGGUUCAAAGGGCUAGCAACGGUCCAAAUGUCAAUAAAGGUAAUAGGGUGUGAGCUAACCAAAAUGAAGGCCACCUAUGAUGGUCUGAAACAUCAUGCUCUUAAGCUUUCAAUGAUCAAUACUGAAAAUCGAUGUCCAUUUGAUAUAAACACGUCAACCCUUUGGAAUUGUGCGCCAAACCAUACUCCAAAUGCUCCAUAAUAAUCUCAAAGAUAAUCCUCUCAAAGCAAAGUAAAUAGCGAUCUCAUAAGGCACAACUACUCAUCACAAGCCAACUCUCAUCAUGCAAGAUCAAUCUCUAUUUUCAUGGAAAAAUAAGUGACAAUCUCAUCAGGUAAUCGACGAAUCCUCACAUCAUAAACCAACCAAAGAUCAUAAGUCAUUCAUUGCCAUGCAAGAUCAAUCCCAGACUCAAACUCCUCAUACUCUACCUGGUUGGAUUAGAGAAGAAAUGGGCAAAACUAGAAAAACUGAAGAUGGAAAGGUCAUAUAAUGGUGUCAAGGGUGAUGUUGUGCAAAACUCACAAUGGAUGGAUGUAGGUCAAAGCAAAGUCAAUGUGUGAGAGUGAGUAAGGCACUACUCUGAUCAUAAGAAGAUGGGUCACAAUCUCAAACUCCUAAGGUCAAAUCUCCGAUCCUAGGCUAAUAAGCUCAACAUCCUCCAUGAUAGGUCAACCCCCAAGAUCACAAUGUGCAAAUGAAUAGAUGCCUCAAGUCAAAAGUACAACACAUCAUAUGAUAUAUGGUCCUACGAUGACAAUCUAAAACUGGAAAUAUGUUAGAAACUCUAAGGUCAUAAACGUGUCCACUGUGAGAUGACUAUAAAUGUGACUAAGGAAUCUUUAUCAAUAAUCCAAAAAAUGAAUGAAGUGUGAAAAACAACACUAUCAUGAGAUCGAUACCCCAUCAAUAACAAAAUAUCUCUAAUUCACUUUCAAUCUAAACUCUAUAAAGAAAAACGAUAAGGUUAUAAAGGCAAACCUCUCAAAAAUGGUGUGAAUGUGAAAACAUGUCUUCACCUUUCUAUAAUGAAAAUAUCAUGUUGAAAAUAGAAAUAGGCAAAUCGACCAAAGAAUGAAGUACGGAGCCCAUGACAAGUGAAGAAUGUAAAAAGGUGAACAUGAUCAAUGAACAUAUCCCAAAACAUCAAGCAUAAAGUGACAACAAACCAAAAGAAUGUGUCAACUUAAGAAAAGAAGACUAUCUGAAGCCCCAGGGAAAAAGUGUGCUAGACUCAACGAGCGACAAGAAGAAACUAAAACCAUAUAGCAAGAGGUGGUCCAACUGAUACUCAAACUCGUACCAAUAUCUAAGCACUCUCGACUGGAGACCAAAAGAUGGAGUAUUGGAUCCAUAUUGUGACUAAAGUGGCCUCGAAGGCUCUCAGAUGCACCCACGUGUAGGAAAGGAAAUCCUAGUAAAAAUAUCUAAGGCUUAACCUACAAGGUCAAGGCGGCUCUAAAAAGAAAAAUUGAGUGGACUUUAAAGGAUUCCUAGCAAAAGCGAUCAUACCCUCCGAUGGUACGCAACCUCCUACACGUCUUGAAAUAUAUGGGAGUGAUUCCAUGCAAGGUGGUCAUCACCUCCACACAUGCACUAUCUCAUAUCCUAGAGGGUUUCCUAAUGAUGAAGACUCUUACAUCUCUCAACACUUAGUGGUAAUCUAAGGUGCACAGUGAAUGGUGUGGGUUCAUCCAAAAAUCCUAUCAAGCUAAGCAAAGAGAAAACACAUUGGUCACACAAAUAUCUUGAAAUAUAGCUCUAACCUAUACAAGUCUUCAAAGAUUGGACUCCAAUUAGCAUUAAUGUUUCGACCUUCUCCAGAAUGCUCCCAAACAUAGAUAUAGUCCAUCACUAAAUCCUACUCCGAAUCACUAGCUCGGUCGAAGAGCAAACAAAGUAAUAAGUCUCAUAUCAAAUAUGAGAUCAAGGGGAACAUGGUCACCCAAGACUAGGGAAUUGAAGUAAGGGGAUAGAUGUGUGUCCCACAUAGAAAAGCAACAUGCAUCACACAGAAGAAGAAUAGUCAUGCAAUAGACAACCAAGCAAAGAACAGGUAUAUCAUUCAUAUCUACACACAAGCUAAACAAGAAAUAGGUAUUUAACAAGAAUAAACAAUAUGUUGAGAUAAACAAGAUAAUAUACAAUAAAGAGAAUCAAUCACACCAAUAUGAAUGAGAUAUACAAAAAUGAGAAUAUACAUGUCAAGGAGAACAAGAUAAUCAUACAACAAGAAGAGUCUUAUGUUAAAGCAAGCAAGAGAAUCAAUCGAUGUAGUCAACAUGUCAAUAUCGCAAAUGAACAUAACAACCAAAUAUGCAUCAUAAAGAAAAAAUGGUAAUCAUGCAGCACACAGUCAUACAAAACAAAUACAAACAAACAUAAGCAAAUAAAUGUAAACACACAUGAUAACAAAAAUCAAUGUAUAGUAAGGCACAUGCAAUAUAUACAUAAAAUAAUCAUCAAGUCAACACUCAUAUACCUUAAAACAUGAAAAUAUACAAUAAAGACACAACGAGAGGGUAUUCACUGAUCGAUUAAUCAAACACUACAUUUCCCUUAACUCAAGUUCAAGUUUGAUCCUUUAAAUAUCCCUAGUGGAGUCGCUAUUUUGUGGACCCACAUUUUUCAAAUGCGUCCUUACACAACAGCGAGACUCAUUUUUUUUAUUUGGUGAAAAUUUGAUUUUGAGAAAAAAGACUUUGAGUUGUCACUUAUUUUUGUUUUUUUUUAAGGGAAAACAAAACAAGAAAGAAAACCUUGUGUGACUCCUUAUUUGGGAAAGACAUGUAUGCAAAAACCAAAUCUGGAUUCGGGGGUCAAGUUACCUAUUGGGAAUGUACGAUGGUGAGCUGUAGCACCUCUCUAAGCUCAUAUACGUACGGUCUCUACUAAACGAAUUAAGAGAAUUGUAGUAAUUAAUUAAUUAGUCAAGGAUACCAAGAAAAAGAAUCGCACAAAUGAGUACAUACAAAUCAUGAUAAAAAAAAUCAAAUUAUAAGAAUAGACAAAAUAAAUAACAAGAGAAUUGUGCAAAGUGAUUUAUUAAACUAAAUAAAAAAGAAGAUAUUAAAAAAAUUAGUUUUCAAGAAAUUUCAAAGGAUUUUAUUAAAAUGAUUUUGAAUUAAUGAUUUUAAUUUAUUUAUUUACAAAAAAAAGUCAAUUUAUUUUCUUCAAUUGAUUUGAUUCAAUUUCAUUUGUAUUCAAUUUUUUUUUUAAAAAAAAAAAGUUAUUUACACUCAUGGUUGUUAAAAGAAUUAUUAACAAAAUUUCAAGUUGACAAUAAAAAUGAUUUUUACUUGCUUUUACUCGAAAACAAUGAAUUUUUACAAUUUUAUUAACAAAAGCAUUUCAAUUUAAGAAAAGUGACUUAAACAAAUUAUUAAAAAAAUAUAACUUUAUCUGCAAAAGAAUUUUUAAUUAAAAAGAAAAAAUUUAAAUCAUCUAUUUCUAAAAAUGACUUUUAAUCCCAUUUUAAUUAAGAAAAUUUGAGUUAUUUAAAAAAACAUUUUUUGGACAAUUUGAAUAAAAAUUAAUUUUUGGGACAACUUUAUUUACAAAAAAAAUUUUGGACAAUUAUUAUUAAAAACAAAAUUUCAAAUUCUAUUAAAAACAAUUUUUUGGAUUUUUCCAAACACAUUUUUAUGAAUUUUUAUUAAUAAAAAACUUUUUUUUAUUAAGAAGAAUAUUUUUUGAGCUAUUAUUUUAUUAAAACAUGUUUAUUGAAUUAUUCUUCUUAUUCAAACAAAAUUUUUAAUUUGUUCAAUAUCUAAUUCUGUACACAACAAGUAAAUAUAUACAAACAAAUAUUUAUAAAAACCAAUAAAAAUAAAACCAAAUAGAAGUGAGAAAUAAAACAUGUUCUUAAACAAGCUUACAACAAGCUCAAUGUCUUCUUACGACUUUUCGAGUCUCACUUUCUUUCAUUAAAUUUUAUGCUCCACGUACCAUAAAUCCGUACUCAACCAAAAAAAUUGCAGAAUUGGCCCAUGCAAAAACAAAAAUAACACAAAUGUAAAUAUCUAAAAAUGAAUAAAGUUCACAAUAGAUAUUCAAGUCCAAAUUCAAAUUUCAAAUUAGUCCAACAAAUUUCGUCAAUCAAAAUAAGUCUAAAUUAGCAAAUAUAGCCCAACAAAAAUAUCUCACAUGUCAUAGGCCUUAAUAUAAAAUUUCCAAAUUAAUAACCAAAAUAUAAGUUCAAUUAAUCAAACCCAAAACAUGAUACAUUAAAAUAAAUCUCAUUAGGCCUAAACUUAAUAUCUCAUAAUUCAAGCCUAAUUUAAUAUAUAAACCUAAAUCCACAAUCAAAAUCAACUCACUUUAUGCUAAUCCCAAUUUAUAAUCAAAAUCAAACAUAAUUUAAUAAGUAAAUAACUAAAUAAAUUAAGCAAACUCAAAACUCUCAAACCACUAUUGCAUAAUAUCAAACAAUAAUAAAUAUAAUGACAACAAUAAUAAUAAUAAAAUAAAAUAAAAAAAUUUAACUCACGUUGGAGCCAGUUUGAGUGUCGUGGGAAAGAAAAAAAAUGAGAGAAAAGUGGGAGAUGAUCGUUAGCUGGUAGUGGCUUGCCGGCGGCGACUGGUCGAUAGUCCUACUGGCGGUAGUGAGGAUUGAUGAGUUUUUGGGAAAGGAAAAAAAAAGAGGAGUAAUAAAAAAAAAAAAAGAGAAAUGAGAGGAAGGUGGGAUAAGAGGGGAGAGAGAGAAUGAAGAAAAUAGGGGAAAAUAAAUGAGGCCGGCCGGAGGAGGAAGUGGUAGUGUGUGUGAGCUAAAGUGAAGAAGAAUGAAAGAAGAAGAAGGAGAAAAAUGGGAAAAAAAUUCGAGCCCUCUAAAUGAAGAAAGGUGAGUAGCUUAAAGAAGAAAAAUAAAAAUAAAAAAAGAAAAAAUGAGGAGAAAAUGAGAGGGCCAGUAGUCUUGGGAAUGGGGUGGUAUAGGUGAGAGAGAGUGGGCGAGGUUGUUGGGGAAGGUAUGGGAGAGAGAGGAGAGAUAAAAGAAAGAGAAAAAAAAACAUAAUAAUAAUAAUAAUCAUAAAUAAUAUAUAAAAUAAUAAAAAUUAAUAUUUAAAUGAUGAGUGUGUCAAAAAUAUUAUAUGUAAUUGGGAUUUAAUUUUAAGAGUAAAAUUGAACUAAAAAUUAAUGUAAAAAUAAAAUUUGAACAAAUUUUAGAAUCUACAAAUACAUUCUUUAAUCUUUCCACAACAUCAAUCUGAUCUAAAUGAAAUGCAAUAAAUUCUAAAAAUGAUACAAUCUUUAAUCAAUCCACAACAUCAACCCGAUCAAAACUCAAUGCAAUAUUGCUUAAUGGAGAGAAUCGUAAAAUCCUUUUAUGAGAGGAAAAAAAAACCCUUAACAGACCUUUAUGAGAGGAAAAUAGGAAAACAUAGAACUAAAAACCCUUAACGUAUUCAUGAGAAUAAAAAAAUCCUUAACACCUUAAUAAGAGGAAAACAAAGAAUUUGAACAAUCCUUAAUCCAUCAAAAGCUCUUAAUAUGAACGAGGGGAAAACAUAACCUUUAUUUUUCAUAUCAUUGAAUACAGAAUCUAAAGAGAUAGAAUUUUUAGUUAUUAAGGAUUUUUUUAUAAAUGUCUAUUGAAAGUUUAAGAACUUUUAUGGAUAAGUGUUAAUUAAGAGACUGAAAGGGUACUUAGGAUUUUCAACUAAAAAAGUUAUAACAAUAUGAAUCGUAAGAACUUAAAAACAUCACCCAUCCAUAAGAGGAAUAUGGAAUGAGAGGUUAUUUUUUUACUUAUACAACAAUAAACUUUUUUGGAAGAGGUUUUUCUAAGUACAAAAAGUUAUGAAUAAAAAACCAUUGUUACGAUGAGUUAACUAAAAUAGAAUUAAUUUAGAAAAUAUCAAUAAAGUUGCAUGAAUUAUUAUCAUGAGUUAACUUAAUAAGAAUAAAUAGUAAUAAAGUUAAUGAAGUGAAUUUGGAUUGGCAGAUAUAUUUGAUGAUAAGAUUUUUUUAAUAAUAAAAAAUUAUUAUGGCAGGAAAAAUAGGACAAAAUUGACCUUAUGAUAAGAUUUUUUUAAUAAUAAAAACAUUAUUAUGGUAUGAAAAAAAGGGACAAAAUUGGCCUUUCCUUAAUUGUACCGGUUAAUGGAAUAAUGGGACAUGCGGUGGUUACAAGCCACCCCAAAAGGUAGGAAGAAUCUCCAACCCCCAUUCUCGGCUCCCUUAUCUUUUCCCUUACAACCAAAAAUCAACAACUAUCUUAGAAUGUCCUUCAGUCCACCAAAAUUCAACAACAACAUUACAAUAAUGAAAACAAAAUUGAUUGAUCACCAGCUAACAUUAGGAGAUUAUAAGAUAAGGAUGUAAUUGCAAUUAUUGAAAUCACUUAAAGAGUAAAAGUUAGGAACAUGCUCACAAUAAAUAAAAUCACCUUAGAAUUAAAAAUUAGGGACAUGAUUAUGAUGAUUAAAAUCACUCGAGAACUAAAAUGUUUUAGAGAUACAAUAAUUGAAAUCAACUGAAAAAUAAAUUCGGGAUGUGAUCGCAAUUAAUGUAUAUAUAAACAACCAAAUGUUGAAAGGAAAAACUAAUGAAAUUAAUAUGAUUUUCUUUUAGAUUUCUCUUGACACCAAACAAAUGUAAGGAAGUUUAUAAAGGAAAAUUAGGUUUUGAUUCACUAAAUUAAAAUAAUAUAGAAAAAAGAUCUUCAAAUUUUAUAUAUCAGUUUUAUUUUUAUUUAUUUAAAAAUAUUUUAAAAUACAUAUAUUUUUUCAUAACUCAAAUAGUCAUUCCUCAAAUGCUAGUUUUACUUGUUAUGUUAAUAACACUAGUUAAUAAUUUUUUAUUGUGAGAACGAUUUAAGAUUAAUAAAAUAAGAAAAUUUUAAAACUAAAAAGACAUUUAAAACUUUAAAAUUAAAAAUAUAAAAAUAAAACAAUAAUUUUUCAUUUAGUAAAACACGCCAGUAGAAAAUAUAGAUAUAGAGAAAGAGUUGGAAAUAAAAUAAGAGUUAAUAUUUUAUUUUUAAAAUUUUAUGUUUUUUAUUUUAAUUGUAUUUAAUUUUAUGUAUUUUAGUUGUAAUUAUAUUUUUAAUUUUUAAAUUUUUUUUUAUUUUAUUGUUGAUGUAAACUAAUAAAUUUUUUGUUCAAUUAUAUAUAUAUAUAUAUAUAUAUAUAUAUAUAUAUAUUUAAAUUAGUGAGUAAAAACCCACUUUUUCUAAUUUAUAAUAUAUUUAUGGGAUUUUAUAAUAUAAGAAAUUUUUUUUUAGAAAGAGGAAAAAUCAACAUUUCAAUUUCCCUUCAUUAUUAUUAUUAUUAUCCAAUUUGGUUGAUUAUGAGAUUAGUUGGUAUCAUUACUAUAUCCAUUUGUCCUUAACCCUUCAUUAGAAUAGUAUUAGGAGUUGAACGUCAGUUGGAAUACAGGCUAUGGAAACAAAUCUAUCCGAUUAGUAGGUUCUUGUUAUUUUCAAUAUAGACCCCAUAAAAUAAAUAGGAGAUAUGAGAUAAGACUGUGACAAAAUUGGCGGUUACUUCCCGACACCUGGCUCUCCACAAACAAACCCAGUGAUCCAGAAAUUAAUUGGUACCUGGACACGUGACUACCAAACGUUCGCUCACCCACCAUACCCAUGGCCUCAUGCCCCAUAUAUUUCCACAAACCUAGCUCAAUUUUCAUAGCCACCUUCACUGUCCUACACUCACUAAGCCAUGGCCAUAGAUACAAGCCUCUUGCUUGAGUUUGCUGCAGCAACUCUACUCUUCUUCAUCACCCGCUUCUUCAUUCGUUCUAUCCUUCCCAAACCUUCCCGGAAGCUCCCCCCUGGCCCCAAAGGGUGGCCGCUCCUCGGCGCUCUUCCUCUCGUAGGUAACAUGCCUCAUGUUGCAUUAGCAAAGAUGGCCAAAAGAUACGGGCCUGUCAUGUUCUUGAAAAUGGGCACUAACAGCAUGGUGGUGGCCUCAACUCCCGAGGCGGCUCGGGCUUUCCUUAAAACGCUAGACAUUAAUUUCUCUAGCCGCCCGCCUAAUGCCGGUGCCACACUCUUGGCCUAUCAUGCCCAAGACAUGGUUUUUGCGGAUUAUGGGGCAAGGUGGAAGCUACUGAGAAAGCUAAGCAACUUACACAUGCUUGGUGGAAGGCUCUUGAGGACUGGUCUCAGGUCCGAGCUGUUGAGCUAGGCCACAUGCUUCGAGCCAUGCUUGAGUUGAGCCAGCGAGCGGAGCCGGUGGUGGUGCCGGAGAUGUUAACUUUUUCCAUGGCCAACAUGAUAGGGCAAGUGAUACUAAGCCGCCGGGUGUUUGAAACAAAAGGGUCGGAGUCAAAUGAGUUCAAGGACAUGGUGGUGGAGCUCAUGACCACUGCUGGGUACUUCAAUAUUGGCGAUUUUAUUCCGUCCAUCGCAUGGCUGGACAUCCAAGGGAUCGAGCGCGGGAUGAAGCAUUUACAUAAGAAGUUCGACAAGUUAUUGACAAGGAUGAUAGAGGAGCACACGGCAUCAGCCCAUGAGCGCAAGGGAAACCCAGAUUUUCUGGACGUAGUCAUGGGCCAUCAAGGAAAUUCUACAGGGGAGAAGCUCACCCUUACCAACAUUAAGGCGCUCCUCCUGGUAUGCAUAGUUAAAGCUUGUCUUUAAUUUUGUUUUCCGAUAUUUUCUUUCCGGAAACAGCACUUUUAUUGCUUUUAUAUCAGGUAGCCAUUUUAGGGGCACAUCACUGUUCUUUAUUUGCAUUUUUUUUUGUCUUUUUUCACUUGCAUGGUUGUUUUCAUAUGCUCAGCUGCAUGGCACAGGAAAAUUGGGAAAAAUGAUUGGUUCUCUGAUCAGACCUUCUGCACCAAAACACACUUCUCUCUAUUUUAUAAAAUCAAGAACAUUUAUGGUUUACAUGAAUUUUCGAACUUGAACUUUUGCUAGGGCUAAUGCAUGGAUCUCAAUUUUCAAUUGCGUUUGAUUACAUAAAUUUCAAGUAUGUCACCACAUUUUUGUUUCCUUGGCUAGAAUUUAUUUACUGCAGGAACAGACACUUCAUCAAGCGUAAUCGAGUGGUCUCUGGCUGAGAUGUUGAAAAACCCGAGCAUCCUCAAGCGUGCUCACGAAGAAAUGGAUCAAGUGAUUGGAAGGAGCCGGCGGCUCGUGGAGUCUGACUUACCAAAACUUCCAUACCUACAAGCCAUAUGCAAGGAAAGCUUCCGGAAGCACCCAUCCACCCCAUUGAACCUUCCUCGUGUCUCAACCCAGGCAUGUGAAGUGAACGGCUACUACAUCCCAAAGAACACUAGACUUAGCGUGAACAUAUGGGCAAUCGGGCGAGACCCUGAUGUCUGGGAAAGCCCGGAAGAAUUCAGGCCAGAAAGGUUUUUAAGUGGAAGAAAUGCAAAAAUUGAUCCUCGUGGAAAUGAUUUUGAGUUGAUCCCGUUUGGGGCUGGACGAAGGAUUUGUGCUGGCACUAGAAUGGGAAUAGUGCUAGUUGAGUACAUUUUGGGGACGUUGGUACACUCAUUUGACUGGAAAAUGCCGGAUGGAGUUGAGAUCAACAUGGACGAAGCUUUCGGGCUUGCUCUGCAGAAGGCAGUUUCUCUUUCGGCUAUGGUGACACCAAGGCUUCACCAGAGUGCGUAUGCAGUCUGAGCUCAAGCUGUUCAGACCAAAACCCAGGCCUAGCUACUAUAUGGCAUGGAUUUGUUUCAGUUUCCUUUGGGUUAGUAUAACGGUAUAAGAUGUAUUAGCUCAAAGAUUGGGAGUUUCAUUCUACCACCAUGCCAUAUGCCUAUCCGUGAUCUAUAAAUUUAGCUUCAGUUUGGUUAUAGUUUCUAUUUUUCUUUUGUCUUCGUAAUCAGUAAAUAAUAGUAACCUUUAUAUAAAAUAUAGUAACUCUUGCAGCUAUUAUACCAUGUACAAUAAAAGUACAGUGGUUUUGGAAAAUACAAUGAAACAGUGAGUUUGAUUUUUUAUUUUUUAUUUUUUAAUAAAAUAAAAUGUUGGAAAAGAGAAGUAAAUAAAGGAAGAUAUAUUAAGAGUCUAUUUGACAUUACUUAUAAUGAAAGUGUUUUUAUUAUAAGUGUUUUCUUUAUUAUAAGUGUUUAAAAAUCACUUUGAUGAGAAUUUAAAAAAAUGAUUCUAAUAGUGUUUUUAAUAAUAUAUUAUAUAAGUAAAAACCACUUUUAAUAAUAAUAAAUUACUAUAAAAAAAAAGACAUUUAUUAUAAAAAGAAAAUAUUAUAAUAAACCAAAAACUUUUAUUAAAAAAAAUAUAUACAAAUAUUUAAUUGUUAAAAAAACUCAAAAAUUAUUUUUAUGAAAAUGAAGUGAAAGAGGAAGAGGAGAGUAAGAAGAAAAAAGAGAGUUAAAAGGAAAUGGAGGAUAGCGAGAAAUUUUAUUUUAGGAAUAUAUAAAAAAAAUUUGAAAUAUUUUUUUAAAGAAACACCUCUCAAGUGCUUUUCUAAAAAAACACUUCAAGUGCUUUUCUAAAAAAACACUUCAAGUGUUUUUUAAAAUUUUCAUAAGUGUUGUUCAAAAUAUUGUCAAACACAUAUUUUUUUUAUCUUAAAAAAGCAUUUAAGUGUUUUUAGGGCUAAAAGCACUUCUAAAAAGCAUUGCCAAACGAGCUCUAAAUAAUUCAUAUUUCCUUGAAUUUAUAUUUUUAUUUUCUCUCUAUGAAUUUUCCUUUAUUUCAAAUACAAAAUAUAUUUUAAAAGGUUAAUUUUAUUUACUUGUCUUAAGGUUUUUGUUAGAUACACUUAAUUAUCAUUUAUUUGAAAUUUCAUUAAUUAUCUUUCUUAUCCUUUCCGUUUCUUAAUUUGUCAUGUACUUGAGAAAGUCAAUUUCAUUAUCAUCUUUACUUCUUGAACCUUGACUUAAAACUCCAACUUCACACAGGAUAUGAUAUAAAUUAAGAAAAGACUUAUUAAAAGUAGUAACGUUCUACUUUAGUUUAAAAAUGUUAACAAAAAUUAGAGGAGAAUUAACUAAAAUAUACUGAAUUUUAAAUCAAGCUAACAUAUUAUAAACCAUUGGAAAACCCACGUGAUUAAAUAGCUUUCUUGUAGUCUGACAAAGGAAAGAAAUUACCUGAAAAGAAUGGCAAAAAUGGAACUGCAUCUUAUGACCUAUAAUCACAUGAUUUCCACACUUAGAGCAUCCAUUGCCAAGAAAGACGUCGAUCAUAUCACCUUAAUUUUGUAAUAAUUCAAUGCCUCUUUUUGUAAAGCCAUAUCAUAAAUAUAAUGAAAUUAAAAGACAAAUUAAUCAAUCAAAUAAUAAAAUUUUGAAAUUUACAUGGUAGUAGGUGAGGGAAUUGUUCAGUUAAGAAUGAAGAGAGACCACACUCGAGGAAAUAUUAUUGAGGGCAUAGAUGUUGACUUUCCAUAUUCACACCUAAUUAAAAAGGUGAUUAAGAAAAUAAACAAAAACAACCCAAAAAGAGUGAAAGAUAUAUUGUUAGGAAAGAUUGUUCAAAAUGAUCCCGAGUUAUAAAAAUGAACUCUUUCAUUAAGAUGACCUUUUUGAAUACUUUUAUCCUUCUUUUUUUUUUUUCUUGCCUUCAAAAUUAUAAAUCUUUCCUUUAUUUAUGUUAUUUUAUUUACUUUAUUAUUUUUCUAAUUUUUCAUUUAUUUCUUCUACUUACUUUUUCUCUUCUAUGAAGUCUUUCAUCUUUAGUUUAGUCAUGUCUUAUGAAGCUAAUUGUAUUUCCCUCCUUAGCUUACUCUCUAAGUUGUUAGUAAUCCUUGAUCUCAUCUCAUAAUGCACUAUCCCACGAUUCUUUCUUGCAGUCCAUUUUUAUUUUCAUUCAAGGUGUUCAUUAAAAGUACACAAGGGCUAAAUUUAAAUUAUAAGAGUUAAUUUCAAUUACAUUCCCUCAAGUUUUGGCUUAGAUACGCCUUACUUCAACUUAUUUGAAAUUUCAUCAAUUAUCUCUUUUAUUUUAAGUGAAAGGGGAGGUGAGUAUAAUUAAUAAAUGAAAAGGUAGGGGAUAUAUUUGAAGAAAUUUCAAAUUAAUGGGCGAAGGUGUAUUUAGCUUAAAUAUCAGGGAAAGCGAAUUAAAUUAAUCUUAUAAAAAACUUAAUUGAGAUUAAAUUCUCGUUAAGUAUCGUUACUUAAUCUAUCAUGAGAUUAAGUUCAAAAUCAUAAUAUAUAGUGAUGAGAUCUCAAACUUCAUAUCUUAACACAGUCAAUUGAACUUAUCUUGAUGAGUUUGAAGUCUCAAAAUUGUUUUGAGAUCCCUAACUAAAAAUAAUUGCUAAGGCCCUUAAUUUUUUUAUUAAAAUGUCUGUGAGCUUGAUUGAGAUCAAUUUGGAUUACUUUUAGAGAUUCUAGAGGAAUUUAGAAGAAUAUAUAAAGGAAAAAACUUAGGGAAGAUGAAAAGUGCUAGUUAGAGCAGCCUUCUAUUGCACCAGAAGAAGUGGGCGCACCCUUCUACUAUGUCAAAAGGACUUGACGCAUCUGUAUAAGUACGCUAGGAAGGAAAAUAAAGCAACAAGCCGGCCUUUGACUUGAGAAUUGGAGAACCCUCUCCCAGACUUAAGUGGCACACCUUUUAAGUGCGCCAAGGAAAAGAAAGAGUUGUGGCUCAACCCCAUCAAGGAUUGAUAGGCAUACUCCGUCCACUAAAGAUUAAAUGUGUUAGCACAUCUCUUAUCUCUCUCCAUGAACAAAUGGUGCAUUUAAUUAUACAUACACUGUAAGCAUUGGGCUGCCUAUCCGAUGGUGCAAUUCAAAAGCUGUGGCAUGUUUGGUCAACGUAUGAGAAGCAUCCUCUUGCAUCCAACAAUCUUGCAUGGGUGGGGCACACCCAACCUAAGUGUUCUCGAAGUUUGGAUGGUGUUGGAGCUGUUCUUUCCAAACUUCCAGCUUCUUCUUGUCUCACGUUCACCUGCAAUGCAAGGUUUACCCGGUGAAGCCCCGGGCAGACCCCUCCGAUGGUUAAGUCUGUUGGAGUGUGAGAAGCCAACUUCUUUUUAAUUUUUCUUCUUAGCUGUGUUCUUAUACAUCUCUUCACUUACCGCCGGGACCGGAGAUAAUGGGGGCAUUUUCACCACAUCACUGCCCACUUCGCCACCUUCUCAUGGCAGCAAGCUUUUUGGGCUAACCGCUCCCACCAUUUUUGGCGGCUAGCCCCUUCAACACCUUUCACAUUACUUACCAUAUUUCUUUCUGGGCCAGAGACUCUGUCUAGUCCUCCAAAUUCACCUCUUAAUUUUAAAUGCUUGGGCCCAGGCCCAUUGGUCCAAAUUCGGCUCUUAAUUUUUAUCCCUUGGAGGAGUGUUUUUAGUUUUUCUUCUUGAAAUACUUUGCAGGUACAAAACUGUAUGAGCUUUUUGUUCAUGGAGUUCUAUGGGAUUCUUCGAAAAUGAAUGAAAUUCAAUUUUAAAAGAAGUCUUUUGUUUCUUUGCUUGAGUAAUUUUUUACCUUAAGUUUAAUUUCCCUCGCAUGUUCUAUCCAUGAAGCACUAAUUCACUUUACUGUUGUGGGUUGAAAGGGGUUGUAUCCCUUGCAACUCAAUUUAGUCCUCAAUGGUUUCAAAGGGUAGCGGAUAGGGAGGUGAAGUUCAUGAUUGCAGCAAAUGCAUGCAUGUUGUAGCAUUCUGAGAGCCCUAAGCUAAGCAACUCCAUGAGCAUGUUUGUACCUUAUAUAUUUAGCUUUCACUUCCCUUUGAGGUUGAAAAUACUAGGUGUUACACGGAAAAACGAAAAUAGGCAAUAAGAAAAUAUGAAUAAUUUAUGUGAAAAAUCCUAAACAAAAAAACUAAGGAUAAAGAAAAUCCACUAAAUUAAAAAUUGGUACAAAAACAGAAAGAAUCCAACGACUAUUGUAUAAUCCUAAAUCCUAUACACUAUCGCAUAUAUAUAUGAGAAAAAAUAAAUAAAGCAGGUCCAUAUCGUAGGGGCAAUCCUCUGCACCCACAACAAAAUCAAUAAUGGGUUAAAGUAUAAUUUUUCUUCACCAUAUAUAUCAUACCACAAAUUUUUCAAGUCAAACCAAAAAACAAUUCAUAUCAUCAAGCUCUAACAUUAAAAAAAGAUGAAAACAAAUCUUUGUAUUAUGGUUAUGGGAGUAACUUUAAACCUUAAAAUUCUCAUUCAAGCUUUUCCAAAUGAAAUAUAUUAAUAUUAAGUUUUAUUUAAAUAAUCUAUUUUUCCGCAGAUAUAACGAUGAGUUGAAAUUUAGACUUAUUUAAUUUGUUUAUGUCAAACAUUCAAAUCUAAAAUACAUAUAACAAAAGAUCAUGGGAAUUUAUAAUAUAAACAAUUUUUAUGCAAAGGGCCAAUUGUAAAUAAUAGAAUACUAUUUUCAAAAGAGAUCCAAAUCAAGUCGUUGUUUUUAAUAAAUAAAUAAAUAAAAUUUUUGUUUCAUUUGGAAGAUGGUGUUAAAGAGCGACUGAAUCAAAUAACUUGCUCAACCGGCAAAGCUGAGCUGGUCAACUUGACUCGCUUAUAUAUAUACGUAAUUGGGGAAAAAAUGUCAGAUGAGGGGGCGGAUUAGGUCACUUGGGGGGUGCCGGGUGUAGAUGGAAGAAAGAAGUACGUAUAUAAUAAUAAUAAUUGGAGGGUUGACGUUGUCUUGAGAGCAACCGAUGAUGAUAACCCAUGCAGUAUUUUUGUCAUGGGAGAAUUAGGGUGGGGGUGGCCGUAAAAAAUAAUGACUAUGAAGCUCACUAUUUUAAAGGAAAGUUUUACUUUUAAAUAUAUUCUUUAUAUUAUUUAUAAAUAAAUUAAGAUUGUCAAUGAUGUGGGUCCAUAUAUGAUGAUAAGUACAAGUUGAUAAAUUAUGUGGGGCUCAUAUAUGAUAAUAAGUACAGGUUGAUAAACAAUCAACGGUACAUUUCUCAGCUUGAAAAAAUUGUUGUCACUUUUGAACAAUUGACGGUUUAAAAAUUUACUAUUUUUUUUUCAAAAAAAAUUAAGAUUUUUUAAAGAACCUUGCAAAAAAAAUAAUUUUUAAUAUCUCAUAAAUAAAAAUCAUAUCCUAAAGUUAUUAUGUCGUUUUAUAUAUAAAACAUACAAUUAAAAACUUUGUUAUCAUAAUAUAAUGAAUAAUUAUUUUUUAAGAGCACUCAUCAAUUGAAUAACAUAUAAAUAUUCAAUUGACUAAUACACACCUAUUAAAUGAAAUAACUCACAAUUAUUCAUGGGGUAAUAUAGCACGUGAAAAAAUUAAAUAAAAAUAAAUUAAAUUAUGUUGUAAUAUAUUGUAAUGAUAGUGUAUUUAUAUUGUAAGUAUAAUGCAUUUAUAUCGUACCUAUAUUUAAUUAAAAAAGUAAUAAUUCUAAAAAUGUUUAUUCAUACCCUAUUGGUAUUAACACAUCGUAUUAAUAUAUUAACAACAUUUAUUUAGUGUCUUGAAAUUAUUUAAUAAUUUUUUUAUAUAUAUAAACUACGUGAAUUCAAAUUAGUAUUUCAUUUGAUUUCAAAAAUUAUUUAUGAUAUAGGUAUGUUGUGAAAUAUGGUAUAAUCAUAUAAAAUUACAAUUUUAAUAAAAAAUUUCAUAAAUUUUUUAAUUAGGUUUUAUUGUAAUGUAAGUGUAUUUAUAUUGUAAUUAUAACAUAUUUUUGUUGUACUUGUAUUUUAUAAUAAAAGUAAUAAUCUUGAGGAUCAUCUUUUAUACCUUAUUAAUAUUCAACAUAUCAAAUAUAUUAACAUUAUUCACUCGAUGCAUUGAGAAAAACAAAUUUAUAUGAAAUUUAUAAAAAAAAAACACUAUGCAAAGGAAAAAAAAUCAUAUAAAUUUUUUAAAAUUAUUUUAUUAUAAAAAUAAAAAAUGAUUAAACAUUCUCUACCAUUUUCUUAUUCUUUUUAGAGAAUUUGAAUGAAAAAUUAAACAUUUUAUCUUCCUUAAAUUUAAUACAAAAAUAUAAUUUAUCAAUUUAAAAUUAUAAUAUAUAUAUAUAUAUAUAUAUAUAUAUAUAUAUAUAUAUAUAUAUAUAUAUAUAUAUAUAUAUAUAUAUAUAUAUAUGAAAAAAUCAUCAUUUUUAUUAUAUAAUUAUAAAACUUAUUUUAAAAAUUAGAAUAAACAUAAAAAAAAAGGUAAAAAAACAAUAAAUGAUAUUUUGAAAAUAAUUUUUAAAAGUAUUUUUGUUUUAAAUAGUAAAUUUAAAUAACAAAUUAUAUAUAAUUGUAAGAGUUAAACCCAAAAUUUUGAUUUAAAAUUUAAAUAUUAUUAAUUACAAUAAAUAUAGGACCCAUAUACCAUAAAUGUAUUGACAAAUCAAGUGAAGUGCUUUAAAUGCUUUGAAUUUUAAAAGUUUUAGCUAAAGGACAAUUUUGGUAUAUUAAGCCUAUUAAAAUCCUUCUCAAGAAUUAUUAAAAUAUAUCACCCUUUCUAAUAAUUGUUCUGCCUAACCUAUUUUUAGGUAAUUCUCCCUUUUUUUCAUUCUCAUCCAUCUUCACGGGACUUCGUCUACCAAAUAUGACAAAUAUUAUAUUGUUAUAUUGAAUAUAUGUACUAAAAAAUAGAAAUGGGAUGAUGCACAUGGCCUGACGUGUACGUUAUUAAUUUGUUUUUGUCUACGUUUGUUUGUUUGUUUUCGUUUUUCUGUUUAUAUACGUAAAGUCAUUUUUUUCCUCUUCAUGGAAUUCUUUUUGAUGAAAAAAUUAGAGGAAAAAACACAGAUUUAACGAUAAAUUAUCCAUGUUCAUGACAAUAAGAAAAAAGAGUUUCACUAUAUAUAAAAUUAGGAUUACAUUAAAAGGUAUUUAUAUUAAUUAAAAAUAUGAUAUUAAUCAUAAUAUUUAUAAUAGACAUAUCAUAUCAAAUAAAUUAUCCAAUUUUUUAUUAUAUUAAUAGAUAAAUUGAAGUUUUUAUGGUAAAUUUAGAUUAUUUGAUAUCACAAAUAUUAUAACGUUUAAAAAUUAAUUUUAAUAACUAAGUUGUGUUUGGUUUAAAAACCAAUUUUUAGUUUUCAUUUUCCAUUUUCAUUUAUGUUUUUUCUUUUCUUAAAAAUAUCUUUGAUUAAGAAAAGUAAAAGUAGUAUUUUAAAAAAGUAAACUUAUAAAAUCUUGUUUGAUUUUAAGCUUUCGUGAAUGUAAAAACUUGUGAAAAAGUAAGCAUUGUUGUUAGUACUCUUAAAUAUUAAUUAAAUAUGACUAAGUGGAUGAUGUCUAUAUCACUUCUCCUGCCAUCGUCACCCAGUGCUCCAGAAAGAAACUGGAAUCUGGACGCGUGAUUAACAACUUCGCUGAUCGCCUACCAUUCCCAUGGCCUCAUGCCUUAUAUAUUUCCACAAACCUAGCUCAAUUUUCAUAUCCACCUUCACUGUCCUAUACUCACAAGCCAUGGCCAUAGAUACAAGCCUCUUGCCUGAGCUUGCUGCAGCAACUCUUCUCUUCUUCAUCACCCGCUUCUUCAUUCGUUCUCUCUUUCCCAAACCUUCCCGGAAGCUCCCUCCUGGCCCCAGAGGGUGGCCGCUCCUCGGCGCUCUUCCUCUUCUAGGUAACAUGCCUCAUGUUGCACUAGCAAAGAUGGCCAAAAGAUACGGACCUGUCAUGUUCUUGAAAAUGGGCACUAACAGCAUGGUGGUGGCCUCAACUCCGGAGGCAGCUCGGGCUUUCCUUAAAACCCUAGACAUUAAUUUCUCGAACCGCCCGCCUAAUGCCGGUGCAACACACUUGGC
rnacentral:lncRNA from 1 species